rnacentral:lncRNA from 1 species
AUUGUUCCAAACUUCAACAUUAAUUUUGAGACACAUUUCAACACGUAGGCUUGUAAAAUACAACACCACUUUUUCCUUCUUCUCAUAAGAGGCAAUCUUGAAAUUCACAACAACAAUAUCAAUAAUAUUAUUUUCCUCAAAAAUGGCUUAAAGUUAAUUGUUAAUUGUUUGCCUUUAAUAUCUUGAGUCAAGGAUAAGAAGAAAAAAAAUAUAUAAAUUUUCAAGUCCGGGGGGCAUUUUGCAUAGAAGUGCAAAACUUCAGGGAAGUAUUAACAAAACGUCAUGUUGACUAACAGAAGAAUUUGACAGAGGGGGUAAAUUCAUUAACAUUGUCAAUUUCAGGGGGUGAUUGAAGUUUUGUUAAUAUCAGAGGGUAAUUGAUAAAACUUACAAUUUCAGGAUAAUUGCCUAUUUACUCGUAACAUAAUCAAGGGAAAUUCGUUUGAGUAUAUCCUAUAUCCAUUUAACAUUUUGAAAGAGAAAGAAAUAGAGAGUGUGAUGUGAUGGAUGAAAUAUAUUUAUGAUAUAAUAGGACGAAGGAUAGCGAGAAAAUAAGGUGUUGAAUAUGUGUAUAUGAAAAAUAAAAGGGUGUCUAAAUAUAUGGGUUGCAUAAUUAGAUGAUAAGAGAGGUUGAACUGUCUAACCUGGGAAAGAGAGUGUCUAAAUUGAGCUUCAAUAGGCUUCAUCGUACAUGGAAAAUUAGCUUGAGUCAUAGCUUGAAGUGUCUAAACAGAGAAAGAGAGUGGCAAGAAACUAGUGUUUGAAAGGAUUUUUUUUCUGUGUCUGGAAUAUGGAUUGGAAUUGAAUGGGCUUAAAGAACUGGAAGAUGGACUAUGAGAAAUGGCUUAUGUUUUUCCAAAGCUAAGGGGGUUUUAUUUUUUGUAUAAGUCAUAAAUAUACACUAUUAUUUUUUAAAUAUAGUCGCUUUUUUUGUGUUAUUCUCUCUUAUUCUUUAUAUUGUUAAUAGUCCUUACGGUCUUUUACCAUCUAAAUUGUACGUAUGAAACAAAUUGAUAUUGUUAUUUUUGGAAGAAAAUAAAAUAAAAAAGUUAUAUAAUGUGUUGUUUUGUAUAAUAUUUUAUUUUUUAAAUGACUGAUUGUAUUAAAACGACGGUGACAAUAAAUCAAAAACCACAAUUGUAGAAAUACAAUGAGGUCUUUAUUCAACCAAAAUAAUAUUCAAAUCGAUUUGCUACACGACGAAUGAAUUGCAAAUUUUGCUAAAUAAUGUGCAACUUAAUUUGCUACACGGCGAAUAUGCUAGAAUUUCAAACUACUGAAGCAAGGAGACAAACUUUUGAAGUAUUUAACUAUUACUCCUACAUAAGAAUGAUGGUUCUUUUCUAGACCAAUGAUGAAUGUAAUGAGAUUCAAAGAGUUGGUUCCUUCGCAAGUUUGAUCCCUUUCAACCUCUUCGAUUAUUGAUAGCCUUUGAUGAAGAAUCUGCCACAAGAACUGUAAGUGUCGAGGAACAAUGCUUAGUUUCUAGAGUUUACUCUGAAUGUUUCUUUCUUGAGGGAUAAAAGAUUGUUAGAGUAUAGAACUUCAUUUUUUUUUUUAGGAAUUUAUAGAUUGAUUUAGCUAAGAGUUAAGCAAAAUUGGAAAUCGGUUGUUUCGACUUCCAUACAAAUGUCGCCGAUCAAGGUAUUUCGAUCGACAUUCCACUUUCUUAACUUGAAUAAAACCUUGAAACAAAAUUUUCUUCUCUUCAAAAACAUUUCGGCUAAAGGAAAUUUCCGACUUGUCCAAAGGUGAGAGGGAGGUGUGUUUUCGUUCUUUGAGUGUUGCUCCCAUUGAUGGCUUAGUGGCGUUUUCGUUUUGUAUUUUUUUUCAGACAUGCCUUGUGAUUAGAAUUUUUUUUUGACUAAUUGUGAUUAGAAUUUUAUUAAUCACAUUUCCUUUUUAUAUCUUCAAAAAGGAAAAAAAAAAAUUAAGAAACUAUACUUCAGUAUGCAUUUUAAAAUAUCCUCACAACUUAGACCGUUUAAAGUUUAAAUCACCUAUAUAAAGUAUCAUUGAAUGAAAUUCACGUCUGAAAAUAAACAAGUGGAUAUUGGGUUCAAACUCGUAUAUAAUACUACGUCUUUAUCAAUUGAGUUAAGUUAACGGAAACGUAUACAUUUGUUUUAUUUUUACGAGAAGAAUAUGUGAAUUUGAAUUAUUUACUUUAACAGUCUCGUAAUAAAUGUGAUAUGAUUCAACAUUUUAAGUUUUUUUUUUUUUGAAUAUUUGUUUAGGAAUGCAUUUCAAAGUCUGAUUUCCCCUUUAAAAAAAGCCAUUGACCUGAAUGAAUAUAUAUCCAAAGUUUGACUAUAUGUAUGUUUAGGAAAUAAAUAACUGAAUCCCUUUGAAUAUGUGGUUACCUUAAAUAGAAACUAAACUUUAUGUAAUUCAGUUUUGUCCAAUUUAAUUGUUUGUAAAUGAAUUAUUCUAUGUUACCAAAUUCGAGCCUCUUUAUUUCCUUUUUCUAACUGGAAAAACAAAACAUCCGUUAAGCAAAUGGAGUAACCUUUGUACAAAUAUAGUUGUAAAAAAAAAAACUUUAUACAAAUAUUAUAUGAGUCAAAGUUUAGUUUUCUACGCACAUAAAAAAGUAUAUGUAAUAAUUUUUCAGUCUUUUUUUUUUACAAAAUAAUUUCUCAGUCUUAAUCAUCCGAUUUCACAAUCUCAACAAUGAGGAUUACUAGUGUGUAGUCUCGAUGAAAAAUAAGUAAAUUCGGACCAACUCGAUGAAAAAUAAGUAAAUUCGGACUAAAUUUGAAUUAUUUUGAACAAUUUAAAUUCAUUAAUCACUUGAAGUCAAUGACUUAAUGAAAGUAUAUGUAAUAAGGAUGUGAUAUUUUUUUUGUCAAAUUGUUUAAGACCAUAAUUUCAUCUUUUAAUGUGAAUAAAAUGAGAAUUUGAGGUUUGAACUUCAUCCCUUCCAUAUUACAAUGUCCCAUCCCAAAAUAUCACAUGAUUGAUGGCUAAGAAUGAGAUUUUAGAGGAAAUUAAUGACUUGUUUUGUUUAAAUUAACAAUUGUUAAAAGGCCUUGUUAAAAUUACAAAUGAACUUGUAAUAAUAAAACUAACCCAAUUAAAACUUCUAAAAUUACUGAUUUCGAUGAUAAUAUUAUUUUAGUCACGCUAAAACUUAAUUCUGGAUCGCCCCUGCUGUCAACUAAGGUAUACUCAGAGGAAUAGUAAUGACGUAAUAGUUAUUCCUCAUAAAAUUAUGUAAGUUAUGAAAAAUAGUAGUUAUUUUAUACCCUUGAGUUUUGUUUGAUGACAGUUAUACAAAAUUGAUUUAAUGAAGUAAUAGUACAAAUACUGCAUACACAUGUUAAGGCACAAAAACCGGUCCAUUAGUCAAUUGUUAGACACAUGAACAAAUAGCAAAGUUCAAAUUCAUAAAAUGCUUGGCUUGUUUUGUUGGUAAACAAGCACAUACAUAGUUAGGACCAGAAAUUAACUAACCCCAUUUUGAUUUUUUUUCCAAAUUCUGGUAACACCCCAUCAUUAGUUUUUCGUCCAAGUCUCUAGCAUCUCAAUUCUAAGCAAAACUUUGCUUUUAUUCUACAAUCAAUUCUCUCUCUUUCCUAUUCAAUUCUCAUUUUCUCUCUCUUGAAACCAAGCUCAAAACUUUCCUAUAAAUAUAUGAUACCUCUUCCAUCUCAAUCAUCAUAGUUACAACUUUCUCAUUCUUUCAAUUAAUUGAGUCUAUUCUUUUCCUACAAAGAAACACAUAGGAAUGAUGUAUUCACAAAGUUUAACUCUUUCACUUUUCACCAUUUUAGCCUCAUUUGGUUUGUGUUUUGGCUCUUACUUAGAAGAAAGACAUUAUUCAACAAAUCAUCAACCUUACAAUGAGAGGUUGGUGAAACCAAGACAUGAACAAUUUAGUUUCAUGGCAAGGGCUCAUCAUCCAUCGAUUGCGCCUUCGCCGCAAUCUCAUAACACGGUUAAUGUCAACGACUAUGGAGCCAAAUCUAAUGAUGGACAAGUUGAUAAUGAGGUAAUUUAGAAAAUGAAUGUGAGUUUUAUUUUAUUGAAGUUGUAUUUGAAUAUAAGGUUGUCAUGUUUUCUGAGUUGUGCAAUACUUAUAUGUGUUUGUGCCUCGGGUUUGUUGAGUGAGAUUCAAAUUCAUUUAAAAUAUUUAUGUGAUCAACGUUUAAUCGUCUUGUUCUGAUCACUAAUUCCAUUAUGAUUGGUCCGAUUGUAAAAUCGUGCAUUUGAUAUUUGUUUCCAUUUAAAUAUUGCUCUCAAUUUUCUCAUUUUUACACUUUAGGCAUUUGAAAUGGCAUGGAAUGAGGCAUGUUCUAAUGGGAAGGUUCUUGUGGUACCUAAACAAAGUGUCUAUCAUCUAAAUCCUAUAACAUUUUCAGGGCCAUGCCAACCCAAUACUGCAUUAAAGGUAAAUUAAAGUGAUUUAUAAUUAUAACUCUCAAUGUCCACUUAAAUAUAUAAAACUCAUUGUAACGUUUUUGUGUUUAAUUAAUCACUGUUUCAUUAUGUUAGAUCUAUGGAACAAUCAAAGCAUGGCCUAGAAUUUCAGCAUAUGGAGCAGAUAGAAAGCUAUGGAUCAAGUUUGAGAAUGUCACAAAUCUCAUAGUUGAUGGUGGUGGUACCAUUAAUGGAAAUGGAAGAAUAUGGUGGGAAAAUUCUUGCAAAGUCAAUGAAAGCCUUGUAUGAUAUUAACUCUAAUUCCUUUUAAUUCAUUCAUUUAAUCUAUGCAUUAAUUUUGGAUUUGUUAAAUUAAGGAAAAAUAUAUUAUUUUCAUUUUUUGUUUCUUGUUUACUUUUCAGUAACAACUAAAAAUCGUAUACUAUUUAUACACUUCAUUUUUUUUCUUUUCAAAAAAUUAUUUGGAUAUUUUUUGUUUAUACAGACAUAAAGAAAAUAACUUAUAAUUGACCUUUUUUCAACAUUUUUAUAAUUGGUCACAAUAUUUUUUUUAAUCUUUAAAAAUUAAUUAAAAAAAUAUAAAAUUGGUGCAUAAGAAAAAUAGAAACACAAAUGAAAUUGAAGUGACCCCCAUCUCUUAAUAUAGUGUAUAUCUUAAUAACAAUUUAUUAUUACUUAAUUUUCAAUUAUUGAUUUCAAUUUUAAUUAAUGAAUAAUUAUAUAGACUUUUUUUCUUAUCAUUUUAAUUUGAUUCAAAUUUUAAAUACUGACCACAAUUUCUUUACUCAUUUUAUUUCACAGCCAUGCAAAGGAGCACCAACUGUAAGUUAAAUUUUCAUUUUUGUAAACUUUAUUACAUGCUUUACUUCCAUACACAUUUCUAUUCAAUUUAACUUUUCUUGGUAAAUUUGUUGAAUAUAUAGGCUGUGACUUUUGAUGAAUGCAAUAAUUUGAAAGUGGAUAAGAUAAGAUUCAGAAAUGCACAACAAAUGCAUUUAAGGAUUCAAGGAUGCAACAAUGUUUGGGCAUCAAAUCUUAUAGUCACAGCACCAGGGCAUAGUCCCAACACUGAUGGAAUUCAUAUUACUCAUUCACAAAAUGUUUUCAUAACCAACAGCACCAUUGGGACAGGUAAAAAGAUAUAUAAAUGAAAAAAAAAAAAUGUCACAUUAUAAUAUCAUUUUUCAUAACAUAUCUCAUUUUUUAAGUUAUAAUAUAAAUUUUUUAAAAAUCAUAACUAAUUAUAUGAUGAAAAAUUGUUAAAACAUUUUAGUAGAGUCAUAAUAAUUAAAUCAAAGAUUAGAUUAUGCAAAAUUUUCUAAACAAAUGAUUCAAAAUAUAUAAUCUUCCUAUUGUUAAAAAAAAUAUAUAUAUACUCUACCUUAAAAAGAAAAUGUGGCAUUUAUGUAUUUUUAAAAUAACAUUAAAAAUAAAUAUUUUUAUUUUUAUUUUUAUAGAAACUAACUUUAAGACAAUAAGUCAAUUUAGGAAGUAAUAAACAAAACAUCUAUUAUAAGUUUAUUAUAAGUUUAUAACCCAAUAAAUAACAAUAAAUAGUUACUUGAAUUCUCAAAAUUCUAAUUUAUUCCUCACUAUUUUUGUUAAGGUGAUGAUUGUAUUUCAAUUGUAAGUGGGUCCAAAAAUGUUCGAGCAACAGAUAUUACAUGUGGACCAGGACAUGGAAUCAGGUAUCAUUCUCUUUGUUGAUUUUUUUUUUGUCAUUGAAUUUUUAAUUGAUUGGUUAAAAAAAAUUGAUGUGGUUAUUAUUGUUUUGUAGCAUUGGAAGCUUAGGUGGAGGUAACACACAAGCUGAAGUGUCUAAUGUGGAAGUUAACAGAGCCACACUAAUAGGAACCACUAAUGGAGUCAGAAUAAAGACUUGGCAGGUAAAUUUAUGGCUUUAAAAUUUUGCAACAUUUUAAUUAAAUAAAUUAAGGCUCAUUUAUAAAUUAUAAAAUAAAAAGAGUGGAAUUAAAGCUACCCACUUAAUUUAAUUUUUUAUUUUACCAUAUGGUUUCUUUUAUAAUUUUGGUUAAACUAUGUUAAUUAGGACCAAAUUAGGUGCAUUAGCAUUAUAAUAAUGGGAAGUUGACUAAUGUUACAUGGAUUAAUAAUGGAUUUUUUUUUAAUGGUUGAUUUUAAUUUCUAACUAAACAUAAAGUUUUACAUGCAAUACUUUAACUAACCAAGUUAGGCAAGUUUACAAAGUCCACCAGUUUCUAACCUUAUUACUUCAAACAUGUCAAUAACAUUUUAUAUUGUGUGGUUCAACUUUCUUUAGUCCUUCUUCUUAACUAAUUUGAACCAACAAAGAGUGUUUUUUUCAUUUUUUUAUUGUUACAAUUUUAGAUGUCCAUAUACUUGAAAUCUUAUUUUACCCAAGUUUUCAAAUGUCUUUAUAACUUUUUUUUUGAGGAAAAAUGUCUUGAUAACUUAAAAAAGUUAAGAUAUUUUUAUUGAUUGAUUAUUUGUUUAAAAGUAAGGACUCAAUUUAUAUAAUUCUAAAAUAUAGAAAUCACAUUAAAAAUAAAUUAUUAUAUUGAAAUAUAAUCGUUUUUGUUUUAAUGUCUUAUUUUUCAUACUAUAUAUCUCAAUGCAGGGAGGUUCUGGCUAUGCAAGAAACAUCAAAUUUAUCAACAUAGUUGUGCGAAAUGUGACUAAUCCCAUAAUCAUAGAUCAAAAAUAUUGUGACCAAAAAAAGAAAUGUCAAGAACAGGUAAUUGUUUUUAAAUUUCUUAAGUACUUUCAUAUUUGAUAUUACUAGCAGAAGAAAAAAAAUAUAUAAUUAACGAACAAAAUCAGAGGAAACAACCUAAACUUGAGCUUUAGGUCUAAAAACAAAACAUGAUGUGGGGUAUAAAUAGCAAUUAUCUAGAAAAAAUUGUUUUUCAUUUUGCAAUAUGGGCUCCAAGCCCAUGCUCUCAUUCAUUUUAACACCCCCCGCCAUUUUAUAUUUGUUUUGUUUCAUGGUUCAAAGUUCAAACUACAAUUUAUUCUUUUAAAAAAAAAAAAUUGGUCAAGGUUUUAUUCCACUUUACUGAUGUAAAAAAAAAGAUUUAUCAUUUAAAAAAUCUUAUAAUAUUGGACUGUUAUGGUUCGAAUCGUUUUUCUAUAAUAUUGAUUUAUUUGUUUAAAUUAAUUAUUUUAAUUUUAAUUGUAUAGUCUCCUUUUGUCUUGAUUUUGUAGUAUAUUUUAUUUGAAUUCUACAGGUUAUCCUCUACUUGAUUUAGUUAUUUUUCUCUCUCUAAAUAUUUGUUACUAAUUUAAUCAAAUUCAUGGUCAAAUUACAGAACUCAGCUGUGGAAUUGAGCAAUGUGAUGUACCAAAACAUAAAAGGAACAAGUGCUUCAGAAGUUGCAAUCAAACUUGAAUGUAGCAAAGCUGUCCCAUGCAAAGGAAUUCACUUGCAAGAUGUGAAAAUAACAGGAGAAAACAUUAAGGACACCAUUGCAAAAUGUGACAAUGUUAAAUAUUCAAAUAGUGGAAUGUUCUUUCCUAAGUGUCACCCUUGAAGAAAGAAAGAAGGAUGGAUUAAAUUAAUUAGGAUUUGUGUAUAUACUAGAUCAGUUAUUGAUCAGGAUUAGGCACAAAUGCUUACACUUGUUGGUCAAAAAAAUUGGAAAAAUAAUGAUUCAAGUUUGCGCUGAUUUUUGACAAACAUGUGUAUUUUUCAGUUUGAUAUACACUUUUAGAAAUUAAUAACAAAAAAGAAAAAACUUCAAUGAAAUUUGAAAAAAUCAUAUUGCUGAACCCAUUAUUUUUUAUUUUCUUUGAUAAAUGAGAGUGACGGAACCCAUUUUUCCCCAUUAAUUUUAAGGAAGGAUAAUGUAUUUGGAUUUGCUAUGGAAAAAAAAUAAUACUUUACAACUGAGAAAUGAAAUACUUCAUUUGAGCUAAGUUAAUUAAGCUUUCGUUUCUCUAAUUUUCAAACAAUAGAAACAAGUUGAUCGAGAGUUACGCUCCGAUGCAAAAAACACUCGUCGGAUUUUUUUGCAACUUCUGAUAGAUUUUAUGUUAUGUAAUCCAAAGUUACAAUCCGAUAAACCCGGAAGGCUGUUGAGCAACCAAAUGACACGUAGAGCAAUCACUUUCGAUUUCAUAUCACUAGUAUAUUCGUCACAACAUAUCCAAACAUAUGAGGAAAGCUGAUCCGUAUUCCAGUGAAGUAGCAUAUUUACACCACUCCAUGUAUCUUUUAACGCUGUUUUGUAGCAUUCAAAAUCUAAUAGUAACUUUAUAUCAACUGAUUAAACCAUGAUUUUAACAAAGAACAAUAAAUUACAAGCAAAAAAGUGGACGUUAGUUGUAAGAAAUGUGCAAGUACAUAUCACCGAGGAAACUUCAUUUCUUGCAGGCUCUACUCAUUACAAGAUAAGCAAACUGAUAUUGCUGCAUAUUACACGUUUUAAUGAUUUUUUCAAACCAAGAUUUUACUGAAAUCGUCUACAUUUGGUGCCUAAACACUGGUAAACAGAAAUACAAACUAGUUUAAUUAACGUAGAUCCACUGCAUAGUUUCUAAAAUUCAUACAAGUACACAUCUAGCAAGACUAGCAUAUAGAAUCUGACGUCAAAUGAAGACCUAUCGCAUGUUCUAACAUAAGUGUAAUAGAACAAGCUAUUUGAAGAUAUUGUACAAAAACAUUCCUUCAGAAGCAUUUCCGGUGAACAAUGGAAGGCCCGUUUUCGUCAUAGUCUGCCUUAGUUACGUGCUGAUUUUGAGGAAAAACUACUUUGGCAAGUAUGGCACCUCCCACCCAUGCAGAAUACAUGGUCAAAUUUUCAGGCAUAUAUUCCGGAGGCUGCAAAAAACCAGAGAUUAUUGGCAAUAGCAUAAAUUAUAAGAUAAAAAACUAUAACAAUCAUGCACAGAAAUACAGGACAAAGCCUAUAAUGCCUUGGAGACAUGUUACAUGAUUUACUUCACAAUACUACAAGUAACUUUAUAUAAACUUCUUCAUAAGCAUAUAUGAAAAAAGAAAUAUUAUAAGAUUGAACAAUGGUGUCUUGCAUAAGGUGCAAUUAACUUUUGCAUCUCAAAUCUUUUUACAAAAACUCAUUUAAUUUCUCCAUAAACUCCUACAAAAAUUGUGAGAACUUUUUUCCUAAGUGAAAAAACCAUUAACUUAUUUUAACUGAGAAGUUCUAACAGUCACAAGAUAGAAGGUAACUGAAACUCGAACAAAUUACCUUAACCAAGGUAGGUCGAACGGCAGAUGAACAUAGCAAAGAUUCCUUCUGAAAUCUGUCUUCAAAACCUGCAGCAAGAAGCAAUAUUAGCAUGUUAAAAUGCAGAAAUAAAACAAUAGCAUACUCAUAAAGAGGUCAGAUUGCUUCGAGAUGACCUUCAUCUUAUCAUGAACAUACUGAAUCAGUUGAUGAAUCAGACAGUAGAAAUUUACUUGCUAGCGAUAAAAAAACCUAAAUUCCAUAUGAAACUAAAUGUAAAUAAAUCACUGACGGCAAAAUAGUAAAUUCUGUCUAUCUUAUGAAUAGCAUCACUUAGCAAGCAGGACAUCUCGGUUUUACAAAUAAAAGAAGACACAAUCAAUUUGCUUCAAAGUCCAAACAUCACCAUACAGAUCACGACAACAUUCCACCUUCAAAUACAGAUUAACUUUGUAUUUAAAUAGUCAACAAAAAAACUGAAAUGUUACAUUUUGAUAGGCUAAAACCAAAUGUAACCUUAUCAUGGCUCAAUAUUCAGCCAUAUCACAUUGCAAUUUAAAAAAGCACAUGACCACAUAUACAGCAGAAAAUUGUGAUUCCAUUUUGUAAAAAUUUAAAUGCAGCAAUAAAAUAUAUGUUAUUUAUUAUUUAAAUACAAGAAAGAAGGAAAAAUAAUAUUUUACCAGUCAUGGAAGAAGUGCCGCCACAAACUACAGUAUUUUCCAGAAGUUGCCGAUGAUUAUCAGAUGUCACGGUUGAAAUAGUACGGACAAGCUGCUCUACAAUCCCAUGAGUCUCUAACCCCAAUAGACUUGGCUGGAAUAAAGCUUCACCAACUGUAUAUCUUUCUCUUCCAAUUGUUAUCACCUGCCCAAGAAAGUUAGUCAAAGGUCUAUCACCAUCCAGAUCAUCUCUAUGAUCAUAAUGUUCAACAUACAUGAAACCAAUAACCUACGGAAAUUAAUAAAACAAAGAAAAUCACAUGUAUCAGGUCAGAUUAACCACAUUCUUCCACUGGAAUGGAUAUAGGGACAAAUCUACUAGAGCCCGUCAAACUUUAUGAGAACUAAAAUAUAACUAUGCAUGGGGCAUCCAUAUUAAAUUACUUCCAUAUAAAGAAGAAAUAGAUAUAGACCAUAAGUAAUCUUCAAUUUAAUUUCCUAAAUGAUAAUCUCUCCAACACAUCUAGACGUAAAAUAAGAAAAAAUGUUGAGAUUUGAAACUUCCAAUUUGAGAUAGUUUCAUAUUUCACAAUUCAAAUAUCUAAAAUAGAAUCUUAAAUAACCUCAAUCAAAUCAAUCAGAUGUUUUCUGAUAAAAUUUUUGGAGAGAACUUGUAAAGGCCAUAGAAAAAAUCCAGCUCAGACACAUUCGAAUGAAAGAAAACAUCAUAUCACCAGCCAAAAACAUAAUGUUUCACGUUGAUAAUGAAUAAAACAGAAUGUUUCCAUGGCAACAAACGUCGGCCAACUCCUCUCUUCUGCUCAAGCUUUGUUUAAAUCAAGAACAACAAUAAAAAAUAAAAUAAACCCUGCUAUCGCCUAAUUGAUUCAACUUAUCCCGUCUUUCAUUUUUAUUUGCCUCCCUCUUCAGUAACCAAUUUUAAUUCACGAUUAUCAGAUUCGAGGAGCACAAACUUUAUUGAAGAACUGAUCAAACAUAAAGUCGGGAACAGGUAAAUAAGCAAUUACCAUAAUAAAUCAUAACCAAUAAAAGAUGAAUCAAAAGGCAGACCUGUCCAUCAGGAAGGGUAUGUGUUUCCACAGGACAAGAGUCUUCUGUCUUUUGAUAAGCUAAGUCAUCUUCAGCACAACAUGAGUAUUGCUGUUUUAUUUUCUCGACAUCAGAUAUGCUGAUAUUCACUAGUGGAUUGGAUUUGCCAAGUUCUUGAGCCAGGAAAUUAGUUAGAUCAGUACCUCCAAACUCAAAUCUUCUUGAGGCAAUGUGGUUAACAGCACCCUCAAUUACUGGAGCAAUAUCUGGUUACAAAAUUCAAAUAAGAUAAAGUUACACAGAACAACAAAUAAUAUCAAGAGAAAAGUCAAACUGAAAGUAAAAUAUUGUUACUAGGCCGCCUAUUAGACAUGUACAUUUCAGACGCAGGCCCAAAUUAAAUUAGGCCCAAUUGUAAUUAUUAGUAUGUAUUGUGUAUAAAUAGAAUAAGGAUGUCUCAUAAUAGACAGUCUGUUGUCAUUUGGUGUGGCUUGGGAGAGACUAGGCUCUCUGAUUCCUAGAGGAGUGGUUAUUUUAGACAGUUUCUGUAUUUGUGUGUCAGCUUCUGUAUUAUAUAGCAGUUGUAACUUGUGUAACUGCCCUGUUGGAUGUUAUAGCAGGCUAACAAUAAAGUAUGCAGAAUUCAUAUACCCUCUUAUUCCCAUUUAUCUCUUGUAUAUUCUGCAUCUAACAAAUACUUAGUCAUCUAUCCAUGAAACAAAAAAUAUGUAUUAACCUUCGUUCGAUUGUCUAUCAUGAAUGACGAUAUUAAACAAGCAUAUCAGAACCGUUUGUGUUCCAAGUUACCACCAUGUGGAAAUUUUAAAUCAUAGCAAUGGCACUUUCUAAACUUGAAUGGUUUAAACGACUACUUCAAAAACUGAAGUUUGCAAAAUAACCUCUCUGAUAUUCAUUUGUGACAAUCAAACAACCUUUAAACUAUUUCCAACUUGAAUACAAGAGCUAACCAACCAUAUAGCGAGUGAAUGCCGUUUAAUCCUAGAAAAUGUCAUAUACAAGGAAAUUAUUAUUUACUACCUGGUGAAUUUUGGGGAUGUAACGUUGUCUUGGUGGCUGGGGUGGGAGCAUGUUACGAUGUAGAAUGAUAAGGAGGUUGAGGGUUCUAUCCCCAUGCACAACAUUAACACUAACAUUUUCCAUUUCAAAAAUAUCAAUUGUUAACCAUUUUCCUGUGUUUCUUUGAGGUCCAAGUUAAUUACAUAUAUAACAACUUAACAAGCUCCAUGCAUACAUUUACGCACCAGCUUUAAGGGAUGUGUUGAUACUUCUUGAAUUGUUUGAUAUUUGUGUCAUUGCAUUAAAAUGUGAAACAGAAUAUGCACUUGCUGAAGGCAGAUAUACCGAUCUAAAAUUGAGGAAUUUUAAAUUAUAUGUAAUCUACAAAUAUAGAUCCAUGGGGCUGAGAGGACUUCUUUAAGAAAUCCAUUUAAUUCAACUACAUUAACUUAUACCGACGCCAGGUGUCCAACUCUUAUCACAUAGUUAUGAAGAUAAUGAAGUAGCCAGGAAACAAUCUACGUGGUAAAAGAAUAUGCAAUUGCAAACAUGGGAUAAUUUAUGGACUUUGACAUAUAGAAAGCACAUCAAACACCGCUUAAAUACUUAUUCGUAAAUUCUAACAAAUCUUGAAAUCCCUAUUGCUUCAAAUAUAGAUACCUAUUUUUCCAUGACCAAUGUCAACUGUGCAUCCAGAGAUCCUACCCACGGCAUAGAGUGAUAAAACUGCCUGUUCCGAGGCAUAAAACCCUGAUAUGUUGAACGUUUCAAACAUAAGUUGCACUAACUGUUCUUUGUUAGCCUGGAAAGCAAUAAUAUAAAUACAUCUGUUAAAAAAAUCAGUAAAGCAUAUACGUAAAGUAUAAACAAAUAAUACAUUUUAAAAGAAAACUAUUGCCACCCCCGAUUUAAUUUUCAAGGAAAGAAUGCACAAACAACCCAGCGCCUAGUAGGAUAAACCAUAAACAGUAGACAUAAACAUUCCUAAGAAGAAAACAUACACAAAAAUGAUAUCAAAAUUAUCUAGGAUCAUCAUAAUAAAGUAUGGUAACCAAGGAGGCAAAUGGUAUAAUACACAAGCCAACACACACAAACACACACACACAAUACAUGAUGCAUUAAAACCCUGAUUGGGUAAAAGGUGUAAAUAAGUACUCAUUUCAAUAAAGUUGGUUAGCUUUAGUCAUAAAUGAUUGUUAAAAAAACAUAAAAAUUCUAUACACUGACUAUAUAACAGAUUUUACUUGGAUAUUGGGCCAUAUUUCAUUAUUUAUAGACAGAUAUUAAAAAGUAAUAUUAUUGUGUUUGCAAGAUAUUAAAACAUGAUUAGAAGCAUGCGUUUAACGUUUGGGUGUAUCUAAACAGUAACAAGUGACUUACAUUUUCACAACCUUAAAUUUGUAGUAUAUGACAUUAAAACCCUAAAUAAUUUCAUCAAAGCAGAAACAAAACAUGUGUAUCCCCAGUGUUGUCCAUUGCAGAUAUCGGAAAAUAGAGGACUGUUAAAAUUCUGCUACACAGUAGUGCUAUAGCGCCACUAUAGUGUAUCAGGGGUGUGCAAAAAAACUGGUUCAUGAGAACUAUAUCCACAAAUCCAGUGAACCAUUUAAAAAAAAAAAAAAACAUUUUCUCUUUGAUCAAAACUGACCCGAUCCAUUUCAUUGGAAAAAGUAGUAAACCGUAUCCAUUUAAAAAAACCAUAUUGAGUCUCAAACUAACAUAGUACAUAUUGCAUCUCAAGCAAAAAAGUGAUCGUAUCACUUUCUCUACUGUAACAGAAAAAUAAUUAUAGGUGAGAUUGAAGAAACAAAAAUGUCGCUCACCAAUUGUAGAGAGAGGAGAGAUUGAAAGAAAAAAGCUGUACUUUCACGAACUCUGCAACAAUGGCGACAGAGUGAGAAACAGAGACGGCAACUGGAAACCGUAACAAGCAGUGGAGACAACAACCGCAAUAACGGAUAUGACCGCGACGAUACCCGUUGGGUGAAAAACAAUAAUCAGUGGCUAUAGUUCUGAACUCAGCUCAGCAGCCCCAUCAAUUUCUAGUGGAAUCGAUAAAAGCAACUUAUGAAUUCACCUUUUAUUUGCUCUAGGAUUGCAAACUUCAUCCACUUCUAUUUUUUUAUUUUAAUUUUAAUAUCAUCUAAUUAGUGUAUUAUGUUUAUUAUCCUGAUUCUCAGUUUGAAAUGAUAUUUUUAUUGGCAACUCUAAAAAAACUACACUCCUGGUUUCAAUGUCAAUUCAAUAACAAUGUGUAUCGCCACUAUAGCUACUAUUUAACAACAAUGUGUAGAGCACCAACCCUCCAAUUUGAAGGAAUUUACAGUGUCAGGAACAUAUCCUUGCCAGACACUAACAAUACACUGACGUCUGACAUAUGUGGUACUUUCAAUCACUUUAGUUUUAUCAAAUUAUUAUCGGUGUCUAUGGGCCAGCCUCCUGGUUUCAAAUUAUUAUCAAAUUAUUAUCGUCUGUGCUUCAUCGAACAAAACAGGUUGCAAAAUCACAAUGCAGUACACAUUCAAUCAAGCUGAACAUAAGAUAAUAAAAAACAACCCUUUCAAAAACACUAAAUUAAAAAUUAAUCAAAAACAAACAUAACUACUAAAAUCAAAUACCUUUGGGGUACAAAGUGGAUCUGUAAACAAUAUUUGUCCCUCAUUACCAAUUUCCCAUCCAAGUCCACUGUACAAAACAUAAUUCAACAAAUCCUCCAUAGCAUCCCAAUCUCUAACAUAACCUCUUACCACUGGCUCAACCGCGACAUCAUCCACCACCAACUGACCAUUACCAUUAUCAUUUGUUUCAUCAACCAUUCGUUUCAUCUGACUAGGAAUUAUCUGAACCCACAAAUACAAAAACAUCAAAAACAAUCACAAUUAGAGAUACACAUUGCUGAUUUCGAGAAAGGAGAAUUGAAAGGGGGGUAUUGUUACCAUGGCAGGAGUUUGAUCGGGAAUAGCAAAUCCGGCUUUGAGGAGACUGGAACCGGCAUCAAUUACUGCAGCUUCCAUGGCUGUGAACAGAGGCGGAUCUAGACAUUUAGUCUAUGUGUGGCUAAAAUUUCAAAGAACUAACAUUCCAAAAUUCCAAUUUCAAUUCUAACUAAUUAACAUUCCAAUUCAGUAACUAAAAACUAACAUUCCAAAAUUCCAAUUUCAAUUAUAACUAACAAAAAAAUGUAGAUAACAAAAUUCUAAUUCCAAUCUAAAUAAAUACAACCUAUUCAUGACAAACAAAAUUUCAAUUCCCAAUUCCCAAAAAUUUGUUAAUCCUAUAAAAUAAAAUAGUGAGUUUGGAAGCAGAAUUGUACAAAGAAAGCAUAAUUAAUUCAUCUAAUCGACAUUCGCAUACAAAGCACAAGUAAAUGUUCAAAUUUGGGUUAUUUAUCAGAAUUAAUAUGACAGAUGAGAGAUUUACAAAGCAAUUUUCAAUUCCAAAUUUGAAAACCCUAAACCUAAAACAAGCAAUUGGAGAAUGAAUUGGGUUACCUUAGAGUGAGUGAGACUGUGAGAACUAAGAGAGAGUGAGCAGGGGCGAGAGAGAGAGAGAGAGAGAGAGAGCGGUAUGUGUGGUUAGGGAGAGAGUGAGAGAGAGACUCGCAAGGGACGAGAGAGAAGAAGAGUUGUUCUGAUUCUUCACAUAUAGUGUUUUAGGGGGGUGGAGUGUGUAAUAGUGGGGGUGUAGUAAGGAGCCGGUUGAUGCAACUAGACGAAAUGAAGAAGAAGAUUGAAGUUAAACAAUUUAUUUAGCGGGACUCAAUUUGAACUCUGUUGUAUUCGUGGUUGGCUUUUGUUGUUUUCAAAGCUGGAAUGGAUGUCAAUUUUGCUCCAUUAUUUUUAUUUUUAUUUUCAUAUAAGAAAGUUUAAAUGAGCUUGACUCAAUCGACUGUAAACGUUCAUCAAAUAUAAAUAAAUAGGAAAAUGCUGUUUUCCACGAAGCAUUGUUCCACGAAAGCCAAGAAUAAGAUUAGCUUGAUCAUAAUUGCUACCAAAUCCUAAAUUAUAUUAUUUUAAAAUUAAAAAAAAAAAAAAAAAAAAAACUUUUGUAACUGUUUCAUUGUGCCUUAUCGUGGCUUUCGUAUUUUCAGAUUUCGUGGGAUAUAGCAAUGCUGAAAUAAAUAUACUAUUUUUUUUUUCACCAAAUGUAAACAAAUAUACUAUUAUUUAUUUGCUAAAGACUAAUGAGGUCAUAUGAUAAUAGGAAUUGAACUCAUGAUUUUGUAGAUGAGUUCACUACUUAUAAAUUGAGACAACUUUUAUUAGUUUCAUUUGCAUUUUUCGAAUUGUUUUUUAUUCAUUAAUUUAUUUAUUUUUCCAUACUUACUUUCUUUUCUUUUUUUAAAUAAUCAUAAUUGAGUUGCGUUAAACACAUGUACUUACUGAGAUUUAAACAGGGGCGGAUUCACCACCCAGCUAGCCCGGGCUCAACCGAUAUUCAGGGUGGAUCUCUUUGGAGACCCAUGGGAGUCAUACCAUCCUCCAAGGUUUCUAUAUAUAUCAUAUUAGACAUAAAUAAUCAAUAAGUUUGCUUGGUUGCAGUGAAAUGGUGAGCGUACUUUCAAUGGUCUCUGGUUUGAGUCCCAUCGCCUCUUCUUUUUAGUAUUUCUCCUAUAUGUUUAAUAUUAAUAUUUUCUCCAAAAAUGUGUCCUGGUAGGGACUUGAAACCCACUCCCCCACACUAAAAUCAAAAGAAACAAACCACUUUAUCUACUUACCGCUUCUUGUUACAUAUUGAAACUGUUCGAUAUAUAUUACAAACAAUUUUGGCACCCCGGUUAUUUCCGUAGGUAAAACUUAUCGCUCUUUUAUUUUUGUCCAGACUCUAUAAAUUUUCUGGCUCCGCCACUAGAUUCAAACAUUGGUUCGCCACGUUGUGAGAAAUUAAUCUCUUUCGCAAGACUCAACUCCUAUUAGGUUCAUCAAUUAUAAUUUUUUAUAGUAUAUAAUAGGUUUAUUAUAUACUAUAAAAAAUUCCUAAAAAAAGGCUUAUGGAAUAUAUACAUAUAUUAGGUUUAAUUAUUCAUUUAGUCCGCUAAGAGAUUGCUUCAUUGUUACUCAAAUUUGGAUUGAGUAUACAUUGCUAUGAUUGGUAUACACAUUAAAAAAACUGCCUAAAAUAACACUUUGAUUCCUUAACUUUAAAACCGUUCAAUUUAGUCCUAAGUUGUGUAAGUUAAUGAAAUUUGAUCUCUUAAUUUGUGUAAGUUAAUGUAACUUGAUCUUUCAAUUGAUGUAUUAUAGUAUAUUUGUGUAUGUUAAUGGUCCAAGUUGCAUUAACUUGCAAAAGUAAGAAACUAAAUUGUAUUUUAAAGUUAAGAGAGCAAACUAAACUCUUAAAAUAAGUUAAAGGUCCAAAUUAAUCGAUUUUAAAGUUAAGAGUCAAACUGAACUUUAAAAAUAAGUUAGAGACUUAAAACAAAAAAAAUAUCGAUAUGAAAAAUCUUCGCCCAUGAUUUCAUCACUAAAUAUGAACCGCGUUGAUCGGGUAUAACAAAUUAACAAUAUACGAUUUUGAUUUUGAUAAACUUUUUUACAUAAAUGACUUAUAUGAACAGCAUAAUUGAAAUUAGAACAUUGAGCUUGAAAGCAAUCAACCUCUGAACUUGACAAUGAGGACACUGAAAAAGGAAACAAGCUCCUCAAACUUAGAAUCAUUGUUUCUAGAUGGAUUAAAAUUGUAAUGCAUAGUUCUUUCCAAUUAACAACACCAUAUACUGUCCCCGUGAGCAUAGCUCAAUUGGCAGGGACAUUGCAUAAUUUAUGCAGGGGCUGGGGUUCGAAUCCCGAACACUCCACUUCUCCAUAUUUAAAUGUGUGAGCUCCAGCCACUAGGCUACUAGACCAAAAAAAAAAAAAAACAACACCAUAUACUAACUAUAUACUAACUACUUCAUGAUUACAAGAUUGUCAUCAGUGACCAAAUCAAACCAAUGAUGGAUUAUAGAAUUCUUCAAUACCUAGUAUUCAUAGUUCUUUCAAAUCCUUAACACCAUAUACUACUUCAUGAUUACAAGAAUGUCAUCAGAGACCAAGACAAACCAAUGAAAUGAUGGAUUAGAAUUCUUCAAUACCUACACAAGAAGAAUGGAAAGGUUAAAUAUGAACAGGUAGUAACUCGCAAAUAUAACCGAUAAACGCUGCAAACAUGUGCUUAGUGAUAACCAACAAUGUAUACAAAGAUUAUAAAACUCAAACUUUUGGAUGCAAAGUUAUUGUAAGGGCAACAUGCCAACGCCUAGUCUAAGCAAUAAAACAUGACAAAUAGAAAAAAAAGAUUUAAAAAGAGUUUACCUAGUCUACAUUCUUUUAACUAAGCUCUAUUUUCAAUCCACCACUAUUAGCAUAAGUAUAACACCAUUGUACAUGACUAUCACAAGGACAAUCAAUAUUAAGAGCACUCAUCCAACUACAAAAAAUUGUUUCAUCUGCAAUUUAAAUUCAAUAGCAUAACUAAUUGGGAAUAUUUACCGACACUCGUAGGAAGAAAUUUGUUAGUAGGUCUUCAGUUACAAAUGUUGUGUUAGGUGCAUCUCAAUUUACAGGUCCCAAUUUAACUUAAUUGCAUGUUUUAAUUUAGAAUAAGGGUAGGAAUGUGAUGGGGAUUCCCUUGUUCUUAUGUUGAUUAGGUUGAAGAGAGAGGCUAGGCUCUCCAAUUGCCAGAGGUUGUGUUAGUUGCUAGCAGUUAUUGUAAGCAACUGUAAAGAAAUUUAUUCUCAGAGUGUUGUUGUUAUAAUAUAAAUUCAAUUCGUUAUACACUAUUAGUAAGUUCCAAAUCUACCAGAAAUUUGAAACAAUGAUAGUAGUAAGCAAUGUAGUGUCAUACAACGUAUAUCACAUGAUUAUUAUGCUAUGUUCGUCUAACAUUUUCAUAUACAGCUAGAAUUAUGCUUAUAAGUUCCUUCAUUAAACUUCACUUUUAUAAGCAUGUUCAUUUAACAGUAAAUUGAACUUAGAAUUCAGGAUUAUUACCGCAAUUCUAACUGUAUAUAUGGAAAAGUUAAAUUAAGGAGCUCACAAAAGAAAAUUGAAGUCCAGGUACCAAUUUUAACUUAUCCAAGGAGUUAAAAAAAUUGAGUCAAAAUGUAAUAUUAUUUCAAUAUUCAUAUUUCCAUGAGUAAUAGUUGCAAAGUUUAAACAAUCUAACUACAGAAACUAAGCACAAUAAUGCACUACCACCACUAUCACAUUAUAAACAUUUAAAUGCAAGAGAACAUACUCUGGAUGUGAAUGCAGCCUGACGAUCCACUCUGGAGGUGGCCAAAAUAACCUGAUGUAAUUGUGAUAACCAGACAACUUGGAGACCCGACCUUGAUCCAAGCGAAAAAUACGCAUUCCAGAUUGUAUUUUAUCAAGAUUGCUGAAGUCAGCAGAUAUAUUGUAGACCACAGAAUUCCCACUUCGAACCUGCAAAUCUGAAGCUUUAGCAGAGAACGAACAGUCUCCCCCCACAAAAAGAACAAUGUCUCCAAUAUUUGCCAACUUGACCCACUUCUUCUCGUUCUCAUCAAGCCUGAAUACAUCAAACCUUAUAUCCUUAUCAGCAUUAGAAGUAUCAAUUCCAUGGCAAUCCACAAGCAACAACUCACAUUCACUCUCCACCAAGUGUUUAACAUUGCCACCAAACACCGGAUUGGCCAGCAAGUGAACGGUGGAAUCCGGUCCAAUCAUCAAAGUGCGGCCAUCUUUGUCUGCCACGCAAGGCCUGCCUUUGAAUAGGCAGAUGUCUCCCCACAAGGACCUUGACAUGGUGGGGAUACUCGUCCAAGAAUUGUCCCCACAUCGGAAGAUCUUUGGUACCAGAGAGCUGUCGUAUGUGAGAAGAGCAAGAGGCUGUCCCACAUCACUUGUUGCAACAACGACCUUUCCAUAAUGGAGACGCGUAGUCUGAUCUGAGUCGGGGCCGUGAAUGUAGAACAUGUGUCCCAGAUGGAGAACAGGGAGUUGGUUGAAAUCGAUGAGAUCAUGUGCAAAACGUAAAGGAUAUUUUUGGUAAAGGUGGAACGGAUGCCAGAGGCAGGUUAUGCCGUCUAAAUCAGGACCAAUUCUAAUCAACCAAGGGCGAAGAGGAGUUUGUUGGUUUGGUGGUUUGAUGAGAAAAAUAUUUUGUUUGGAGAGGCAGCGAACGUAAUUGCUAGUAGGAGCGGGUCGGUUUGAUGUUGUGGGUGGUUUGAUUUCGUUAGGGAAUUGUGGAAUCUGUUUCAAGAAUGAAUGGUUGUUGCAACGGUAGUUUGGGACGGAAGAGCACCAAGUGGAACAGACGGAACGAAAGCGAAGAAGAUAGAGUUCACUGUUGUCGAGUUUUUGUGAUAUUAGUUGCAGAAGUUCUCUCGGAAGCUGAGACCAAUCUGCUUCCAUGGAUGCGAGUUCACUGAAACAGGAAUUUGGCGUCGCGCGCCCAGAACAGUGUUACCAUAUGAAAAUUUACUCACAUUAUCAUAUGACAAUUUAUUCACAUUAUCACCUCAAUUUUUCAAUAGCUACCAAUUCUCAUCAAAAUUAAGUUCAUGUUAUUGAAAAUGAACAAAAUAGUGAAAUCUUAUUUUUGAAGGAAAAUGAGAUUCUCUUUUAAAAAAAUUAUUUGUUUCUCCUAUAAAACAAAUUUGUUGCUUAUAAAAACAUGCCACAAUGAAAUUUAGCUACUUACAAGUCACAACUAUGAAGAUUCAAGCUUGUUCCUAGCAAUGCGUUCAGGAACGGCCACCGUAGCGAUUUCCACCGAAUCUGAACAUUAUACAAUCAUUAUAACUCUUGAGAAAACUUAUUCAAAGCUGAAAUAACAACAGAUAAAAGAAUUUGGUAAAACCCCCAAUUUUCUAGACUUAGGGUUUAAAAGGAACCUAUGAAAAUCUAACCUAGACUUCAUAUAUACUAGUUUUUACUACUCAUCAAAGCUAGAUAUCAUUAUAUGAAUCAAAAAAAUUUACCUCAAGAAACACCAAAGAUUAAUCCCUUCAUGAGUGGGUAUUUUCAAUUCAUCAUGAAUGUAGAAUAUAUGAUGAGAAUUUGAGGAAAUAAAAAUGAGAAGAAUGAAGAGGUGAGGUUGAAUGGAGGGCUGAGUAAUGGUGUGAAGGGAAUUUUGGAAAAGGUAAGAAAGGAUGGGAGAGAGAGUUUUGUGUUGUGUUCUUUUUUUAAUAAAAAAAACAAAAAAAAACAAAACAAUAUUCAUUCAAAUAGAUAAAGUACAUCACAUACGAACAUAGUCUCUCCUCGCUGAAUGAAGAAGAAAGAAAAUUUAGAGAGAAGUUGAAGUUUCUCUCACUAAAAACUAAGUAAGGUUAGGGUUUGUGUAAAUUUUAGUGAUGUGUUAUUUUUGGCAAGUGAAAAUGAAGGGUGGGUGUGGUCCGAAAUAUACACCUAGUGCCCCCUUCUUGUUUUUCUUUAGCCUCUCAAUAUAUAUAUAUAUAUAUAUAUAUGGAGUAAAUGGUCACUUUCGUCCAUGAUCCUGCACCUCGUUCCCACGUUUUUUCAUGCCGUGUAUUGAAUUUGAAGUUGUGGCUAUAGCCAAUGUAAAAGCCAUUAGCACUCGGCUUGGCAUUCUUUUAAGGAUACAUUUUCAUGAAAUUAGUUUACUCCACAUUGCAUUAGCAGAAACAUGUGUGAAGCACUAAAACUUGUUUACUCCCUCUGUUGUCAAUGCGGCGCGGCCAGCCAACCUAAUAAUUGGCGCGGUGCAGGAGCGGGGCGCGUAGCGGGCGCUAUUUUGGUGGUGCGACCACUAAUAAAUUUAAUACAGAUACCAUUUUAUUCAAAAAGAAAUAGCAAAAUACCUUAAUCAUUACUCAAAAUUUCAUGAAGUAUUCAUAAUAUGAAAUAAAAGGAAUAGCAAAAUCAAAAAUGGCUAAUACCAAUUAUAUACAACUAGUACAAGUUAUUGAUUUACUAUUUAUAGGUCCGCUUUGGCCGCUUUCCACUUUUGGCCAUGCAAUCCUUGAUAGAUAAGCCUUACACACAUUUGGCCAUGUGAAUAACAAAGACGAGGCUUAUAAUUUGUACCAAGCAUAUGCCUUAAGAACAUGUUUUAGCGUAUGAAAAAGGUCGUAGAGCAAUGUUUUGAAAUGAAACAGAAUGGUCGUAUUCUACUGCAAGUGUGCACAGGAUGCAAUAAUAUUGGAAAAAUAUCUUACUGCAUUAAGUUGUUCUGUUUUUAGCUAUUUAACAGCUUGGAACUGAUGUUACUGGGCUGGUGUCUCUUACAAAAUUUCUGACAGAGUUCAACAUUUAGAGGUGAACUCAUGAACUGAAUGGAGAUACAUGAACCAAAUGCCAAAACUUUUCUAAUUUGUUGACUGAAGUAAUUGAAGAAUGCCGCAGAAUUUUGUGCAUCAAGACAUUGAUGGAUCUAACAGGUUGCAAGUCAAGAGAUAGAUGGAACCUUGGACGCUAUUGUCAUAAGAGGUUCUAUCCGUUACCUCAUAGUAUCGUAUCUUGUGUAUAUCUGGUGUAUAAUUUAUAUUGUCUCCAUAAUAUCAAAUUACAAGUGAUUUAUGGGAAAGGGAUUCUUUGAUCCUUCAAGGAUGUCUUAUUGAGUGACUGCACAAUCGCGAUGUUGCUGAUACACGUGAGAUGAAUUCUUUGAGCCUCCAAGAAUGCAUUCAUUGAAAUUCUGCUUAUUGAAUGAGGUGACAGUGUUGAUGAAAACUCAUCUUCAACCUAGGAAGAUGAAAACUCAUCUUCAACCUAGGAGAAAACUAACCAUAUUAAGUUAUGGGGGCAAUAUUCAACAUAAAUAUACUAUAAAAAAUAUAAUAUUAUUCUUAAGAGUAUAUGUGUAUUUGUAUAGUAUAUAUAUAGAUCACAAUAUUCUCUACUAUUUUCUUAAAUUACGGAAAUAUAUGAAUGUUUUUGAAAAAUGUUGAAUAACCAUUAUUUCAUACAUUAUCAUAUCAUAUUAUAUUAAUUUUUGAAAUAAAAUAAGGGUUAAAUAAGUUUUUCAUCCUAAAAAAUACAACGAAUUUUAAUUUUUGUCCCUAAAAAAUAAAAAUGAAUGUUUUCAUCCUCACAAAAAAAAAAUUGUUUUCUUUUGGUCCUUAAUGUAACGCUCUAAUCGUUGUGUUAUUUAUUUUUGAUUUAUGUGGAGUCUAAUAUAUGAUUUUUUGGUGAUUUAUGUGGUGUGUUUAUUUUAUUAUAUAGUUUAUUUUAAUAAUAAUUAGAAUAAGUGAGAAAUAAUAAUUAUUUUGGUGUUUGGCGAAAUAAUAGAAGUUAUUAGAAUUAUGGGGAGUUAAGUGAUAAUUAAGGGGAGUUAAGUAAUGGGAAGUUAGGAAAAGAGAGUCAGAACUGUUUUACGUGAAACCAAGCUUUGGGAGAGAAAACCAGGAACAAGGGAGAAGAACCAAGAGAAUCCAUUUGAUGUGCAUUUUUCAUUCUGAAUUAAGGUAAGAGUGAGAUUUACUUCAGUAGUGUAGAUGUUAAUUUCUGAUUUUGAGUUUAACAGAGUUCUGGUGAGAAUUGGGGAUUUUGGGUUUUGUGAAGAAAUGAUGAAUUUGGAGUAGAAAUUGUUGUUUUGAUGUUAGGAAUAGGUUCUGGGUGUAUACAGCAAGUUAAUUCAUAUCUGUAAACUGAUUUGGGGAGUGAAUGGAAGGAAAAUUGGAUUUUUGGGAAAAAUCUGUAUUCUGGCCGUACUGAUGUUCAUCGCUCGCCUCGCGAGUGAGCAACAUCAUGUCUCGCCUCGCGAGCAGAACCACUCGCCAUGGCGAGUUAGUGAGUGAAAUUCUGGAUUUUCAAAUUGUUGUUAUAAGAUGUUUUGGGGAUAGUUUAAUGUACCUAAAUGAUUUUAAUGAUGACUGGAGCAAGUUUUAUGUUAAAAAGAUGAAUAGGGAGAUUAGAAUUAAGUUUGAGUGAGAAAAAUGUCAAAACUCCCGAGAGCACCUACUUUUCACUCGCCUCGAGUUCGCCUUGAACUCGCCAUGGCGAGUAACCUGUUUUGUGAACUCGCCAUAGCGAGCAGAUGGUGCUGAAUUACGUACAUGAAUGGUAGUGCUUGGUGUUGUUGUUUUGAGCAUAGUUAUAUUUAAUUAUGCAUUAUUCUAGAUUACUGGAUUACUGGUUGUUGAUGGCUGUGAAGUAUGAUUUAUUUAUUGAACCAUACAUGUUGUAUAAUUUGGAGUCAUAUGGAGAAUGUAUGCAUGGUCUAGUUGUAUGUAGAUAUACACGAGUGGGUCCAUUGCAUAUGCAUAAACAGCGGAGAGGACUCAUGUCCUGGAGCACUAGUUGUUCACAGCGGUGAGGGCUUCGGUCCUGAUGAAUGCUUUAACCAUUCAAAAGCGGUGAGGGCUUCGGUCCUGAUUGGUACCACAUGCAUAAUUGCAUAUUUGAGGAGUCUUAGUGGUGUCGUUAUGUCAUGCAUGAGUCUUUAUUGUUGGUUGUGGUUGUUAUAUUGAUGAUGAUGAUGAUGUUGUUUGAUGAGUAUACAUUUAUACACAUAUUAUGAUGGAUUGAUUUGAUGGUGAUACAGUUGUUGCUUGUGAAUUAUGUAAUUAUAAUUGCAAGAUGAUUUGAUGUUUUAGGGUGUUAGAUUCAAUUGAAGAUUUUAAUAUCUAUAUUUUAUUGUUGUGAAGCUCACCCCUUCUGCUUGAAAAUGUUGCCCUUCCUAUGGAUAACUUGCAGGUGAUCCGGAGUAGUCGGUGGUGGCUCAAGUGUCGUGUCUAGGGCUCUGAUACGUGGGAUGAGAAAUAUUCUUUUUAUUGUUUUCUUUCCUAUGUAUCUUAUUUUGGAACUGGAUGUUGUGGCCCUAAGAUGGAUGAAUUAUGUUGUUAAGGCUUUAUGCCAAGAUAUUGUUUUGGAGAAUUUAACCGUUGUUGUUGUUGCUAUUUAAAAUGCAAAUAUUCCGCUGCAUAAUUAUUGAAGUUAUGAAUUAUGUUUAAUUAAAUAGUUUCAUAUGCUAUUUAAGAAAUUUUGAAAUGUAGUGUAGCAUGCCCGUUUGUGAAUUACUGAUGAAUAUUUUAUAUUUAAUUACUUUUGGGUAACGGGGUGUUACAUUUGAUGGACAACUUAAGUAUAUAUGAAUGUCAAGAUUACGACUCUUUUAUAUUCAAAAUGUGUCAAUCUUAUGCCUAAUUAUUAUUUUUAACAUUUAUGUGUUCAUAAUAAGUUCAAAAAGAUGUCAAGAACAUGUCAAAAUUAUAUCCAUUUUGUGAGGAUGAAAACAUAUAAUUUUUAUUUUGUAGAGAUUAAAAUCAAAUUUUGAUUUAUUUAUGAGGGCGAAAAACUUAUUUAGCCGGUAAAAUCAAAUUGCAAUUAUAAAAAUAUUUUGAUACAGAGUAUGCAUUCUAAAUUUAAUUAUGAUUGUCAUCAAGUAAUUGUGAAAUGUGAGGGGAAAAUAUUAAAGAGGUGAGAUCUUUUUUAUGUAAACAAACCCAUUAAAGUUUCAACUACACAAUUGUUAAUUUUUUUUUAAAAGAACUACACAAUUGUUAUUAGUAUGUUAUAUAUAUAUGAUUGCAUUUCAAAUUGAGAAAUGGUAUUUAAACAACCACUUUUUAUCAAUUUUUGUGAUAACUUUCUCUCUCAUAUUCACAUUAUCAUUUUACUUUCUCUCUCUAUUGCUUUGAUUUUUGUGUCACUGCCUAACUUUCUUUGUAUAAUUUAGUUGUCUAAAAGGUUGUCACAAGAAAUGGUUGUUCAAAUAAGUAGUGCAGGCACGAGCCCUCACAGUGUUGUGAGUGGCUUCGCCCCUGAUCACAAGUGUCUUAUAUAUGGACAGUGAUAACCGAGAUGAGGAUACCUAAAUGUUUUCAUUAUUUAGCACAUAACAAAUUGCAAGCAUAAAAAAUCUAGGGUUAAAUAUGUUUUUGAUCCCUAUAACUAUGUUAACAUUUUGUUUUAAUCUUUCUAAAAAAUUUCUUCAACUUUUAGUCCGCCAAAAUUUUUCUAUCUUCAUUUUUUGUCCCUCUUUUAAAGUAAACUCAUAUGUAUAAUUCAUAUUUUUGAAUAAAAUUUUGCAGAAAAAUUUAUAAUAUUAUAAGAAUAUCUCCAAAAAAAAUAUAGAAUUUUUUAACAAAACAUAAAUUAAAUAUUAAUUUUUAUGUUUUUGGCAGUUAAAAAUUCAUAUUUAAUUUAUGUUUUGUUAAAAUAUUCUAUUUUUUUUUAGAGAUUUUUACAAUAUUCUACACAUUUUUGCUCAAGUUCAUUAAAAAAUACAAAAAUUAAACAGGGACCAAAAGUAGUGAUUGAAAAUUUUAUAAGGACUAAAAGUUAAAGGAAAAUUUUAGAGGGACUAAAACAAAAAGUUAAUAUAUUUAUAGGGACCAAAAACAUAUUUAACCCAAAAAUCUAUUACCUAUAAAGCUCAGCCACAAACAUCGAACACGACGUCAACAUUAAUAAUAAUUAGAGAAUAAUUGAGGAUUUUCGUCCAAAGAUUAUUCUCACAAGGGCACACCGUUAGAGUCUCACUCUUCCCAAUAUAAGCACUAUUAUUGUGUUAAUUUUUCAAUGCGAGACUUCAACUAUUUUUUCAAUUCACACACUAGUUCAAAAUCUAAAGACUUGUGUUUACUCUUCAAUUUCCUACUAAUUCCAUCUAAAGUUCCAACAAUCUCCCAUUUAAAUCCAAAAAAAUAGUGUUGUAGUAAUAACAUCAAACAUUUCUAUAAGAUUGUGCAUAAACAAAGCAGUCAUACGAUUUGUACCUUUGCAUAACAAGUAAGAUUCAGAUUCAACAAGAGUGACUUGUUGUCUUACAUAGAUCUCACACACAACCUUUUUCACAAAAUUAAUAAAAGGUUAUAUUGUUGGUGUCAUUGAAAUAAAUAAUCAUGAUUAGUUUAUUUAGUUAUAUCUUGAAAACAACAAAUAUUUAUAUUUUUAGUUUUAAUCAAAAUAAAAAAUUUAUAAAAAACACCGUUAAUAAUUUUAAAAAAUUAACGCAAUAAAAAAAACGGAAUUCAUUUAAAAAUAAAGACCAAUGGGACAAAAACAAUGGAAGAACGUUACAGUUACAGAAUCACCAAACGAAUAGCGCAAUUCCAUUUCCACCACCGUUGGUAUCUCCGUUUCGGAACAAUCCAUUUUCUUCCUCGAUCAUCACUCUCAGGUUCCUUCUCUCUUUCUUUCAAGUUCAAAUUCCCUUUUAGUCCUCGAAUCCUUUAAUCUCCGAUCAUAAAGCUCGAGUAGCUUAUUUAUCAAUUUCACAUUAAUUGAACAAAAGAGAAUGUUUGGUUUCACCUUUUGUAGAAGUUAAAAUUUAUUAUAUAGAUGUAGAAUUGAACUUCAAAUUUUUGGUUGCUCUUUAUUUGAAUCUAUAUGAACCACGGAUACUUGCACAUAUAUAGACACGGACACUAGACACGACAAGUGGUCAGGCAUAAUCUGAGGAGUGUCCGUGCUUCAUAUAUUACAAUUGAUUUUCCCUCUAUGAUUGAUCUAACUUUAAGCUAGAAAUUGUAGCUUCUGAUUAUAGAAUUAAUUCAUAAUUCAAUUCACUUUUAGACAAAAUCAAUUUAAUCAUAAUCGAAUUUUGUUACUGCAGAACUGAGUACACACAGAAAGAGAGAGCUGACAAGAUCGCCAUCGCCAUCCAUGGCAGAUUGGUCUCGCCUUCCAAACGAACUUCUUCAAUUAAUUUCUGAAAAACUCAAUUUCAGUGAAAUCUACAUUAUUCGCUUUCGUUCGGUUUGUUCUUCAUGGCGAUCUUCCAUUCCCAACUACCCUCACAACCAUUCACCCUUGAAGCUUCCGAUAUUCCCCUACUCUAAAGAAAUCUAUCGUCCAUCCCAAACUAUCCUCUAUAAACACAACAUCUUUCUCAUCAAACCACCCAUAACCCCUCACCAUCACCAACAACAAACUCAUACCUCCUGUUUGAUCAGAAUCGGUCCAAAUUUAAACGGUAAAACCCAACUCUGGCAUCCCCUCUCAAUUCACCAACCACCUUUCAAUUUCCCUUACCAUGUGCUUGACUUCAACCAACUCCCCGUGUUCGAUCUUGGAGAAGAGUUAUACAUCCACGACACUGACUUGCUUCAAAAUAAUCGGUAUAUCCAUUUGGAAAAGGUUGUUGUUGUUGCGACGUGUCAGGGAAGGCAAUCUCUUGCUUUCCGCACAGACAACUGCUCUGCUGGGGUGCCGUUUGGGGUGCCGAUGGUGCUCGGUUGUGGGGCCGAUGGUUGGACGAGGAUUCCCACCAUGUCAACAUCUUUGUUGGGAGACAUGUGCAUUUUUAAAGGGCGGCCUUGUGUGGCAGACAACAAUGGGCACACUGUGAUGAUUGGACCAGAUUCCAGCGUCCACUUGCUGGCCAACGCGGUGUUUGGUGGCUACAUUAAAUUCUUGGUGAAGAGUGAACAUGAGUUGUUGCUGGUGGAUUGCAAUGGAAUUGAUGCCGGUGACGAUGAUGUAAGUAUUGAUGUAUUCAGGCUUGAUGAGAAGGAGAAGAAGUGGGUCAAGUUGACCAAUUUAGGGGAUAGGGUUUUGUUUUUGGGGGAAGACUGUUCGUUCUCUGCAUCUGCUUCAGAGUUGUGUGUUGCAAAUGGGAAUUGUGUCAUCUAUAGUAGGGAUUAUGCUUCCCACGGGCUUUAUUCCAUGGAGUCCGGAAUGCUUGAUUCCAUGGAGUCUGGAAUGCGUAUUUUUCACUUGGAUCAAGGUCGGGUUUCACCUUUGUCUGGUUAUCCUGAUUACUUCAAGUUAUUCUGGUCACCUUCGGACUGGAUCGUUGGGCUGCAGAAAUAACAGAGUACACUCUCCUGCGUGAAAGGUUUAUAUUGUGAUAGUGAUACUGAGUUUUUAUGCUUUGUUAGAUUGGAUAAUUGUUAUUAGUAAACUUAUAGAAAUAGGAAUAUUUCAAAUGAUCUUACAUUUUGACUGAGUUCUUUCUAAUUAAUACAUUUGGAUAUGUUGAAAUUGGUAUUUGGACUUCUAUUUUCUUUUUAAGCUCCUUAAUUUAACUUUUUCAUAUACAGCUGUAAUUAUGAUAAUAAUUCUGACUUCUAAGUUCAAAUUACUGUUAAAUGAAGAAGCUUCUAAAAUAAAGUUAAAUGAAGGAACUUAUAGGCAUAAUUUUAGUUGUAUAUUAAAUAGUUAAUUGAACUUAGCAUAAUAAUCAUGUGAUAUAUUUUAUGACGUCGUAAGUUCCAUUACUGUUGCCAUUGGUUGAAGUUAGAAUGCUAAGAAAUACUAAUUUGCUUCCUGCUAUCACCGUUUAAAUUUUUUCUGAUUGAUUUGGAACUUUGCAGGUAAACGAGGGAGAGUGUCUAACGAACAUAACUUAUAUAUUUUAAUCAAUAACCUUCUGAGAAUAACAUUCUGCAGAGUUGCUUACAAGAACAGCAAGAAAUACAAUAACUGCCAGUAAAUAACACAACCUCUAGGAAUUGGAGAGCCUAGCCUCUCUCAACCAAAACAACAUAAAAACAAGUGAAUCUAACACAUUCCUCCCUUAUUCUCUUAAAAAAUACACAGUUAAAUUAAAUUAAAUUGGGCCCUGUGCCUAACAUGAACAUUUCAAAUAGGAGGCCUACUAAAAUUUUCCUUAGUACUCGUGUACUUAAGCUUUCGCAAUUAGUCAUGCUAUUGAAUUUAAAUACAGAUUAAACUGUGUUUUAAAAAUGGACAUUUGCUCUUGCUAUUGAUUUUCCUUGUGAUAUAUCUGUAGAAUGGUGUUAUAUACUACAGUGGUGGAUUGAAAAUAGAGCUUAGUUAAAAGUAUGUAGAGUAUGUAACCGUUUUUAUAACUGUUGCUUUUGCAUGUUAAUUGAAUUUGUUUUGAUAUUUCAACUAGCUUAUGCAGUUAGAGCAAAUCAAAAUAGUUUAAGAAAUUUUUCUCGGUCAAGUUCUGAAUCAAAUAGACGAGGCUUAUAACUUAUACCAAGCAUAUGCCCUAAGAAGUAAGGACAGGUUUUAGCGUAAGAAAAUAGCCAUGGUCACGGUCUGGUAAUGUUUUGAAGUGACAGAAUGGACGUGGUCUGCUGCUAGUGUGUGCAUGAUGCAUUAAUAUUGGAAAAAUAUCUUUACUGCAUUAAGUUGUUAUAUUUUUAUCUAUUUAAUAACUUUGAACUGAUCUUAAAAAAAAAAACUUUGAACUGAUAAUGCUUGGGCAGGAAUCUCUUGCAAAAUUUCUGACAGGGUUCAUCAUCAGAUGUGAACUCAUAAACUGGAUCGAGAUACAUGAACCAAAUGCCGGACUUGUAUAACAUUUUUACUAAAGUAAUUGAAGAAUGCUGCAGAAUUUUGAUUGGGGAAUGUUGCAGAUUGUGAUUUAACAGGGCAAGUCAAGAGAUAGAUGGAACUUUGGAUGCUAUUGUUAGAAGAGGUUCCAUCUGUUGCGGCAUAAGUAUUGUAUCUAGUGUAUGUCUUGUGCAUCUAGUGUGGAUAAAGUGUUAGUUUGUUUUAAUUCAAGUUUAGUUUUAGUGAUAAUCACAAUUAGUGAUUAAUCACAUUUUGUUUUUAGUUUGUUAUGAAGUUUGUUACAAGUUUGUUAGAGGUUAGCAAAUAAGAUCUAGAGUUUGUAACAUUGCUUGUGCUUCAAGAAACUUAGCUAGACAUUGUAUAUAAGCUGCCUCCUUUGUAUAUUUUCAUGAGAAUCAAUAAUAACAACUAUUUUCUUCAUUCUCUUAAUCUUUUUCUUCUCUCAUUCUCUCUAUAAUUCAUAAAUCUACAGACCCUAGAAACUACAAAAUUGCUUCUGGUUUCAUUGCUUGUUGAACAAGCUUUAGUGUUGCGCUAUCAAAUUGGCAUCAAGAGCCUUUGGUUUCGUUCUAAGGGGUUAUCAAGAUCUUCAAUCAUGCAAUUUGAAGGAAGAAACGUUGAAGGAAACACCAUGAAUGGUAGCAGCAGUUUCAACACACAUCUUUCAAUUCUUGAAGCACGCAAUUGGGAAAGAUGGAGUGCAGUGAUGAAGAAUCUAUUUGGAGCACAAGAUCUGUUGGAAAUUAUGCAGAAUGGUGUAGAUGAAUUAGCUAUGAAUGCCACUGAGGUGCAAAGGAACGCACACAAGGAAUUGAAGAAGAAAGAUUGCAAGGCUCUGUUCUUGAUUCAACAAAGUCUUGAUGAAGGAAACUUUGAAAGAAUCUCAAAAACAGUUAGAUCAAAGGAAGCAUGGGACAUUCUUUCAAAGUAUCAUGAAGGUGGUGAUAAAGUGAAGUUGAUUAAGCUUCAAUCACUGAGAAGGAAAUUUGAGCUGGUGCAAAUGGAAGAUGAUCAGAAGAUUUCUGAAUACAUCUCUAAACUCAUCAAUCUUGUGAAUCAGAUGAAGGCUUGUAGUGAAGCUAUCACUGAUCAACAUAUAGUUGAAAAGAUUAUGAGGACUCUAUCUUCAAGGUUUAAUUUCAUUGUGGUAGCAAUUCAAGAAUCAAAGGAUGUGAAGACAUUGAAGAUUGAGGAAUUGCAGAGUUCAUUGGAAGCACAUGAAUUGAUGGUAACUGAAAGAAGCAGUGAAAGAUCAAUUCAAAAAGCCCUACAAGUUCAAACUAUCAAGAAGGAUGAUAAUGAUAGGAAGAACUUCAAGAAAGGGAAAAAAACGACUACGGGAGGAAACUGGUCUAAAGGCAAGAACAAUGGAUUUGAAAAAGGUGAAUCUUCAAAGAAGGAAAAUUCUAAUCAAAGAAAGAAAAUUGAUAAGAAGAAGAUUCAGUGUUUCAAAUGUGAGAAAUUUGGACACUAUGCUUCAGAAUGUUAGCCUGGUAAAAGGAAAACAAUCAAAGAAUGAUGAAGAGGAAGCUAAAGUUGCAUAAGAUGAUUCAGAUGAUUCAUUAUUGAUGAUGGUUACAACAACCAGUACUGAGAGCUGCAAUUCAGAAAGUUGGUUCUUAGAUAUUGGUUGUUCUAAUCACAUGACAUGAAACAAGACAUGGUUAAGAGAAGUGGAUCCUGGAAGAUAUACAAUGGUGAAGCUUACAAAUCAUAGAGUCUUGGUUGCAGAAGAAAUGGGGAAUAUUGCUAUUGAAGGGAAGAAUGGGAAAGUGGCAAUAAUUGAAGAAGUUCUCUAUGUUCCUAGAAUGCAGUGCAACUUGCUGAGCGUAGGUCAAUUCAUUCAAAAAGGAUACUGAGUUACUAUGAAGGACAACACCUUUAAGUUGUUUGGUAAUCAUCAAAGGUUAGUAUUGAAAACUCCUCUUGCAAAGAAUAGAACUUUUCAGACCAAUAUGAAAGCUGUAGAGUUGAACUGUUUAUCUGCUAUGGUAAAAGAUGAAGAUAACUAGUUAUGGCACUAUAGAUUUGGUCAUCUCAAUUUUAGAGGUCUUAAUCAAUUGGUUGAUAAAGAAAUGAUUCUGGGAGUACCUAAAAUUGAGAUACCUAACAGAGUUUGUGAUACUUGCUUGUUGGGCAAGCAACCUAGAAGUGCAUUCAGUUCAAGUGCAACAAGUAGAUCAAAGGAGCUGCUUAAUGUUGUAUAUUCAGAUGUGUGUGGUCCUUUAGAGGUUCCUUCAUUAGGGGAAAACAAGUAUUUCAUCAGUUUUGUUGAUGAGUUUAGCAGAAAACUCUGGUUAUAUUUGAUUAAGGCCAAAAGUGAAGCAUUUGAUAUGUUCCAGAAGUUUAAAAUCUUAGUUGAAAAGCAAAGUUGUAAAUCCAUUAAGAUUUUAAGAACUGAUGGUGGUGGUGAGUAUACCUCAAAGGUGUUUGAGAAGUUUUGUGAAGACAAUGGCAUUGUGCAUGAAGUCACUGCUCCUUAUACAUCAACAUAAAGGGAAGCUUAAAGCGUCUGAAGAAAACUGCGUCUAAAGUUUGAAGUGCUUCUGAAGACAAAGUGCUUCUGAAGUGUUGACGUCAUCAGAAGCAAGUUCACCAGAAGCUGCAGAUCAUCAGAAGAUCAACCUAAAGCUUCAAAAGUUGUUUCAAGGAUUCAAGCUCGCCAGAAAAUUGCAGAAGACUUGGAAAGUUAACAACGACUAUUUUGAAAAGCAUUGGAUGCUUAUUCCUCAAGGAGCGUUGACAUAGUGCGUUUGUACGAAGUGUAUAACCACUAUCUGCACUACUCUGUUUUUGUCUCUGCUACAAGACAAGAAUAACAUCUCUGCCUGCAAACAAUGUUCAUACACAUUGGGAACACAUUUAAAAUUGAUCCUUCAUAGGACAAUAACCAUAUCAGGCAAAGGAUCAAUGGUGAAUUAUCAAAGCUUCAAACGACUCUUUUUUUUGGUAUGUGCUGGCAAAUUCAACGUCUCUCUCAGACCUCUAUAUAAGGGACUAAAGACACAGAGUUUCAUAAGAACAAUAUACGCAUCAGCUAAGCAAAAACUCUAUUGAAUUUGUUCUCCACUCCAAUCACUUAGAAUUUCUUAACAAAGCUUGCAUCUUAGGAAUUCUAGAGUCUUUAAGAGUCUGUAUCUGAUUUGUAUUGUGAACACCACAAAUUGUAUAUCAAGUGUUCAACUUCAAACAAUUUUCUUUGUAAUUUUGUUUGAAUUAAGAAGUCUCUUGCAGUUGUGCUUGAGCAAUAGAAGUCUCUUGAUUGUGUUCAGGAGCAUAGGAAGUCUCUUGCAGUUGUGCUUGAGCAAUUUGAAGUCUCUUACUAAGUUUAGUAGUGAGCAUUUGUAAUCAGAUAUUACAUAGUGAACUCCUCUUGGAAGUGCAAGAGGGACAGGACUGACUUCCGGCUUGUGGAAGGAACCUGUAUAAAUUGCUUGUGUCUCCCUUCUCUCUUUCUCUCUAUUUUUAUCCGCUGCAUUUAGUUCUGAACAUCUCUUCAGAAGUAGAAUUCUAUCUGCUUGUUUCAGAUAGGAGAAAGAUUAAGAAAAAGCAAACACAAUUCAACAACCCUUCUUGUGUUUUUCUCACCUUCAGGGACAUGCAGGAAUUCAGGAUACUCAAAGCUUUUAAAGUUAACAUUAAACCCCCCAGGGCUCCCAUCAUCAAAGAAGUAAUUUGGACACCUCCCUUGUCAUCUUGGAUUAAAGCCAACACUGAUGGUGCAGCUACAAAUUACCCUAAUAGAGCAGCUAUAGGAGGCAUCUUCAGAAACUUUGAUAGCAUAUGUACUGGUUGUUUCACUCAAUAUCUGGGGGAGCAUGAUGCUCUAUUUGCUGAACUAGUAGCUAUUAUGAUUGCCAUUGAGAUUGCUCACAUUAAUGGUUUCUUGAAUUUUUGGUUGGAAACAGACUCACAAUUGAUUAUUUUGGCUUUUAAAUCUAUUUCCUUGGUUCCUUGGGUUUUAAGAAAUAGGUGGCUCAAUUGCUUAGUUAGAAUCAGGCAGAUGAAAUUUGUGGUGUCUCAUAUCUAUAGGGAGGGCAAUGUUUGUGCGGACAACCUUGCUAAUAGUGGUCUUGCAUUGGCUUCACCUGACUUGUUUUGGUCUGAUAGUUUGUCUGACUUCAUUAGAGGAGAGUACAAUAGGAAUAGGUUGGGUAUGCCAAAAUUUAGAUUUACUACCUUUUGAAAAGAUUUUGGUAUAGUCCCCCUUUUCUUUUUUGUACUCUUUUUUUUUUGUUAAUCUAAUGGUUUGAUGCUUUUGCAUCAGUUUAAAAAAAAAUAAAAAUAUUGACACCUUCUCUCAUUGCCUCCAAAUUUUGUUCUUGUUUAUGCAUGAUAUUUGAUCGGGAGCAUGUCCGAAAGCGAUGUCGAGGAAAUAGUUUGCUUUAGUUAUUUGCUAGCGAUUAACAAAAAAUUGAAGAGUUCAUGGUAUUUUUAUGAACAAUUAUCUAUGAGUUUGUUUAUAUUUUUGUCAGGAACCAUAAGCAUUACUGCUUUAUUUAUUGAUUAUAUUUUGGUUAGAGAACCAUGAGCCUUCAGUGGCGGAUCUUCAUAGGAACCUGCAGAUGAUGUUUGUUUUUCUUGCGUAGGUUGCGGGUUCGACCCUUCCAUCCUCUUUCUUUUAUUUAUGUUAUUAUUUUUACUUAUUUUGUUCAAAAAAAAAGCUUCUAUGUGGAUUUGAACCCGCAUCCCGUACUUUGCAAUCAAGCAAAAUAAACCACUGGACCAGUUAACAAUUGUGAUAUUUCCUUCACAAAAUUUAAUAUAUAUUUCAUACAUUUCUCGCACCCCCCAUAAAAUAUUUCAAGAUUCGUCACUGAGCCUAUCCAUCAGAGAUAAUGCCUAUAUUAGUCUCGCAAAAAGGGGCAUGGUUUAAAAUAAAUUUAUGAAGAGCAACAAUAAUCACCUUAUAAAAUGGUUUUACAAGGAGUCAAAUAUAAGAAAGAAAAACAAAAUUAAAUAUGGUAUCAAAACCAAUCCAUCAGACAGCCCUUCAUUUUUAUCCACACAUUAAACUCAAUAGUAUUUAUAAAGAGUGAGUCCCUCACAUUAGAAGCAAAUUUUAUAAGAGGGUUAGGCCAGAUAAUAAAAAAAAACAUAAUACAUAAUUCUUAAUCUUCAUAAACUUGUUUUGGUGUGAACCAUUUCCUUUAUAAACAAAAUUUAAAGUGGAAGGAUGAUGUCUCAUCCAAUGCAUAGAAGCAUAGAAGAUCUCAUCGCUUAAAAAAAACUCAUAAAAAUAUUUACAUUUACUUUUACAAGAGAAGUGGCAGGCUCGAACCCAUAAACUUUAAGAAUCAAGACUUGUCUUUUUCACAUCAGACCAAACUUGUGAAGUUGACUUAAAGUAAUAUAUCGUAAAUAAUAUAUUGUAUAUGCUAGCUUCUAGUUGAUAUAAGUGCAUAAACUUUUCGUAUAUAAUUUCAAGUCAAACCUUUUAGAAAAAACCAAAUUAGUCCAUUAAAAUUGACAUGAUGAAGAAUUGAACUUGAGACCUAUACUCCAAGGUCUCAGACCAAUACCACCGGACUAUCUCAAAUGACAACUUAUUUUAUUGUAUUUAGGUUUGGUUUGAGAAUUGUCUAAUGUUCUGAGUUGUGUUCUGGAUUAUUGAGAUUGUAUUAAGAUUAAUUAGCAAUGUAAUAUCUCAAUUCAAUAGUAAAAUAUUAUCGUUGUCUUGAUUUUUUGUUAUCGCUAUCAUGUAGACCAACAAUUUUUUAAAUACGUCAAACACUUUUUUAAAUACAUCUUCGCUAAACUCUUGAUAAUUUUGAAAAACGUUAUUUACCUUUUCUCUAGCCCAAAUCCAUCUUUGCCAUAUAGACCAACAAAGAGAAAUCGGUUAUUUAUUAUUUUGAUUAAAAAAAUCAGUUUAAUAUAGACAUUUCUAAAUUAAAGAAAUCAUAAUACCUUUUUUUUAGUCAAGGAAACCAUAAUACCUUUAUUCUCUUCUUUUUUGAAAAAUACCUUUAUUUCAUAACUUUAUGUUAAAAGAAUCUAUAUACAAAAACAAAUCAGUGUAUUUAUUAUGAUUAAAAAAUCAACGGAUGUUAAAGAAAAGCAUUGAAAUUUUUAAAAAGUAAAAGGAAAACAUUUAAAAGAAUUUAUAAUAUAAAAAUAAAUUGACAAUUAAGAAAAUACUUUUGUCAAACAAAAUUAAUAAAACACUUAAAUUGAUAAGAUAUAUGUGGAAGUGAAAAUCAAAAUAUUUGAUAUUUUUUCUUAAGGGUUAAUUAAGUUUUUAAUCCCUAUAAAUAUUCACAAUUUUUUUUUAGUCCCUACAAAAUAAAAUCACACUAUUUAGUCACUGUGACAUUUUCCUUAACCAUUUUAGGGACUUAAAAUGUUGAUGGAAAAAUUUUACAGGGACUAAAAAUGCUGAUGGAAAAUUUUAUAGGAACUAAAAAUGUUGAUGAAAAAUUUUAUAGGGACUAAAAACAAAAUUCUAAAUAUUUAUAGGAUCCAUUUACUUAAUUAACCCUUUUCUUAAUUAAGUUUUCUCUUGAUAUUAUUCUAUAAAAGUAUAUUUUAAUUGCUUUCUUAAGAAUUAAGUUUUUUCUUGAUAUUAUUCUAUAAAAGUAUAUUUUAAUUUCUUUCUUAAGAAUUAAGUUUUCUCUUGAUAUUAUUCUAUAAAAGUAUAUUUUAAUUGAUUUCUUAAGAAGUUUUUUUACGGAUACUUCUCAAUUAAGGUUCUAUUUUAUUAAUUAUCAAUUAAGGUUAUAUUAAUCAAAAUAUAAGAAGAGAGUCAGUUUUCCCUGCCCUUACAAUUUCAUUGAGCGCUCUUCAAAUCAUAUACACUUUGCUUGAGUUCAUCUGUUUUUCUUUCUUACUAAUUUCUCGGAUCAACACAUCUCCCUGUGAUUGUGAACCUAUUACAAUUUCAAGCAGAGAUGGAAAAAUAUUUCACAGCGACAGGUGAAAAGGUUAGGAACUACAUACAUGAUGAACUUGCAUUUUCCAUUCUAUCAAAAUUACCUCUGAAAUCUUUAAAACGAUUUAGAUGUGUUCGUAAAUCAUGGACACUUUUAUUUGAAAACCAUCAUUUUAUGAGUACCUUCUGCAAAAAUUUAAUAUCUAAUCACCAUUAUUACUAUGGUGAUGUAUCUCUACUUUUACAAAUUGGUGAUAGAGAUUUGCUUUCACUUUCAAGUGAUAGAUAUGAGAAUAUGGUGAAAUUAGAUUGGCCAAAUCCUUUCAAGAGGAGGAUCCUUGGUUCUGUAUUUUAGAUUCUGGUAGUAUUACCGGAAUUCUUUGCCUCUACAACAGAAAUAAUAGAAAUAAUGAAAGAACUGUAUUUUGGAACCCAGCUACUAAAGAAUUCAAAGUUAUUCCUCCAAGCCCCCUCGAGGCUGUUCCAACUUAUCAAGGGUUUGGUACUGUUCUUCAUGGGUUUGGCUAUAACCAUGCUAGAGAUGAUUAUAAGUUGAUUAGAUAUUUAUAUUAUUUUUUACCAAGUUCCCGAGAUUUUGAAGAUUUGGGCAUAUCAUUACAAGACGUGCCGUGGGGAGAUAUAUCAAAUGAUUCCUUUUGGGAGAUAUAUAGUCUUAGAAGUAAUUCUUGGAAAAAACUUGAUAUCAAUAUGUACUUGGGUGAUAUACGUUGUUCUUUUUCUGGGUUUGAUUGUGUUAAAAGUCAGCGGUUGUACUUGGAUGGAAGAUGUCAUUGGUGGCAUUUAAUUGACCAUCCUGAUGCUAAAAGAGCAUUGGCGUCGUUUGACUUGGUCAAUGAGGUGUUCUUUACAACACUCAUACCCUUAGACCCGCCUUUAGAUGUAGAUGAUAUAUUUAGCGUUUUUUCAAGGCCCUUAUACUUGGUUGCGUUAAGUGGUUCCAUUGCAUUGAUCUUAUGGGAUUUCGGUACACCUACGUUUGACAUAUAUGUUUUAGGUGAAGUUGGUGUGAAAGAAUCAUGGACUAAGCUUUUUACCAUUGGCCCAUUGGCUUGCAUUCAGCGUCCUAUCGGAGUAGGAAGCAAGGGUGUAUUUUUUAUAAAAGAAGAUGGUGAAAUAGUUUGGUUUAAUUGGAAUAGCCAGAUGACUGAAGACCUUGGGAUUAAAGAAAAUACAUUAAAUUUUAGUCAUGUAUUACUUUAUAAAGAAAAUUUUCUUCUUAUGGGAGGAUAAAUCAUCGAUCUAAUAUCUAUUUUGUACCUAGGAGAUUUAUAACUAUGGAUAUUAAGAUUUUACAAUCUUUAUUUUUAUUUGUCAUGAUGGAACAACAUUCCCGAUGUUGAAAUAACUUACAUGUAUGGAACUUUAUAUUAUAAUCGGAACUACACACACAAACUUACACACAUGCGCAGGGGCGGAUCUAGUGUGGUCUGCACAACCUCAACUUUAAAUAAUUGCAUCAAUAUUUAUAAUAUCGUGAAUUCUGCACAUCAUAAUUAAGGGUCUCUUUUUUAUUUGCACAUUAGGCCCAAAGGACUUCCUCACAACCCAAGGCAGUACAACUUUUCACUACCUUUUCUCGCACACAUAUGCGACAUCACAUCACUAGUAUUAGUUUGUUUUUUUUUUUUUAACUAAGUCAAAAUGAAAUAUAUGAAAUCAACAUAAGUGAUUCAUCGCGCAAAAGAUGUGCAAAAGAGAACCGCCCAAAAUUUUGUACAAGUCAAGUCACUGAUGUCUCAUCAAAGAACAUUCUGAAAUAAAACAGAAGAAACAUACACAAAUUACAGCAAAAGUCCCAUAUAAGAUAAAGGAUGUCGCCACCAGUCAUGAUAGCUGAACGUGAAAGUAAUCAGACCCAACUUCGACCACUAGAUAGAUAGCAGUUUUACCUUGUCUGUUACUUGUUGUGGAUCUAGUGCCUUGUGAUUAAUAACCCGGUUGUUCCUUUCCUUCCAAAUGAUCCAGACACACGAAAGACAUAUCGUUGUAACGCCCUCUCUAAUUAUUUGAUUAUUUUAAAUGAGUUUAGAAUAUACUUAUAUGAUUUAUGUGAUUUAUAUGAUUUAUUUUGAUAAGUGAUAUUUUGUUAUGAUAUAUGUUAUAUAUUUAUUAAUAUAAUAUAUAUGUUAUUUGAUUUAGAAAUAUGUAUAUGUUUUAGAAAAAUAUAUGUUAAUUGGUUUAGAAAUAUAUGUUAAUUGGUUUAGAAAAUAUAUGUUAAUUGGUUUAGAAAAUAUAUGUUAUUUGGUUCAUAAAUAUAUAUGAUUCGUUUUAGAAAUAAAUGUGAUUUGUUAUAGAAAUAAACGUUAUUUAUUAUAAAAAUAUAUAUGAUUUGUUGCAGAAAUAAAUGUGAUUUGUUAUAGAAAUAAACGUUAAUUAUUAUAGAAAUAUGUAUGAUUCGUUUUAGAAAUAUAUGUCAUUUGUUAUAAAAAUAUAUAAAUGAUUUGUUGUGGAAAUAUAUAUAUAUAUAUAUAUAUAUAUAUGUUAUAGAGAUAUAUUUGUUAUUUAUUAUUGUUCUAGAAAUAUUUUAUAUAUAUAUAUAUAUAUAUAUAUAUAUAUAUAUAUAUAUAUAUAUAUUAGAAUAGAAUAUUGAAAUUUUGGUAGGCAAUCUAAUAUAUUUUUGUACUUAAUAUAAUAUAUUUUGGUACUCAAUUGAUAUAUUUAAUUACUAGAUCUAAUAGGUGCAUUACUUGUUUCCAAAGUUUCUCACUUAUUAGUUGUAAAUUAUCUCUAUAAAUAGAGAACUCACACAGUGCAUUCUACACACCGAAAUUCACAGUUGAUGCUUCCUGUGCUUUUCUUCUCUUCUCCCUCUUUUGACUUGGGUUGACGAGUCUUUCUUCUUUUUCUACUCCUUUCUGUCCCUUCGGAAUUAAAAGUGUUCUUAAGGCUAUAAUCCCUCUUAUGUUUAAUGUCCUUUUAAAGAAGAGAAAGCGGUAUAGUUCUUCGUCGAUCAAUCCAAGGUAAGGGUGAGACUAACUUUGCAAUUCUAUUAAGUACGUGAAUCAAUGGUUAGGUUUAACAUGAUGUAGGAUGAGUUUUUGAGGAAUUGAAAAGUAUGUUAAAAUUGUAGAAUUAAUGAAUAAACGGUGGAAACUUGUUAAAAAGAUGUAGAAACUGUCCUUAGACCUUAGAUAAUGAUUAAAAUGAUUUGUUGAUAUUUAUAAUGUUAUAUAAUUAGAUAUAUAUUGCAUGAAUUAUGAUUGAUGAAUUAGUAUAUGUAUGUAUAUGUUUGUGAAUACGAUAUUGUCCAUGAUUGAUGAAGUUUUAUAUGUAUAUAUGAUGUUUUAAGAUGUUGAUUAUUAUUUGAUGUUGUUAUAUUGUGAUAUAAUUGUAUAUGCAUUACUUGAAUUAUAUGUGAAUAAUUGAGACGUUGUUGACUUGUAUUUGAUAUUAUUAUGUCAUGCUGUUUUUGUAUACUGCUGUGUUGCUGUUGUUAUUUAACUAAGCUGCAUGAGUCGGUCUAAGUUGAUUAAGAUGAUGAAGUUCCAAAUUAUUGGAUUAUACAAGAGUUUGUCGAUUUAAGAUGUUAAGAGGUCGAGUCCAUGCAUUAACAUUUCAUUGUUGGGGGCUUGAUGCCCUGGAGCCUUUGCUCAAUUAAGUUGAGGGCUUGAUGCCCUGGGAGCCUUUUUACGCUCAAUAAAGUUGAGGGCUUGAUGCCCUGGGAGCCUAUUUACGCUCAAAGAUUGGUACCACAUGCAUGAUUAGAAGAUUAAGUUGCAUAGUCAAGAGGUUAAGUUGUCAAGUUGUCAAGUUAUCAAGUUGUCGAGUUGUUAAGUUGUUAAAUCAUGAAAUUGUUUAAAGCUGUGAUUCUUUAUAUGAACUAUUAAAGAAGUGAAUUAUGAUAUAUUAUUAUCUAUGAUGAAUAUUAUGAUGAUUACAUGAUGUUGUCUAUGAGUUGUUAAAUAUGAUUGAUGAUGUUUAUGUUGUUAAAUGUAAUUGAUGAAUUAUAUGCUUAAUAUUAUUGUUUGUGAAAUCUCACCCCUUCUGUUUGCCCACCAUGGGUAACUAACAGGUAACCAAGAAUAGUUGAUGUCGUGUGAGCUUUCCUUCUCGUGUGUCUUAGGUGCUCUGAUACGUAACGGGAUGGGAUCUUUUGUUAUUGCUUUUCUAUUCCUUACGUAUUGUUUUUGAAGAUUUACGACUAUGUUUUUAGAUUGGAUUUUUAUGAGAUAUUUAUGAAGAGGCCUUCGUGCCAAAGACUGUUUUGAUUAUUGAAUAAAUUCCGCUGCGAAGUAUUAAAGAUUUUGUUAUUGAAUUUUAAAUAGUUAUUUAUUCAGUUUAUGAUUUUAAGAAAAGAAGUGUGACAUUCCGUUUUUGUUUAACUACUCUGAUUAAAUAAAUGAAAUUUUCACGUUGGGAAAACGGGGUGUUACAAAUUUCAGGAACAAAUAUGUAAAUCGCGGUGACCCUGGUAGAUGACCAAACUGAAGAAGAUGUUCACUAACCGCAGCUGCAGCAACGAAGGUAAUGCCUAACCACCGCAAAACAUAAGAUCACACGCUGCCAAAGGUAGGACAACCUAAAAAUAAAUGACAUGCAGUCUCCUCAUUACCGCACCAUCCAACACAUCUGUUGUCAUCAUGUUGAAGCACACGGCGCCACAUAAGAUUAUCUUUCGUUGGAAGUCGGUUGCGUUGAAGUUGCCAAGCAAAUAAUGAAACUUUUAGCGGAACAUGUUUAUGCCAAACAUUGUCGAACAAGCCCCUUGCAAGAGAUCCAUCAAUCGUUGAGAGAAAAUCAUAAGUCCCCUUCACAGAGUAACCAUUAAAGGGAUCGAGCAGCUACUUCCACCUGUCAAGUAUAUGUUCCUGCAAAACAAUAUCAUGCAGGAAAAAAAAAACACUCCCUAACACACUCCUCCUCCCAGGAAAAAGGCGCCUCCUUCAUACCUAGGCACCGUCCCCAUCUUUAUAUCCUCUCCUCGCCAUUUCCUCCACUAUUCCCCAUCUAUCUUUGGCCAAAUCAAAAAGGCGAGGAAAUCUAACCCCAAAGGGAACACCUCCCACCCAGUUGUCAAUCGAAAAAUAAGUAUACCUCCUCCACCAACCACUCGACGGACAUUAUCAUCAAACCAACUCCCGUACCACAAAGAGCAAUCAUUCCCCCUCCUUCAAACGACCUCCUUCAUCCCCGUACCUAGCCUUCAAGACUCGAUACCAAAAUCCCUUCUUGUCUACCAGCAUCCUCCAACUCCACUUCCAUAAUAAUAAAAAAAUUAAAUUUAUGUCACUUCGUCACACCUAGCCCUUCAUCUCCUAUGGUAAAAAACCGAGUCCCAAUUGACCCAAGCAAUUUUCCUAAUAUCCUCGCCCCCCCGACCGCCACAAAUAAAAGACAUCUUUUAAAAAUAGAUGUAAUAUAAGAAAUUAUACAUGUGGAUGCCUUGAAGAUGGAAAAAAAGUAAAUCAGAAGAGAAGACAAACGAUAUAAAAUAUGAUCAAUUCCAAAUAUCUCCACCAAUAGGAAAUCCCAAAUACAUAAAAGGAAUCGUACCCGUCCGACAGUUCGUUACCAAAGCAGCUUCAGUCAAUCACGAGUCGGACACAUUCACAUCCGUAAGUAUACUUUUGUGAAAAUUAACCUUCAGCCCUGAUACUGCCUCAAAUGAAAGUAAAACAGCCCUUAUAGACCGCACAUUCAACCAACUCUUCUCACCAAUAAUCAAGGUGUCAUCCGCGAACUGCAAAUGGGUUAACUGCACCUCAUUCUGUCGGCCAACAUGAUAUCCACAAAAGAGAUCGACGCCUACCAGUGAUUUCAUCAAUACAUUAAACUGCUCGGCCGCUAGCAGGAAUAAAAAAGGAGAGAGAGGGUCCCCUUGACGAAGCCCCCUCUCCAAAGGAAAUUCCUCCGUGGGGCUGCCAUUCACCAAGACGGGUGCCACCGCAGUUCCAACACAUUCACAAAUCCAUUUCCUCCAAAGGGUCAGAAAUUAAUUUUUACCAUUACCGCAUCAUGUUAUUGUAAGUCCACCGAGUCAUAUGACUUUUCGAAGUCAACUUUAAAUUUGGACCAAUUCUGAUCAACCAAGGGCGAAGUCGCGGGAAUUGGUUUGGUGGUUUGAUGAGAAAGAUGUUUUUUUUGGAGAGGCAGCAAUCGAAGUCGCGAGAAUUGGGAAACAUUGGAAGAGAAUAGUUGCGAGGGUGGUUAGCGAUUGAAUAAGAUCGAUGCCAAGUGGAACAUACGGAACGCAAGCGAAUGAGGUAGAUCUCAGUGUUGUUCAGUUUGUGGGAUAUGAGUUGCAGAAUUUCACUCGGAAGUUGUGACCAAUCCGCCUCCACUGUGGAUUCUUUUAUUCGCUGUAAAUUUGAAUCCGGCGAAAUGUUAUUCUUCCGUCGCAGAUUUGCAGGAACCAUGGUAGAGGAGUUUAAUAGAGUUUUACAACUCUAAAAACUAAAAAGUUUCAGCUAACCAAAUAUAUGGUCUAUGUGACCAUUUUCACUAGUUUCUCAGAAUUUAUUUGGUUAACUAAGUGGAAAAAUAGUGGUCAAGUGUAUUUAGUUGCGUGACCACAGUUUUCAGCUUCUAAGUAGUGGUCACGCAACCGAAAAAAUAUGGUCAACCAUAUAUUUGGUUAACUGAAAUUUUUCAGAGUGGUACAAAGGGGUGUACAUAUUAAGGGUUUCUACCAAUCUUUAUUCUUAUUUUUGGGCAAUGCUAUUAGUAUACAACAACAUUGCACAUGUUAAAACAACUAAAACUAGUAAGUUUUUAUUGAAAAACAACAAUUAUUAAUUAAAAAUUUAUGUAUUAAUUACAAAAUAUACAAGUUCCAAUGCGAAUGUAUUAUUUUGAACUUCUUAACAUAUGCAAAUUUGCACAUGUUAGAAAGAAGAAAAAAAAAACAUUGUUCACUCUUACAUGUGAAUAAGGUAGAGCAUCGGACGGGUUCGGUCGAUUUCAGGUCAAAAUUUCAAAACCGAAGAUGAGUAUAUGAAAACCAUUCCCGACCGUGUAUGGAAUCGGUUUGAUUGGGUGUAUAACAACCUAAACCCCAUAUAUUAUUUUAUAAUUAAAAUACGAUAAUUAAUUAAGCAUGCAAGGAUGUCUCCCAUCUCCAUCAAUUUAAAAGUACUUCAUUCAAAUUUAAAAACGUCGCAGUAAAAUAGUUUUCAAAACAUCAAAGUACACAUCGCAUCAUAGUUUUCAACAUCAAAACUAAAGUUAAAAUGAAUUUUAGAUUAAAUGCAUAAAUUUGUGUGACACUGGAAUGAUUUUAACUGGUCGUUGAAACCAAUUUUAUCACUCAAAUGGAAUCUCCACAAACCAUUUGUUCAUAAGUUCAUUUACGUUGACUUAAUUCACCUUCACACGCACCUACGAAUUGGGUUCAUUUAUAGUAUAUAUAACUCAUUUUCAAGCACAUUCCAUUACGUGGCCGUUUUGGAAUGUAUUCAAUUAUUUUCGUUUUGCUUAUUUAUGGACUAUGGUGAUUUAAUAGAUUUACCUGCCAAUGAUUUUAUUUAAUUCUUGCGGUAUUUUGGAAAUUCAAUUGAUAAAAUUAUGAAUCACCAAACAAAUAUUAUAAUUUUGAAAAGAAACAUGAGGCGAGGACUCUUUUAGCCUUUGGGUGAUUAUUGUUAUCUUUUGAAAGAAAAAUAUAAUUGAAGAAACUUCAAAGUUAACCUUUUGAGUACACAAUUUGAUGUUGAACCUAAUUAAUUAGUCAUAAGAACUCAUUGAACUAGGUCAAAAAAGGAAAGAAACAAUACAAUUACAUAUUGAACAUGUAUCAUAAAGAAAUUCAAAAACACCAUUAUGAACCAAUUCAUUAAUUUAUAUUUUUUUAGAGAAACAUUCGGAUUUAUUAUUGAAAGAAAAUUAAUGAAGAUAUAUAGAUGUAAAUAAUAAGUUAAAUCUAUGCAGUUGGUAUUUUUUUUUAGGGCAAAAUAAAAUUAUAACAUGCACAUAAUAAUAAUAAUAAUAAUAAUAAUAAUAAUAAUAAAUAAUAAUAUUAUUAUAACUUAAUUUAUUUAUUGCAAAUUGUAAUCAUCAUCAUGGGAAAUACACGUCCAUUGGACAAUUAUUCUAAGGGGGAAGACGUUAUCAUCAUCAUGGAAAGUACACGUCCAUUGGACAUUUAAUCAAAGGGCCAGGACAAUCUUUGUACUUGUCACCUGUUUUAUCUAAGCAAAGUUUAAUUUGAUAUAAAUAAUCCUUAUUUUGCACCCUUAGACAUUCAAUUUGUGGUUUAAAACCGCCAAUACCAGUCUCUAUGGUAUCAAAUAUUUUCUGGCUUGUUUCAGGCUUUAUACCACCAGGUAUAAUACCCUCGUUCUGAAGGAUAGUUUUCAGUUCUUUUUUAUGGUAAAUUUUGAAAGCCAAAUUAAAAAAGUCCGGUGGAUGCAUCGACGAACAAGUACCGUGAUUAUCCCAUUGUUCUGACCAGAAAAAUAGAUCAUCGUUUCUCACAGCAGUGUCCAAUCGUGGCCAAUACUUACGGAGAUCUGUCAUGCUUACCAAACUAGAAAACUGAUAAAAUAAACAGCAACAAAAAUGUUAUUUUUCAAGAAUAUAUAUGUAACAAUGAUAAUCAUAACAAAUAGCAAAUAUUAACAACAGAAAACAUUUCAGUAAAUGAACUUACAGUGGACCAAUCUAUCUUUUCCUUGGUGCACAAACGUGGCUGAGGAUCGCUGUAGUUUGACGGCCACAAGCCGUGAAUAGUAAACCAUGUUGUAGGUGGUGGAUUGAUGCAUUUAUUAACCUUGCAGAAUGUUGUUGGCCAUGUUUGAACUAUCUUGAGGUACUCAAAUGGAGUAACAAUUGGCUGUGGUGGUGGUGGAGGUUUUUUCUUCCCUUUUUUAAGAAGUGGGAAAUGAUAAGGUGAUGGAGAAUCAUGAGAUAGAGAAGGAGAUGUUGGAGUUGGAGUUUUAUAAUAGCUGGUGUUAUUUGGUGUUGAAUAAGAGCAUGAAGAAGAAGCCAGUAAUAGACCCACAAAUAUGAUGAUAAUUGGAAUCAUAUUGAGUGACAUUAUCUGAAUCUGUUAAUAUGUUACAUAAAAAAGCUUUUGGUGGUAAUAUGGCUUUAAAAAUAGAUGUGAAGAAAGCCUUUGAUACUCUUAAUUGGCAGUUCCUCAUUCAUGUGCUCCAAUGUUUUGGUUUUCAUCCAACUUUCUGUGAUUGGAUUAAUACUAUAUUGCAUUCAGCUAAACUCUCUGUAAAUAUUAAUGGCAAGGCUGUUGGUUUCUUCAACUGCACUAGAGGAGUGAGACAGGGAGACCCUCUCUCACCUCUUCUUUUUUGCUUUGCUGAGGAAGUGUUAAGUAGGGGUUUGGAAGCUUUAGUUCUUGAUGGCAGUCUGUCCCAAAUCAGGGCCACAAGGGACUUAUAUAUACCUAGCCAUUGUUUAUAUGCUGAUGAUAUCCUAAUAUUUUGUAAAGGCACAUUGGCUAAUAUCAGGCACAUUAUGAAGCUUUUUGAGACUUAUGGAAGUUAUUCUGGACAGUUGAUUAAUGCUCAGAAAAGCAAGUUUUAUGCUGGUGCUCUCUCUCUUUCCAGAGUUCAUACCAUCGUUUCAAUUACUGGCUUCACUCAUGGAAGUCUCCCUUUCACAUAUCUGGGCAUCCCUCUCUUUAAGGGUAAACCUAAGGCCAGACACUUGAGACCGGUUGUAGACAAAAUUCAAAGUAAAUUUCAUGCUUGGAGAGGUAAAUUACUCACUAUAAUGGGUAGGGUGCAACUGGUAAAUGCUGUGAUUAGUAGUAUGUUAACGUACUCUUUCCAUAUUUACAAAUGGCCUGCUAACUUGCUUUCUGAAGUGGCUAAACUUAUGAGAAACUUUAUUUGGAGUGGCAUCUGCACUCAACAAAAAUUGUGCACAGUUUCUUGGGCUAAAGUAUGUAAAUCCAGAGAUCUUGGAGGGCUUGAUGUUAGGGACCCUGCUCAAGUUAACCAAGCAUCUUUACUUUUGCUAACCUGGAAGCUUUAUACCUCCAAUGAGCAAUGGGCUAAUAUAUGUAGAACCAGAUUUCUCAAUAAACACAAGCCUAAAACCCAUCAUCUGACCUCUUCAGUUUGGACUGGAAUGAAACCCCACAUUCAUUACAUUCUGACCCAUUCUAAUUGGUCUAUAGGCAAUGGCAAGAACAUUAGCUUUUGGGCUGAUAGGUGGCUAGAACACACUAUAGUGGAUCUCUGGAACAUUCAUCCCUCUGUGCUUAAUGAGAUUGACUUAGAGGUAUCACAUUUCAUUGUUGAUGGCAAAUGGUGUCUCCCACCCUACAUACAUCAAAAAGAUCCUGCUUUAGCUGCUAGAAUUCAGCAACUCACUCUGCCUGAGGAUGACUUACCUGACACUCUUCACUGGACUGCAUCCCCUGAUGGAAUUCUUUCCAACAAAAUGGCUUUCUCUAGUCUGUAUGGGAAUGGUCAGAAUGUGCCUUGGUCCAAGGUGAUCUGGAAUUCUUUCAUACCCCCCACAAGAGCUUUCAUCACUUGGAGACUUAUCCAUGAUAAACUUCCAACUGAUGAGAAUCUUAGAAAAAGAGGUAGCAUAAUUGUUUCCAUUUGUUGCUUCUGUAGGAAGGAUGUUGAAUCAUCCAAUCACAUCAUCUUUGAUUGUGAGGUUACUGCUGUUUUAUGGCAAUGGCUGUGCAAAGGCACUGAUAUUCCUUUGGAUUUCUCUAGCUGUACAUCUCUUAUUUUGAGCUCUAUUGGCAGAGGAAGCAAGCUUGUUCAACAGUUAUUGGGCUCUGCUAUCAUACACACUAUUUGGGCAAUCUGGAUUGAAAGAAACAAAAGAUGUUUUGACAAUAAACAUCAAUCCAUGACAACUCUAUUUAAUUAUAUUCUGGCUGAAGUUAAAAUAGGUUAUACUUUGAUUGGGGUUAAUGGGAACUCAGAUAUGCAAGAUUACAAAGUCUCCAGACUUUCUAAUAUUCCCCUACAUUCUAAGAGAUUCAUUCCUAAAAAGGCCACUCAUUGGUGUCCUCCUGCUAGGGAGACGAUUAAAUUCAACUGUGUUGGCUCAUCUAUAGGGGCUUCUCCCUGCGGGGCUAUUGGUAUUGUGAUUAGAAACUCCACCCCCUAUUUUUUGGGAGCUGUAGCUAGCAACAUUGGGCAUGCCACUGCCCUAGAAGCAGAAUUUUCUGCUUGUAUGCUUGCCAUUGAAAAAGCUAAGGAAUUACAAUUCAAGUGUAUUUGCAUUGAAACUGACUGUCUUCAAGUGGUGAAUGCUUAUAAUAAGAGUUUUGGUGUUCCUUGGAAGAUGAAAGCUAGAUGGUACAAUUGUAUUGAAGUUCUGCCAUAGCAUUGUCUGUUCUUGUGUUCAUGUGCUCAGAGAAGGUAACCAAGUUGCAGAUGCUUUAGCUAAACAUGGUCAAGGUUUAUCUCAGUUUUCCACUCAAUGGUGGAUUCAGCCUCCAUCUUUUAUUCAUCCCCUCCUUCAGAGGGAUUGUCUUAGCUUAUCUUCAAGGAUGAUUGCAGUCUGAUGUAUUUCUCUCCCGUUUUGUUGGGUUUGGUUUGUUUUUGUUUUUGAUGUUUUCUUGUAUUGUUUAACUCUGGUUCAGGCCUCUCCUGCUUUAUUUUGAUUUCUAGCUUUGAUAAAAAAAAAUAAAAAAAUAAUUGAGUGACAUUAUGAUAUCAAAAAAUCAAAUGUUUCCUAAGUGAAAUUCUAAGUCCACCAGAUACCUUGUUUAUAACAACAGAAGGUAUAAGUGUGAACCCAUUACAUUUUUUUCUACUUAUUGUCGUUGUUUAAAUUUUUCAUACAAUCCAAAUAUGUGAUAAUAAUGUCUUUCAGCUCACACCUUAAUUAUCCACUCAUAUAUAGAAGCAAUUAAGCCCCUCACCGGUGUACCAUCUAUAAUAUAUCAUUAGAUCUUUAAACAAAAACAGUAAAUAUAAGCAACCACUUCAUCUAUUUUAUUUGUAAUUGGAGACUUCAAAUCAAAAUUGAAAAACUGUAAUUAUUUUAGGGUUGGGCAGUAAACCAUGAAUUAUGUGUUCAUUUACUUUCUAGCAUAAUCAAAAUUGUAUAUCUUACCUCUAUAUACAUAUACAUACAUACAUAGAUACAUACAUAUAUUUUAAGGUGCAUUUUGAUGAUGUGUCACCUCACCAAAACUCUCUCUUUUCUAACUAUUAUCUCAUACUUAUGCCAAGUGGCUCUAUUUUUCAUUUUUUUUCUUUUCUUACUUCUAUUUACUACAUAUUUAUUUAUAUAAAAUUCUCAACAUAUAUUCUAAGGUGCAUUUUGAUGAUAUAUCACCUCACCAAAGCUCUCUUUUUUCUAACUAAAAUCUCAUACUUAUGUUAAAUGGCUAUCUUUUUUAUUUUUUUUUCUUUUCUUACAUCUAUUUACUACAUACUUAUUUAUAUAAAAUUCAUUCAUAUUCAUGUAGUUCUUUAUUAUGUAACUUCCAAUUAAUUUGUGUAACUUCUUCCACUUAUCAUUUUUUUUUUAUUCAUAACCUACAAAUUCAAAAAGUUUAGUUCAAGAUUUUUCACAUUCACAUUUACCCUUUAUAACCAUCACCUACUCCACAUUCAUUUUGAACUCAUUUAUACCCAUUUUGACAAUUAUACUAAAUCUUAGAGUGUUUCCACCAUGAUGCUAUUUCUACCACCAUAAAGAUACGUAUUGAAGUUUUAUUUUGAUUGUUUAUUUAUGCUAAAAAUAAUUUAAUCCAUUUCUUCUAAAGUUAUUUUAUUUUCUUUGUUUUCCCAUGAUGAAGGAAUCUUUCCUCUUUUCACUACAUAUAUGAUGCUUAUCUCUGUCAAAGGUAUUUCUUAUAUUACUAAAUAGAAAAUAUUACAUAUACAUAUUGAAGAAAAGUUUGCAAGAAGACAACAUAUAUAUAUCACUAUCUAUAUCUAUAAUCAUGUAUAUAUAUCUUCUAAAGUUAUUUUAUUUUCUUUGUUUUCCCAUGAUGAAGGAAUCUAUUUUUUUAAAGGACAUGUGUUGUGGCCAAUUCACUGUAUCAUGGUUUACCAUGGGAUAACUACUCUCUUGAUCGACAAAAUAGUAUAUCAAUAUGAACUUUUAGGUUUUUAGUUUUUAAAUAAAUAAAGGAUGUAAGUGCUAAAAUUAUUGAUUACUGCUAAUUUAUAUGAAUUCUGAAACGCUGAAGUGAAUAGUUCAGAUUUAGAAUUAUUACAUAAAUAUUUUUAUUCACAACAUGAAAAAGUGUUAUCAAAGGAAAAUAUGAGACAUUACAUUUAUUUCUAUACAACUCGAAUAUGCUCGUGAAGUAGCAAAUUGAGUAAAUAUCUUUAUGAAUAUUUUUGAAAGAUUAGCAACAUUUAUAAUUGAACAAAGAGUGGUUCUUGAUUUAAACUACAAUGCGAUCACGACUGUAGUUUGAAUUAGGUAGUGCGAUGUUAUGAAACUCAUUGGUUUUUAAAUUUUUUUCCUGUUAAAUGAAAAUGGUGGUACGUACAUACCUUUGUUGUGGGGUGGCGACUGGGGGUACACCUCAAGGGUGAUGUUGUAAUCGGGACCACUGUAAGACUUAAUCUUCUCUAAUAAUAUAAAUAAAUGUGUUUUGUAUAAUCUUGAGUUGUAUCAUUUGCUCACUCCAUCUAUUUGUUGUGUGAACAGGUAUCUUUUCUGCGCAGAAAGUAAAAUCUUGAAUUCAGUAGAACUAUAAUGGAUGAUAAAGCUCUCCUUUCAAAUAUUUAAGGAGUAAAUAGUCAAUUUUUCUCCUGAAAUUGUAAGUUUCAUCAAUUACCUACCUGAAAUUAACAAAACUUCAAUUACCCUCCUGAAAUUUCACAACGUUAGUCAAUUUACCCCCUCCAUCAAAUUUUUCUGUUAGUGAACAUGACGUUUUGCAAAUACCCCCCUGAAGUUUUGCACUUAUGUGCAAAAUGCCCCCCAAACUUAAAAAUUUAUAUUUAUUUUUUUUCUUAAAAACAAACAAUUAAUAGUUAAAUAUUAAAGCUAACUAUUAAUUUUGGAGUUUGGAAAAACUACAUACAUAUAUACAUCAAAAUAGGGAAAAAUGUGUAUUUUUAAAGUGACAAUAAUGGUUAUUUCUAAUAGACAGAUUAUUAUUUUUAGAGGUUUAUAAACAAAUUAAUAAUCAGAUUUAAAUUUAUAUUUUCUCCUUCACCAUCUUAGUCUUUUAACUCCCCUAACUCCUUCAACAAUUUGCUCAAACCAUUUAAACUACACAACCCCUAAUAUUAAUCCACAAAUCAUCCCAUUAUUGUCACUUUAAAAAAUACAUAUUUUUUCCCAUUUUGGAGCCUAUUUUGAUGUAUAUAUGCAUAUAGUUUUCCCAAAUUCCAAAAUUAAUAGUUAGUUUUAAUAUUUAACUAUUAAUUGUUUGUUUUUUAAAAAAAUAAUAUAAAUUUUAAAUUUGGGGGGCAUUUUGCACAUAAGUGCAAAACUUCAGGGGGGUAUUUGUAAAACGUCAUGUUUACUAACAGAAAAAUUUAACGGAGGGGGUAAAUUGACUAACGUUGUGAAAUUUUAAAAGAGUAAUUGAAGUUUUGUUAAUUUUAGAGGGUAAUUGAUGAAACUUACAAUUUCAGAGGCGAAAUUGAUUAUUUAGUCAACAUUUAACAUUGUUGCAUUCCUAGAGUUGAAUUCUAGGCUAUGACCUUUGAUGAAUAGAAUAAACUCUGUGCACAUCGGUAAAGUCUUUAUGUUGUUUGAAUAUAACGUUACUUACGGGUUAAUCACUAUCACAAACUUUAUGAAAAGUUGUAAUUUUGUGACUCAAAUUCUUUCAUGAUUGCAGUGGACCCAAAUUGAUAACUCGGAAGUAGUAAGAAUUGAGUACAAUGAGAAAGACAAAAUUCUUUGCCCUAACAAACAUAGAAUUAUGUGAUUGAUAUCAAUCUUUUUGCAUGUGUUGCUGUCUUUUAUUAUUUUUAACAAAUUGUUUAUUUUUUAAUAAAUAAAAUUUGUUGAGGAAAUUAUCAUGUGUCUAACUAUACAUACAACUAAUAAAAAAAUAUUUCUGAAUAUCUUCUAAAGACAAUAUUUUUUUCAAGACUUAAGAAUAAAUCAAAAAAGAAGACAAUCAUUUCCACAACAUUUCCAUCACUAGAAGAAAACAGAGACAUAUAUUCAAGUCGGAUAUCUGUAUUUUUUAUGAGUUGUGUUAUUUGAACAACCAUUUGAUUGACAACUUUUGGGAUAACCAUAAUUUUACUAAAGAAAAAGAAGGUAUGGACACGAAAAUCAAAGCAAUAGAGAGAGAGAAAGUAAAGACAUAAUGUGAGUAUGAGAGGGAAAAUUGUCAAAAAGUGGUUGUACAAAUAUCAUUUCUCAUUUUUUAUGCUUCCAAAUGUAACACGGAACCAUUCUGCAAGACACUACUCCAAUUUAUGCUUUAGGGAGUGUUUGUUUCAAGUUUAGUAGAUUUAUUCUCAUUAAUAACUUUCUUUGGAAUAUAAUGAUCGAAGUUUUAUUCCUAAGUUAAUUUUAAAAGUUGUUUGGUUAAUAUUAUAAUAUUCUCAGGAACCUUUAUAGUAGUGAGGUUAAAAGAAAAGAAUGUAUCAAUUUAUUCUCAUUUUCAUAGGAACUUUAUUUUCAUCCUUUUCUCUAGGAAUUUUUAUAUUCCUCAACAUUUUAUACUCUAGGAGUAAAAUUUAAUAAAGUUGUAACGAACAUAGAAAUACAUAUUUCAAUCAUUUUAUAUGAAAAGAUAAACUUUAGAAUGCUCUCAUUUUUUCUCCCUUCUAUUAUAUUUCAUUCAGGAUAUUUUCAGAUCUUGUGUGUAACUUGCCAGGUUGUAAAAAUCGAGAUUUUGCUUCAGAUUGAAACAGGAUAGCGAAAUCGUAAAACAUAAAAUCGCAACCAAAAUCGAAGGAUUCUAUUCUAUUGAUUUUGUAGAAUCGAAAGGGGAUACCAAAAUUGUAAAAUCAAAUAUCUCAAUCAAAAUCGAAAAAUUCUACUCAAAUAAUAUUAAAUAUAUACUAUAAAGUGCAUAAACAACUUAAAGUUUGAAAUCUUAAAUCAAACAUAAAAUAACCGAGUCUCAAAUCUUAAACAUAAAACAAACUAGUGGCAAAGGUUAAAAGGAAACGACUCAAAGUCUCAAAUCUUAAAUAAAGAACAACCAAGUCCAUGAAAUACUCAGAACCUAGAUGCUACAAGACUACAUCACAUCAUAAACAUGCCAAUUAUAAAGCAGAGUGAAAUCACAAAAUAGAUCAAACAUAGAUGACUUCAAACGGAUUUUUCAUAGUUUAGGAUUCUACUAAAUUUUCAGAUCGGUAAGGCAGAGAAAAAUCGUAGGAUUUCAGUAUUCUGAUCGGGAUUGUAACAACGGUGACUUGUCUUAAUUGAAAUGAUAAUUAUAGCAUUCCAGAACACAAAUUAACUUCUUGUUAUAUUACUGUAACAGUCUUUAAUUUUUGCAUAUUGUGACACCCGUUUUUUUGGUAAUAUAAAUAGCAUCGCAUCAUAUUUUCCCUAGUGUUACAUCCAAACGUAUAGUUAUCCCACAAUUGUGGAGCGUUCUGUUGCACAUUUGGUUUAGCUAAGGAAUAAGUAGUUAAGAAGUUAAAGAUUUAGGAUUCAAAUCUUAGAAAGAGAGAAAAAUAACUAACAUAACAACUAAUACACUAACAUUUAUCAUUCAAAAAAGUUUCUCAACACUGCAGGAUACUCAAUUGGCCUAUUGAUGAUAUACUCUAACAAUCAUAUCAACUCUCUUGUCACGCUUUUAAUUAGUGACCGCAGAGACAUCAUAUUUCGAGUCAGGUACAAAACUCUAUGUUGUUUGAAUAUAACAUUUUAGGCUAAACAUUAUCAUAAACUUUAUGAAAAAGUUGUCAUUUGGUGACUCAAAAUAGUAAGAAUAGAGAGUACAAUAAUGAAGUUAGAGUAUUCUGAAAGGAAAGAAAAUAGUGAGAACUGUUCACAUUAGUAACUGCAAUGCACUAACAAACAUAGCUAAAGACUUUAAAGUUUAUUGCUGGGGCGUUUAUUUCCACUCUUUUUGAAAAUAGUUUACUUUUUCAAUUUUUAUUCAAAUUGGAGUUUGGAGUAUCAUAAUAUAAAAACGCGAGAGAAAUUUCAAAAGAGAAAAUAUGAAAUUUUCCUCUUAUUUUGCCAUUAAAUUUUGUGACGAGCAAACUAGAGAUGAAUUGUUUCAGCUUUCUACUUGUUUUCCUUAACCUUAAUUUUCGUUAAGGAAAACAUAAUUAUAUUGAUUAGAAUUUAGAUGUUCGACUGAGAGAUAAGUUUCAAUGGUAAGAGUUGGAUUCUGUAAUAUGUAGAGAAAAAGUUUAUUUAUGUUAUGAAACUAUUAGAAUAAGAAGAACAAGAACAAGAUUAAAGAGAAGAAGAGAGAAUAGAGAGAGAAGAAAGAGGAUUAUAUUAUUCUCUUGUGAUGUAUAAUUAGAGUACAUAUGAGCUUUAUUGUUAUCGCGAUUUUCGGGUGUCAAGUCAUAAAUUAGGCUUGGACCUUUCAAUCUUUGAUAUUCUCUAUUUUUUCUUGGGAAGGGCAAAAUUGAGAAAAAAAACCCUUAGAUUCUAAGUUCGGGGGUCGUUUUCGCUACGGGAAGGUGUUAGGCACCCGGAACGAUUAUGGUAUUCCAUAAGAGCCGUUCUUCUAAGUUGAUUUCUACGCUUUAUUUUUAUUGCCUACUUAUUAAAAAAAGAAGUUUUAUUUGAGUGAAGAAUGAGGGGAGAAGAUGAUUGAGAUCUCAUUUUUAUUUGGAAAAUGGUUUUUGAAAAGGAGGAGAGAAGCCGUAAGGCAUAGAAGAAAAAUGUCGAAUUUGAUCUUUAUUUUUAUUUCACAAAAAGGCAUUGGAGUUUUGACUCCAAAGUUUGUUUGAAAAAAUUAGCCUAUUUCGAAGAAGAAAUUUCACUAGGCGUCGAAUUCCUAACAUACACCUAAAUCGAUUAUCAUGCAACGUGUGUGCGAGUGUCGGUGCUCGUGUCGGUGUACAUCCCUUAUAAUGUCCAUAGUCCUUUACAUUGUCCUAGAUACAUGCUAUGGUCUUUGUGAAGAAUUUUAAAAGGAACUAAUCUAUCUAAGAUUAUUACAAACCCAAUUGAUAUAGAAAUGAAUGGGAAAAAAUGAUGCCAAAACUAUAGGAUGAAUGAAAUGUGAGAUGAGAUGGUUAGUAUCAUAAAGCAUAGAAUAAUAGAAGUGCAAACAAAAAAAAAAUAUUGAAAGGAAAGACAUAAAAGAAGCAAAUAAAGUGGCAAAAUGUGUGUGAAAAUGGACAUAAAACUCUAGCACAUGUAUGACCCAUAAUCCCUUUAUUUUGGCGUUUUUAGAGGUCUUGCUUUGUGUAAAAAAAAUGAAAAAAAGAUGGGACAUAUUUUAUGCUAGAAUUUAUGGCGCACUUUCAAAACAUUUUGACACUUUAUUCACUAAUGAAAAUGCAUACAAAUUGCAAGGUGAAGAGGGAAUUAAAAUUGAUAUACAAAAGCAGCAAAUUGCACAUAUAAUCGGCAGCAAAAUCAUCACAAAGUUACACUCCAAGAAGUCAUAUCACAUGUCAACGCUUCAAGAGGAAUAUUGCACUAAAAAAUGCACAUACAUGGACCAAAAAUACACUAAUUGAACAAAAACAUCACAUGUGAUCUUUAUCAUUUUUUUUUUAGUUGAAAAGCAUCACAAAAAUAUGAGAAUCCACCAAGAAUCAUGUGAUAUUUUUUGUGCAAUUUUUAGAGUAUUUUUCAAACAUGCAGAGGUUCAAUUAGUAAAGAAACAGAGUGCAGAUGGCAAAAAAAAUAACAAAAAAACGAAAAAAAACUAAGGCCCAAACCCAUGCUGCUGGAAACGGAUCAGGUGGAGAGCACAGAGACCGUUGGAUCGAUCCAGGGAUCAAAAUCUAGAUCCAACGGAUGAGAAAGAAAGGAAAGAACCAAGAAUAAACCGGUUCGGUUUAGCAGCCUAUAUAUAGGUGUGAAAACCGGUUUGUCUCAUUUUUCCUCCUCUUUCUCUCUCUUCCCUCAAUCUAGUGAGAGAAGCUCUCACUUCUCUCUAGGAUUUCCGGUCAGCUUCUCCGGUUCACAUGGCUUUUCCGGCGCGGCGGACGGCGGUGGCGCCUCCGCGCCGGAGUUCGAAACUUCUCCGAUUCAAAAACUUUUUACGUUUUUGAACAUCCUUUUUUGUAUACUACUCGAAUCCGAGCUUAAAUUUUUCAAAAGAGUUUUGAAUCGGAGUAGAUCUAAACUUGAACCUUGAUAGAAAAAAAAAAAAAAUUAAAGAAAACGGAAAGGAAGAGAGGGAGAACGACGGCGGUUACCUCUUUGGCACUUCGAACUCACGAUUGCAGUGGCCCUUGGCUUGGCGUUGUUGCUUCGUGUUCUUCGCGUGUGCGCUUCGUUGCUGUUGCUUCAGCUUCGUGUGCUUGCGUUUCUGUUGCUGGCUUCGAUUGCUUGCGUUUUUUCCGAUUCUGUCCUCUUCUCCUUCCUCUGUACAGAUUCGAUUUUCCCUUCUUCUUCUCCCACCGUGAUCGGUGCUUGAGUUCUUCACUUCCGGUGAGGAAUUCGCACCUUGUAUUGCGGUGGAAUCGAUUCAAUGAUGAAGAUUCGUACACGAAUCUCUGAGAAUUGAUGAUGAAUUUCGGUUAGGGUUCUUUGUGUUCUUGAGUAAUUUUUUUUGUUUUGAUCUAACAGAAAAGAGAGAGAAAGUGAGAAUCUGUUUGUGAUGAUUUCAAUGAUUGUGUAUCUGAUCCUGAAAAUCUGACACUGUGUUGUUUUUAUAGCUGACAUGUGUACUUUGAGACCCAAUGGGGUGAUGACACCUGGACUGGACUGUAUUUGAUUCAAGGACCUUCCUGCAAAAAAGGGAACUAAAAGGACUAAACUGCAAUAAUAAAUAAAAAAAACUAGAAAUGGAAUUUUUUUAAAUGUUUUGGACUAAAAUGCAAUUAAAAAUAAAAUUGGACUAAAAUUGGUAAUUUGAAAAAAACGUAAAGUGAAACCAAAAAUAAAAUCAACAAAAGGACUAAAAUGAACCAGCUACAAAAAUGAGGUAUUUCAAAAUACCUCUCUGCCGAAAUUUUGACAGGAAAAGACCAAAAUGCCCCUAGGGACUAAACUGACUCAGACUGACUCAGAUGCAAUUUUUGAAAUGAUUUUUUAAACAAAGACUCAACAAUAAUUCAUACAGACAAGUUGAAAAGACUCAGAGGCAAACACAGGGACUAAAAUGGGUUCCACUGCAGGAAAUGACCAAAAUACCCUUUUGCAUGAUUUUUUUGAAAUAAAAUGCAAGAAAAGUAAUGCAAUGAUUCAGAGAGUUUUUUUUCAAAUGACUUGUAAUGCAAGAAAGACAUUUUGGAUAGCUUUAUGCAAGAAAAUCAUGAUUGAACAUACUUUGAGACAGAGACAGUAAAAUAUGCAUAUGAAAAGAGAGUAAAGAUUCAGAGUAAAACAACAGAGAAUUGGCAAAUAUCAGUGUUUAAAAAAAGAAAUUUGAAUGAGUAUUUUUAGGUCCAAAAUCAGGGUAUAACAUUUAUUUAUAGAGAAAUACAAUGACUUGGGGAGCAAGCACAAUAUGGCCAAAAAGCUAACAAUAUGAUCCAAUAACCCAAUUGCUAUAUGGACAUCCACUAGUAAUAUUCAUAACACUCCCCCUUGGAUGUCCAUCUCGGAUAUGCCUCAUUAAAACCUUACUAGAGAAAAACCCCAGUGGGAAAAAAUUCUAGUGAAGGAAAAAGAGUACAACAUCCUUUUGUGUUAUAAUCUGCCUCGUUAAAAACCUUACCAGGAAAACCAAAUGGGAUAAAACCAUGGUUAAGGGAAAAAGAGUGCAGAACACAUCUUUGUCUCCCCCUCAUAAAGACAAUUAUAUAUGAGAUGAAGAAGUUUAAACAAUCUUUUAUGUUAGUUACUCAAAAUCUUUACUUGACGGUGACUCUGUAGAAAGAUAUGAUAUAUCUCCAUACUCUUCUCCAAAUUAGCAGUUCUUGUGAUAUCUUCAUAUUGAGUUGUUGAAAGAACCUCCUUUUAAAAUUAGAAAACCACAAGUUUCUUGUAUGUGUGAAAUCAUAAUCCUUAAUAAAGAGCAUUCUCCAUUUCCUUGACGUAGUGCUAACAUUUUCAAAUGAUCAGAUGAUAUCGUUGUUUCUCUAAGAUACAAAUUGUAUGUUUGACUUUGCUGCAAUAUCUGUAUUUACUAAUAUUGACAAAAAAAAUACCACGAUAUAUAUAUAUAUAUAUAUAUAUAUAUAUAUAUAUAUAUAUAUAUAUAUAUAUAUAUAUAUAUAUAUAUAAUAAGCAAAAUGCGUUCGUGUCCUCACCUGACCAAUUCAAAUUGUUCAUGAUUUUCUUGAGGACAUGAUCUUUACUCACAUCAAGUGACAUCACAAUCAUUCUAGUACAUAAUCAAUUAGAUUUGUCCAUAAAAACAUUUAUAUAACAAAAUUUAGAAUCUCUUCAGGAGUUCUAAUAUAUAUACGAUUAUAACAAAUUCAUUUCAAAUCCUUAAAAUGGACAAAUGAUGUCAUCUUUCCAAUAGAUUUGAUAGUACGUUUCACUCAAAUGAAAUCCUUCAAGUAGUUUCAUAUAAUACAAAUAAAUUGUAGCACAUUUUCAUAUAAUUUGAGCCUUUCAUGUGCUACUGAACUUAAUCAAGUAUGAAAAAGUUCUUGGAUUCACUUCUGGUGAAUAUGUCUUUUAAAAUAAAUGGUAGACAUUUACCAAUUCACUUCAGGUGAACAUAUCAAACUCUGUAUAUAUGUAAUUUACCAUACUAGUUCCUUUUUCGCGCGAAAAAUCAUAUAUAGUCAUUUACCUUCACACCUUCAAAUGUGCAGACUACAAGUCCAAACAAAGUCUGCUUCAUGAAACGAGUUUGAUUUCAGUAGAAUUGUCUCUUUCCAUUCUGUAGAUAUUUUCUUUAUCUAUAAUCUUUAGUUGACUUUAACACAUGAUCCUCAUUAUUACUUAUCACAUAGUGCUAUAUUAUAUGCAAAAACACAUCAACGUUGACUUCAUUUCGGUUCCAUCUCAUUCCAUUGAGAUCUUGUAUUCAUGACAUAAUUUACCAAUAUUUAUAAGUUUCAGGUACCUGAUUAGUUCUUCUGGAACUGAAAAAUCAAUUAUGUCAGAAAACUCUUUUUGAGUUUCUAUAUCCUCGUUUGGGUUAUCUUUCCUUUAAGCUCCUUUUCUUAUACAAAGCUUUUAUAUUUGGAACCGAUUGAUCUAUCAUGCUUCAGGCACGAUGAAGACUCAUUUGCAAUAUUAGAUUAUCCGAUAUGGACAUCUAUAGCAGCUAAUAAGAUUUGUUUACCUUUGCAAAUGAGUUAUAUCUUAAGGAUCAAGAAGAGACAAUAAUAUUUCCUUUCAAAUAAUUUAUUUGAACUUCAGGUUCACAAUUUUUUAGCUGCUUACCAUCUCCCCCUAAUAUUGGGAAAACCAAACCAUCAAUUGAUAAUCAGCCUACUAGGCUGUAAACAAGUUGGCUCAAUACAAUUAAAGAUAGAUGGAGAUUUAUAUCAAAUACAUUUUCCCAAUAUUCUUUCAAGAUUUAUCAAAAUGCAUUAUAUUGGAGCAAUUGUGACAUACAUAACACAUCCAAAAAUUCACUUGGAUGAAAAAUAUCAGGUUGUUAACCUUAAACCAAUGAUAAAUUAAGGUGAGAAAUUACAUAUAGUAAUGUGUUGGCUUGAUGCAUAUCAAUAUCUCAAUAUACAAAAUUAUUGAUUCCCAAAAUUGAGUCUAUAAGGCAUGAUCUCAUAACCAAAACAGAGUAUAUAAGGUAUGUUCUGAUAAGUAUCAAUCAUACAAUUAACUUUAGGCGUCUAAAGAAUGGAUCUUCCAGUCCAUUUUAUUAGCAUAUGCUUGUUCAAUAUCAAUUUCAAUUGAAAAAUGAUAGUUAUCAAAUGAUUUCUGAAAAUUUCAGAAAAUAAACUCUUAGUCAAAUUUGUUGAGAAAAUAAUCUCACAAACUUCUGGUUGUGAAUAUACAUGUGAUCAUUUAGUUGAUGCAUCGAUUCAAAUCAUAUAAUAUCCAAGUGAUUCACAUGAUCAAUGUAUUAAUUUAAAUAACACCUUAUAUAGGUGAGAGACUCAUUCUUUUAAAUUGUCAACUCUAUCUGGGAACUAUUAACACACAAUAGUUACUAGAUUGAAGAAUCUUAUGGUUCUUCAAUAUAUAUCCAUUUUUUUUUCAAAUAAUUUAUGCAUCAUAAUAGAUCCGGGAUAACCCAACCGGUCUUGCCAUCGAUUUGUAAACUUAUGGUUUAGAAUAAUAUGUGCUUUCAUUGCACUAAUAAUAUAAUAUGUAAACUUCAGGUUUAUAAUAAUAUUUGAUUCAUUGGUUCUAAUCUAUUUGAAAUUUGAAACAUGAUUUGUAAACUUAUGGUUUACGAUAUUAUGUGCUUCCAUUGCACAAAUAAUAUAAUAUGUAAACUUCAGGUUUACAAUAAUAUGUGCUUCCAUUGCACUAAUAUAAGUGUAUUAUAAAUAAGAGACAAAAUAAAAUUUUCACUACACUUAUUUUCUCCAAAGUAUAUCUCGUAAUAUAGAGAUUUUUAACAUUAAAAUUUUAUGAGAAUGCAAUCUCAAUGUGUAAUGUAACAAUAAAUUAACUCUUUGGGAGCCUUCAAUAAUUUAUUUAUUUUGAAGUGCAAUGCUAACAUUGAUUCCUUGCAUCAUAAAUUAUGAAAUAUACUUUUGGCUCCCCCAAAAUGCAUGAUUGAAACCACUUUAUAGUAGAAAAUUUAAUAACAAUAAAUUCAACUAUCAUAAUCAUGCUAUAAAUCAAAUAUUCAAUUUCAAAUGAAAUAAACUUGAAUCUUAUAUAUACGAGAGAAAAAAUCAUGUCAAUAUUGAUUCACUACAUGUGAAUAUAAAUAUUUACCCAUAUAUUGUAGAAUCAAUAUUUCUCAAAAUAAUCAAACCUUUGUAUAAUGUACUACCAAAUUGAAUCACAAAAGUUGAGAUUCAUUAUUAAAAUACAACAAAUCUUCCACAAAUAUAUAUCAUAACUAAAUAUAUAUCAUAACCAAUUAUAUAGCAUUUCUUUAUUUAUUUAUUUAUAACUAAAUACAAAGUUUAUACACAAAAAUUAUGUGAAUCAAUUUUAAUUUCAAACUAGAAAUUAAAAGGUAGGAUAUAAAUGUUUUGCCAAAUAAAAAUAUAUUUUCACAACAAAUAAAUUCAAUUAAUCAAAUUCAAUUCGAUGCUAACAACAUAUUUGCAUUUGUUGUUACAAUGAUCAAAUAACCAUACUCAAUAAUUCAAAACAAAUAUUUUUAUUCAUGACAUUUAUGUGCAUAUCGAUAAUGGAUCAUAAAUAAGUUUAAAUCAAAAUCCACACAAAAAUUUCCCAAAUUACAUGAAAGCACAACCAUAAAAAUAAAAUAUUUAUUUGUCAUCAAAAGAAAACACAAAUAUUGAAUAGAACAAAUAGAUGUACAUAUCUCCUUAUAAGAAACUUCAGUUUUUCGAAAGUAUAGAAAAUUUUCUACACCGAAAAAAAAUUUGGCCUACUAUAAUUUAGAAAAGAGUCUAUAUAGUCUAUAUGAGCUGAAAUUCAAGAACUUAAAACAUGAUAAUUUAGGUGCCAAACACGAUUUUGGUGGUUGAGAAAUUGAAAUUGCCAAAAUUGCAUAUGAACAAAAUUUUCUAUCGCGAAGUCAAUUUGCUUCUAAAAAUAAUGAUUUUAUCCAAUUUUUAUUUCAAAACAAAAAAUUGUGACAAUCAACUAAAACAAAAUACAUGAUUCUAAUUGGUGUCUAUCAAUCAAAUUGACAAUAAAUCCAUAACAAACAAGAGCCAUAAAGUCAGUAAAAAAAACGGAAUUAGUUACAUUAUCGUUUUUUUUUUUUUAAAUAUAUAGAAUUUAGAAAAUAAUUUUAGAUCAAAUCUUAAAAAAAAUUGAUACAAUUUGAAUACUUAAUUUUAGGAAGAAAAAAUAGAUAUUUAAUUUCAUAUUAUAUUUGAAACAAACUCAAACGUAAAGAUAUGUUUCAAAUCAAUUAUAAUAUAUAUAUAUAUAUAUAUAUAUAUAUAUAUAUAUAUAUAUAUAUAUUUAACUUAGAUCCAAAUAAAAACUAGUUGGUUUAUUUUAAACCCAACAAAAUUGGUUUCAGCAAAAAAGUUGGAAAUAAUCCACAAUUAAGGGAAACAAUCUCAAUCAAAUAGAGAUUUGUUUUAAAAUCAAACCAAAAAGAUAAAAUAAUAAUUAAAUCAAGGGAUAAUUUCAACUGAAUCUUAAAUAAAUAAAACAUGGAAAUUUGGUGAAAAAAAUACACACCAAUUCACAAAAGAAAAUGAGUUUUUUUUUUCUAAGAACUUUUUCACGAACUACUCACAAUCAAAUCGAUUAUUUGUGCAAUCCAUGCAUCACUAUUGAAUUCUUCAGGAAUUCAUGGAAAAUAAAAUUGGUUGAUUUUUAAGUUUUUUAAGCUUUUCAAGAACUAUAUAACAGAUCUAAUCUGUUAUUUGUACGAUCCUUCAUGGAUGUAUCACUACUGAAUUCUUCAGGAAUUCGUGGAGGAUAAAGAUUGAUUUUUAAGUUCUUCAAGAACUAUGCAAUAAAUUUAAACCAUAAAAUAAUUCUCCAAGCAAUCAUUCCUUCAUAGAUUAACGCUUUUGAAUUCUUCAGGAAUUCAAAGAGAAAAAUAUUAAGUUCUUCAGGAACUACGUUGUUGAAUUCUUUAGAAAUUCACAUAGAAUAAUAUUUAGUUCUUCAGGAACUACAGUUUUGAAUUCUUCAGGAAUUCACAAAGAAUAAUAGUGAGUUCUUCAGGAACCACACCUUUGAAUUCUUCCAAAAUUCACAUGGAGUAAUAUUGAGUUUUUCAGGAACGAUAUAAUAGAUCUCUUUGAUUUUAUAAUAUGAGAUUAAUUCUUAUGCAAUACUUCAUGAUUACAUAUGGAAUAAAUAAACACAAUAAUAUAAUACAAUUCACAUAAUAGUGGUUCAAUGUAUCUCUAAGAAACUGAUUCCAAUUGAUUGAAUUAUAAUAGUAUAGUCUAUAAUCAUCGAUAUGAAAAUUAAAACUUAUUUUCAUAUAAAUAGAUUAAAAAGAAUUACAUACCUCAGUUGGUUAGAGUCUCGUGCUGAUAACGUGUUAUGAAACUAUUAGAAUAAGAAGAACAAGAACAAGAUUAAAGAGAAGAAGAGAGAAUAGAGAGAGAAGAAAGAGGAUUAUAUUAUUCUCUUGUCAUGUAUAAUUAGAUUACAUAUGAGCUCUAUUUAUAGAGAAAUACAAUGAUUUGGGGAGCAAGCACAAUAUGGCCCAAUAAGCUAACAAUAUGAUCCAAUAACCCAAUUGCUAUAUGGACAUCCACUUGUAAUAUUCAUAACAAUUUAUUUUUUUUCAAAAACAAUUGUAAAAUGAUACUAGGUGCCACUUACCAAUUUUUUUUAUGCACGUACCACUUUUUAGUGUAAUUUUAAGUAUCUCUUGGAUUUUCUCUAGGAAAAAAAAAAAGUAUCUCUUGGAUAAGAUCAAGAUAGGCUUGCAAGAUGCAAUGAGGAAUAUUCCAACAAUUUAUGACUGUAGCCUGUUUAAACUGUUGGAAUGUAAUGUACCCUAAACAGCUACAUUCACAAUUCAUUUCCCCGUUUUUCUAACAAAAAAUGACAUGACAUUUUUUUGAAGUUUAUUAAAAAUGAUACUUUUUUUUUGACAUUAUUUUUUUCUUCCUAAAAAUGAUACUUUUUUAAAACACCGUAUAUGUAUUUUAAGUUUAUUAAAAAUGAAACUUUUUUAAAACACCGUAUAUGUAUAAACAACACGUUCGAAAUUAAAAAUAAUGAAUUCUUUCGAGACAUUUUUUAAAGAUUCUAAAUUAAAAAAAAAUAUUUUUUAAGAAAAUUAAAUACUUCAAUUUUCAAUGUAUUGAUACACAAAUUUUUAUUAAUUUUACUAUUUAAAGUCUUUAAAGAAUGUCACGAGGAUACUCGUUGGCAUUUAAAAAAAUAGUAGGUCAAAUAUCUCACACAAACUUUAAAGUUAGAUGCUUAUAACAAAUCAACUCUUUCAGUUUUUUUUUGUUAGAACUUGAUCAUUAAAGUCAUAAAAUAUUUGUGAUAUUGUCUUGUUUUCAUCGAACUCAAUUAAAAAUAUUUAUAUUGACGUUUAAUGUUAAGUUGAUAAGUCAAAAUUCAUCGUUUUCAAAACUAUAAUUUAUAAAUGUAUUAUAUAAUAUUGUUGAUGAAAUAUUCUCUAUAAAACUUGACGUGAAUUCGAAAAUAAGAACAAAUGCCUUCCAACUUUAAAACUGAAAAUUGCAUAUUGAACAUGUAUCAUAAAGAAAUUCAAAAACACCAUUAUGAACCAAUUCAUUAAUUUAUAUUUUUUUGGGCAACAUUCAGAUUUAUUAUUGAAAAGAAAAUUAUGAAGAUAUAGAGAUGUAAACAAUAAAUUUAAUUUAUGCAGUGAGUUAUUAUCUAAACUCAUAUUUAUGUUUGUGCUAGUUAUUAAACAAUUUAUAUCAUAACAUCCCCUAAAAAAUAAAAUUAUAACAUGCACAUAAUAAUAAUAAUAAUAAAUAAUAAUAUUAUUAUAACUUAAUUUAUUUAUUGCAAAUUUUAAUCAUCAUCAUGGAAAGUACACGUCCAUUGGACAUUUAAUCAAAGGGCCAGGACAAUCUUUGUACUUGUCACCUGUUUUAUCUAAGCAAAGUUUAAUUUGAUAUAAAUAAUCCUUAUUUUGCACCCUUAGACAUUCAAUUUGUGGUUUAAAACCGCCAAUACCAGUCUCUAUGGUAUCAAAUAUUUUCUGGCUUGUUUCAGGCUUUAUACCACCAGGUAUAAUACCCUCGUUCUGAAGGAUAGUUUUCAGUUCUUUUUUAUGGUAAAUUUUGAAAGCCAAAUUAAAAAAGUCCGGUGGAUGCAUCGACGAACAAGUACCGUGAUUAUCCCAUUGUUCUGACCAGAAAAAUAGAUCAUCGUUUUUCACAGCAGUGUCCAAUCGUGGCCAAUACUUACGGAGAUCUGUCAUGCUUACCAAACUAGAAAACUGAUAAAAUAAACAGCAACAAAAAUGUUAUUUUUCAAGAAUAUAUAUGUAACAAUGAUAAUCAUAACAAAUAGCAAAUAUUAACAACAGAAAACAUUUCAGUAAAAUGAACUUACAGUGGACCAAUCUAUCUUUUCCUUGGUGCACAAACGUGGCUGAGGAUCGCUGAUGUUUGACGGCCACACGCCGUGAAUAGUAAACCAUGUUGUAGGUGGUGGAAUGAUGCAUUUUUUAAACUUGCAGAAUGAUGUUGGCCAUGUUUGAACUAUCUUGAGGUACUCAAAUGGAGUAACAAUUGGCUGUGGUGGUGGUAAAGGAGGAGUUGGUGGAGGUUUUUUCUUCCCUUUAUUAAGAAGUGGGGAAUAAUAAGGUGAUGGAGAAUCAUGAGAUAGAGAAGGAGAUGUUGGAGUUAGAGUUUUAUAAUAGCUGGUGUUAUUUGGUGUUGAAUAAGAGCAUGAAGAAGAAGCCAGUAAUAGACCCACAAAUAUGAUGAUAAUUGGAAUCAUAUUGAGUGACAUUAUGAUAUCAAAAAAUCAAAUGUUUCCUAAGUGAAUUUCUAAGUCCACCAGAUACCUUAUUUAUAACAACAGAAGGUAUAAGUGUGAACCCAUUGCAUUUUUUUCUACUUAUUGUCGUUGUUUAAAUUUUUCAUACAAUCCAAAUAUGUGAUAAUAAUGCCUUUCAGCUCACACCUUAAUUAUCCACUCAUAUAUAGGAGCAAUUAAGUCCCUCAUCAGUAUACCAUCUAUAAUAUAUCAUUAGAUCUUUAAACAAAAACAGUAAAUAUAAGCAACCACUUCAUCUAUUUUAUUUGUAAUUGGAGACUUCAAAUCAAAAUUGAAAAACUGUAAUUAUUUUAGGGUUGGGCAGUAAACCAUGAAUUAUGUGUUCAUUUACUUUCUAGCAUAAUCAAAAUUGUAUAUGUUACCUCUACAUGUAACACCCCGAUUUUUAAUAUUAGUUUAUUAAUAUUAUUUUUAGAUAAAUUAGUAUUAAUGUUAGUAUUAGUAUAUGUUUUUAGGUAGUAUUAAUUUAAAUAUUCAUAUUUAUUGGAAGAAUAGGUAAUGAGAAAAUAGAUGGGUUGAUUAGUCGUUUAAAGAGUGAGAGAAAAUAAUAAUUAGAAAGAAAAUAGAGUUUUUUUUAGAGAAAAUAAGAAAUUAGAGUGCGGACGGGAGGAUCAGUAAAGUUGGGAUGAAAAUAGGUGUAAUUAGUGAGACGAGUAGUACUUUAAUGAUUUAAGUAGAUGGGAGUGUGAAUAGCAAGGCGGUGUAGCUACAGAAAUAAUAGUAACAAUAUAUAGAGGUGCAGAUAGUAAUUUGAAAGAUUAGUAACAAACCUGGAGGACAUAUAGUAAUCUAAAAAGAUUGGUAACAUACUCAAUUAGAGUUUAUAAAUAGAGAAAAGAAUUAGAGAAGAAGGGUUACUUAGAAAGAGAGAAACAAAGCGGCAAAAGAAAAACUAGGGUUGUGGAGAAAAGAGUCAAGGAGGCACACCGAGAAGAAUCUAGAGAGAGAUUUCACAGUAGGAAUUCAUCAAAUUCUUCGAACUAGUAAGGGUGGAGUUUUAUUCAUUGUAAGGGUUGUGUACUCAUGUGGAUAGUGAAGGGUUGUUAAUUUUCAUUUAUUUUCUUAUUCCUUCGAUGAUCUAUGAUUAAAUUCGUGUUCUUUGUUUUUUUUGUUGCUGUUAUUAUUUGUUAGAUUUUUGUUUUCUAAAGUUGUGAUGUUUUCAUGUUAAAUUUGGGAUUGAAAUAUUGUGAUGUUCUGUUUUUUUUUAAGAGAAUAAAACCAUGACUACUUGCAAUCGGAUUCUGAUUACUUCUAAACUUUAUAUGGUUUAAAUUGGUAAUUUUAUAAUCAAUUUAUUAAGUCAUUAAUGUUUAUAUUACCUUUGGUUUGCUGCUAUAAGUUACACUAUUAUUUAUUUUUUUGGCUUGUGAGAAAUUAUUCUUGUUAUUUUCCAUCGCUACUAACACCUAGAUUCUAGUUCAUUCAAUUUAAUUGCCGUAACCAUUCACUGUUGAUGUACCUACUUCGAUUUAAUUUGUGGAUUACUAUUACUGUGGUCUUGUGUGGAUUAUAACUUGAGUUCCAUAAUGAAAACUAGUUAGUGUGCCAUGCCAAUUUAAUAUUAAUGGUCGUGAAUUGUUCUUUAAAAAGGAUGUAGCUUGAUUUAUUUAUUUUAUUCUCUAUAUUGACUAAAAGUUUUUUUUUUUUUUUUGUUAGAGAAAUAAAAUCAUAUCAUUUCAUUAGAAAUCAGAUUGGUAAUAUAUGUAGGAAUAUCAUCAAAGACCUGGAAGCUAGUACUAGAUGUGGCUGCCUUAGCUAAAGCAUGUGCAACCUCAUUUGCUUGCCUCCUAAUAAACUCGACAUGAGAGUUUGUUAAAUUGGUAUUACAGAAUUGGACACUAUUAUCCAUGAUAGAGCCAAACUCGGUGACAUCUCCAUGACCAUUGUUGAAAUAGUCAGCUACUCUUUUAGAGUCAACCUCGAAAUCAACAUUUGAGAGUUGAAGUUCAUGGAUCCACCUAAUCGCAUGGUAUAAUGCAAGAGCCCUCCCCAACAUCCACUGAGCAAACUGGAGUAAACCACAUAGUUUUAGAACGAAAAUGGUUCCCAUCCGAGUCUCAAAUACACAUACCAAGACCCACCUUAUUUGUCUUUACCAACUGAGCUAAGCUCAUGGGGACGAGGACACUAGUUUAACAAGACUCUAUAAAUUAUAGUUUAUUGUUAUUAAUUCUUCUUAUCAGCAAUCAUGCGAAAUUGAUGGAUGUAUGUAUUUGUUUCAUGGGAAAAUAUAGAUAGACAUCCUUUUUUUCAUACCACUCUUGUAUACACCUAAGUGGGAGGUUAUUUUGAUAAUGUGAAACAAAUGAUAAGUAGUUAUUUUGAACCCACAUUGCCACAUGUUGCAUUUAUAUAUGGAGGUUUAAGGGGUGUAUGCCACCUAUGUGUGUCUAUGUAUAAGCACUCUUGUUUCAUUUCAUGCAUGGUUCCAUGUUAUUGGUUUUACCAAACAUGUUUACGAAAAAACCUAAAAUUCCAUAAAAUAAGUGGAGAUGUAAGGGACCAAACCACAUCAAACCAUGUGCCUCACGCAUGCAAGCAAGUGUUCUAUCAUUUGAGGGAGAAAGUCUUACUUAGACACAAUCACAAAUAAAAUUAUUUAGGUAUAUAUAUAACAAUAAAAAAAAUUAAAUGAUAAAUAAAUUAGUCACAUCCUUCAAUAUUAUCAAACCAAUUUUUCUUCAAAAAAAAAAAGGCAUUCAUUGCGAAUGUACCUAAACUUUUUAUAUUUAGGUUUGUCCCUGUGUAAGUAUUUCUCGAUUUGAGGGUAUACAAAUGUUGAUUAAAUAACUAAUAAAUAACAGCUUCAAUCCAAAAGUCAACUAGUUAUUGAGAUAAUUCACACAAAAUGUUACAUCAGUGAUUUAAUAAUAAUAUUCAUCUGCAAUAGAGUCAUUUUCAUCUGUUCAAAGACUCCUAAAUCACAUCCAUAUCAACAUUUCCUCCUUAAACUACUACUCUUAUGCAGGAUUUUUCUGAAAAGUUUCAGAUAGCACAACAACAAGGCCAGCAGCUCCACAUGAUUCUAAAACAAUCUUAAAAAGUUUAAAACACAGUUUCAUUGCUUUGAUGAUUUCAAAGUCUUCCACUGUGAUUAUAUCUUCAACAAGAUCUUGUACAAUAGGCCUGUGUCACAGAAAACUCGACAAAUUAAUCGAAAAAGAGCAAAACACUUUAUUUUAGUUCAUAAUAUACAUGAUUGCUAAGGAUUUGUUUUUACCAUGUGUGGUCUCCGAGAAAUGCUCGAAGCCUGUCUGCUAUAAUAUUUAUCUCAGGCAAUUUUAUUAUCCUCCUUGUUGUCUUAGAUUGCGAUGCAUAUCAUCAGCUCCUUUAUGCUCAGCAACCAAAAUACAAAUAGCCGAGUUAAUAGCUUUGGCAGCUAUUGCUACUCCUGCUAUCAUACCUCCGCCUGCAGUUAACCCCCCAACCAAAUAUUAGAUCACAGAUGGAGCAGAGAUUUUACUGGGUGACAAUCCUCUAAUGUGAUAUUUGUGAUGCAUAUGAUACAUUUUAUUUGACACAACUUCAACAUUUCCAAUCAGAGCACUUUAUAAGUAUACCCUUAUUCAGUAAUACUUAGUAGCCUUAUUAGCUUGAAAAUUUAAAGUAUUCAUUUUUUUUUUUCGCAUAAGUUGAACCAACUAAAGACAUAUGGGAGAAGCUAAAAAAACCAAAUGAUAUGGAAUUGUAAGUGUAAAUUAUUGUUUAAAGAUAAAAUAUAUAUAUACCUGUUAAUCAAGGAAAUCACGGUUAUUAAAGUAGAUAAUUUAUUGCUAAUGAACCAAACAUGUACUUGGUUGUUUGUGUUGGUUUUUUUUGCUUCUGAAGUCAGUAGUAACAGUGCAUAUCUGAAAGAAAAUAAUUUAAAUUUACUUUUGAAACCACUGGCAACAAUAUUGAUUGAAGGAGAGAAUGAUGAAUUUAAAAUGGAGUUGUUUGAUUUGAGAGAUGGAGAAGGAGUUUGAGUCGAUUAGAUUGUAUACAUUGUUGUCUUAUAAAGCAAGAAAAAGAAACCGUGGUUGAGUACUUGAGUUAUGUGUUUUAUUUUUGUCUAGUGUGGUUUAGUUAUUAUAGCAAAGAAAAAGAAAGUGUGGUUGAGUCAUGUGAUUUUUUUUUUGUCCAAUGUGGUUGAAUUAUGUGUGAGAGUGCGAUGCUCUCCAACUCGUGACCAACGUGGAUAUCAUGCAUGAAAAUGAAGGUGAAAGAAUUUUUAAUAAUGCACAAUUGCACAUGGUGUGGGUGAGGUGAUUCUUAUUUACAUUUAAUAAUGCACAUGGGUAAGUACAGAAAUUAACAUAUAUAUGAGGAGACAAUGAUAAAGGAAAUUUUAGUGCUUUUUACCAAAUUGCACAAAGUGAUUUAUUGGUGGGUCGGAUAUUCACUUGUGUGAUUUAUAAAUUCCUAUGUUUGUUACAAAGUUAAAAAAUUAACUUUUGGGAAUUAAAAAUUUCUUGAAAAAUAAUAACUUUCACUUAUCCAUGAUUUUAUUCUCAAAUAAAGUGGAUGAUAAAAUUGAAAUAACUACCCAUAUAUACCCACUAUCACAAAUAAUGCCCAUAAAUCUGACAAUUAUUUACAAAACAUAUUUUUUUAAAAAUACCCAGGAAUAAGAUGCCUAUUAUUAUUUCUUCAGAAAAGUUUAUUCCUAAAAAUAAAAUUUUCAACCGUCAAACAAACACCCCUAACAAAUAAUCAAAAACUGAAUCAAACUCACACCCACAACACAACCAAGUGCACUUAUGUACAACCAUGAAACCAAAUUGCAUAAAAUGAGAUAUACGUAAACAUUUGCGAACUCCAAACCUCAAACCAUCCCUAACAAAUCUGAAUCCAAAUUUUGAAAUUCAAAAAUUGAACUUUUUUUGGUCAAUUAGCCUAGUGGUUAUAUUCACACACAUUAUGUGUAGAGAAAUAGAAAAUUCGAGGUUCGAACCCUGACCCCUGCACAUAAUAUCUCUGGUAGCUACCAACUGAGCUACAUCUACGGGACAAAAAAAAAAAAAAAAAAGUUGAACGCCAACACAAUAACAAAUUCAUGUACUUUAAUGUGUCAUGCUUAAUAGCACUACUCUUGUAAAAAUACUCAUUGUAUAUAAAUUUAUUCUGAGUAAAGUUAUGGUUUUGUUUCUUCUAAGUGAUUCACUUAAAUUACGGUAGAAUAAAAUAUAAUUUAAAUUUAUUUCAAUGACUAUUAAUCAUUUCAUUAAAAUUUAAAUUAAAUUAUUUAAAAAUCCUCUUGAACCCAUUUUCAUAGUGGAAAAUUAUAUAUAAUCAUGUAGCAAUUUUGAAUAAAUGAAAAUUAUCGGGUCUAGUGCAGGUAAUUUUAAAUUCUAAAGUUUUAACAUUAAAGUUAAAGGUUACUUAAAAAAAAACAAAAAUAAAACACUAAAGUUAAAGGUGUCUGGUAUUUUUAAUUUUUGUUUAUCUUAGAAGUUGCUUUAAAACCUAAAAUUGUUUGGUCUAAUUUUUAUAAAAUUUUGAUUUAAUAUAAAUAUAUAUCAUUUCAAUAUAUGUUUAAUCCUUUUUGAAGAAAAUAUAUGUUUAAUCCUUAUUACGCUCGAUGUUAAUACAAAAUUAUUCUUUUAAAAUAUGUCCCCGGUUCAUCCAAAUAAAUUAAUAAAUAUUUUAAAAUACUCAAACAAAAAUGAUUUUAAUUUUAAUACACAGUCAUAUCCUUUAAUAAAAAUAAAAAUGAUGGCACUUCAGUACCUUUAAAAAAACGACACUCCACUUAUUCAUCUUUAAGGUGAAUUUCUUUAGCCGCUAGAUUACUUGACAAAAAAAAAUUAACGACACUCGAAUAAAUAUGCACGGUCACUUCUUAUAUUACAAGCAAUAUUUUUUUGAAAGGACUUUUUUUUUUUACAAAAGAAAAAUCAACUCAUUUAAUUAAUAAUAAUGGUCUAAAUACAAGAUAGCAUGAUGAUGAAUUUGAGAACUAACAUAAGAUAAUGACGCUCUAGCUAACAAAUGAGCAACAUUAUUUGGUUGUCACCUAAUGAAAAAAUAUCUUAAAGUUUUGGUUAAUUCUCAAUGAAGCUUUGCAAAUCUCUAGAAUAGAGCCGAACAAGGAAUAUGUGCUAAGUCCUAGCUUUUAUGUGUGCCUUCCUCUAAGACACAUACCAAUGCCAUAACAACCUUCCUCCUUGAAAAUUGUCGUGCCAAUAAUGCACUUUACCUCCCCCUCUGCCAGUUUCCUCCAUUUACUUUGUUCAUGACGAGAAGUCCCGCUGUUAUUUAGCUCUUCUCCUUCGCCGUGGCCCUCCUUUGCGCAAGCUGGCUACCAUUGCAAUAGGGUUAUGCGUGCCAUAUGGGCAGACAUACGAGGGCUAGUGUCAAUAUCGUUCUAGAGCUUGUCGUUUCUUCACUUCCAUAUAUAGCAUAAAGUCGUGAUAAAAGUGAGAAAUUGUUGAGGUAGUUGUUCGAGUAGCUGGAAAAAUAGAGAUACAAAACCAUCUGUAAUUUCAAAAUUCUCCUUGAUGAUGUGCCAAAGAUUUGCUGCUUUCCAUACUGCUUCCAAUUCAUCACAGCCAAAGAAAACAUAUCAAUCAUUUUCGUACGACCUCUCACACAUCCCACAUCGAUCGCUACAUUGAACGCCUCUUGUUUUCAAACAGUGUCGUGUUUAUAAAAUUGAACGAUACGAUCAUAACCUUAUUUUUACAGAAGAUCAAAGCAAAGAUUUCAUGAUGGGUAAUAAAAAAAAUGAUACGAUCAUUUUGUAAUAUUAAUUUGUUGAUAAAAAGGAUGUGUUAAAUUGAAGAAAAAAAAAACAAAAGAAUUGAUAAAUGUGCACCGUUCUAAUGAAUAGAGUUUAUUGGUUUUAAACCAAAUAUAUUGAGAGAAAGCAAAUAUGAAUUUUCCAGAUGAGAGUCGAAGAGUACUCAUAAGCCAAAAAGCUUCGUAUCUAUCAAAAUAAGUAAGUAUAUUGACUCAUCAUGUAAUGAUAUAUAUAUAUAUAUAUAUAUAUAUAUAUAUAUAUGAAUACAUGCAAAGAAAGAUAUAUAAUAUAUCAUUUUUUGGAUUAUCCUAACACCUUGUGCUCGGCUGCCAAUAAUUAGGAGAACAUAUGUACGGACCUGGAUCCUCUGCUGCCUUAUUGUCUCCUGCCAUCUCUCCUGCACAGAUCCAACGGCUGAGAGAAAAGGAAAAUAAAAGCGGUGACAUCACAGGAAAGAGAAACGGAUGGGUAAAUCAAUUUUUUUUUCUAUCAUCUCUCCUGCCUUAUUCUCUUGUUGUUGUUGCUGUGAGAUUUCUUUAUCGCAUCAUCUCUUUGUCAAAAUCAUUGUUAGAAAGCAUAAUCAAUCCCAAUUUCACCUACCAUGGAGGAAUUAACAACUGGGUUUUAGCAGGAUUGUAUUUUUUUCUUUUAAAAUUAUUUAAUUUUGAAUAGAAAAGCAUAACAUCCAAAAUAACAAUUCACCAUUUUUGCAUUUGAAAAGCCAUUGAAAGAGGGGAAUCAUGAUUUCACCUAUGCCCAACUUGUUUCUCAUCUAUUGUUCUUUUCCUUUACUAUUUUUGUUGAUAGAAAAAAGGGUUCAGAUGUUGUUUUGAUGUUUUGUCUGAAAGUGGUAAAGAUUGAUUCAAUUAAUUUGUAUUUUGGGUUACUAAAAUCAACACUCUCACUGUAAAAAAAUCCCAAGAGAAAAACGACAUCAAUGAAGAAGAAAACCCAGAAAAAUGAAGAAAUGUGAUAUUUUCUCUCUCCUUUAAUUAUGUCAUUUUUUUCUAUUUAAUCAAAAAAAUACAUUGGAUUAAUCCAACGGCUCAGGAUUGCGCAGGAGGGGCUGCAGAUAAUAGAAGGCAGGAGAGGAUCAAGAUCCAAAUAUUUCAUGUUGUAAAAGAAAUAUAUAUCUUGAAAUAUAUCAUGUUGUAAAUAAAUCCAACAUUUAUUUUAACUGAACUGUUCAUCUUCAAGAUAGAAAAAAAAAAACGUAAUGAUAUGGCUUGAUUUCUUCUUUUCUUUGAUGACAUUAAAUCAAUGGUAUUUGAUUGCAACAACCAACAAUAUAAAAAAUAAGAAAAGCAUAAGUCGAUUGGUCAGUAGACAGAAAUCUGAUGCUUGCAUAUAGGGGCGGUUUUACCUGCCGGCGGUCCUGGGCAUAUGCCCGGGUUCAACCGAUACUUUUUUCUAUCACUACAAGAAAUUUGAUUUAUAAUGACGGCCAAAAUCUGUUACUAAGAGGCAAAUUUCCGUAAGAAAAAUCCAUCACACUGCAUGUUUUCCACUUUUACCUAAGGACAAAACCGUAGGUAAUUUCUAAGGAGACCAUUUUAAAAACAUUAUGGACCUCUACCUACGGUUACGACUGUCACUAAAACUUAUCAUUGUUAUAUUUGUAUUUUUUAUAUUUUCUAUUCUAUUAUAAAUUCUAAAAAUAUAUAAUUCAUAAAAUUACCACUAAAAUUAGUUUAAUCAAUAUAAUAAAAUAUUAUAACCAAUAUUAUUGGAAUUUGAAAUAGAUUGCUAUAAUUAAUUUUUAGAAUAAAUUUUUAAAGUAACUUAACUAGAAUAAUUCUCACUAACUAUGAACUAUUAUACGAUUUAUGCAAACCAAUACUCAAUACUCACAAAAAUCAAAAUUUAUAUAUACUCCAUUGCUCUUUCAAUUUAUGGUAACCAAAUUUGAAUCACUAUUCAUAAUAGCUUAUUAGACAAAAUAACUUACAAUAACUUCUACAAUCACUUCAUACCUAAAAAGAAUUGUAAUCACUUCUACACCAGGGCUAAUAAAUCAGAUUUUAACUUUAAUUUGUGGAUCUUCAACAAUAGCGGGUGCACAAAGGGGAUUCUCCUCCAUGGCCGUUUAACAUUGCACAAGGGGGAUUCUCCUCUAACUACAUAGGCUCUGAAAUCUAAGCUCAACAAUCUCUGGCCUCGAUUGAGAAAUUGGAGCUUGAUUCCACUUGGUAAGGGUUUUUUCGAAUUCCAUUUCAAUUCUAUUGAAGACUUGAACCAUAUUUGGGCUCUUGGUGUAGUUAACUUGAAAUCUGAAUUUUUGAGAUUCUAUGGUUGGACAAAAGAUUUUGUUCCCAAAGCACAAGCACAAACACAUGCUCAGGUUUGGGUCAGGUUGAUGCAAUUGCCACAAGAAUACUAGUGCAUGCAAAUUCUGUUUGAGAUUGCUUCUGGUCUGGGAACACCUCUCACCAUUUGAUGAGGCAACUCAACAUAAGCGCUUUGGCCUCUUUGCUAGAAUUCUGAUUGAUGUCAAUAUGGCUGAGAAAUUAUUUGAAUCUAUCAUUGUUGAAAGAGAAGGUCAUGCUUUGACCAUAAAGGUUCAAUAUGAAAAACACCCUUUGUUCUGUGCCCACUACAAAACUAUAGGCCAUAGCGUUCAAUCAUGCUCCAAAAUGAAUGCAGAUACCAGUGUCCUGAAGCAAGUUAACAAGGUUUUUCACAAAUUCAGGCCAAAAAAGUUACUCGAUUGCCCGUUAACAAAGUGGCCGAUGCAACUGGUGUUGAUUAGGUACCAACACCUGUCUAUAAGACUGCAAACACACCUGCUAACAUUGAUUUCAAUGAAAACACUUUGGAUCCAGCUUUUGACGAAGGGGACUGUUCAGUUCAAGAUGUGAAUGAAACUGGAGUUCACAACAUAGAACAUCUUACUACUGUUCAUCACAAGCCUAAUGGAGAUAAUCUCAAACUGCACAACUCCUUUGAGUUGUUGGAAUCUGGUCCUGAGCAGGUGGAGCAUGUCAUAGGGCAAGCUCUAUCAGGGAAGGUUGCCUUGACUCAUAGCACAAACUUAGAGCACCCUUGUAACUUGGUAAAAGAGAACUUUCAACAUGCUGCUUUAAGCUCAAACAACUCUAUAGAACAAACUAGGACCAUUGGGAGGGAGGGCAUUCCCCAAAGUUACUUCUGUGUCACCUGGUUUUGCUAAGGGCCCUAUAUUUGAUGAAUCUUCCUUAUUGCAGCCCAUCAUUGUUCCCAUUACUACCAAUGAUGAAUUAUUGAGGCCAGACAAAAGUAAAGUGUAAGUACUUGCUGGCCCUAGAAAUCUAAAUGUUGCAUGUUUAAAAGAUGGCAAAACUUUGAGCAAUUUUUGGGGAGAUGAAGAUACAUAUACUACUGCUGUUGACCAUGACACAGACAAUGAAACUCAUAAAAUCACCUCUAAUUUUCCACAGUCUGACAUUUACCUGGUAUCUCCUACUGACAAGGUCAAGAAAAACCAAAAAGGGGCAGGACUAAGAAACAAAAGAGCCCUAAAACUGCAACUGAUGUCCCUGCACAACAUCACAACUUUCCUGAGCAUGGUAAAGACAUUGUUAAUACCAGAUUCCAUAUUAGUACUAGAGGUCGGAAAAUGAGUGCAUUCAAACCCGUGCUAAGAGUGGCAUAUCUAAAGUAUAUAAAACAUGAUGUGUAUGCAUUGGUUUAGGCUUUCGUUUUGUUCUCUAUUGCUUUGCUUCUUUGUGUUUGUGUCAUUUCAAUGUAACCUCAGUAGCAGGGUGUGUUUUUCAUCUUAUGCCUCCUUAGAAGUGGUUUAAGGUUACUAAGGAAGUGACUUUGCUUUACUGUUCUUUUUUUUGUCGAAUUGGGUAUUGGCUUAGUCCCCCCCAAUUUUGUACUGUUCCCUUUUUUCUUUUAUUGAAUUUUUCUAGCUUUAUAAAAAAGAAAAUAAUAAUAAUAGCGGGUGCACCAAAGUUAUUACCACAUCAACAAAGGAAGUCUCGGAGAGAGUAUUUACCUCGUAAUUUUAUUUAGCACACUAUUGGUAGGUUAUGUUUCAUCUCUCUUAUUUCAAUUUGUACUUUUAUUGACAAAAUGACGAGUUUAUUUGAUUUCGAUUUAUGACUAUUUAUAUACAAUGUAACAUGUGAAUUUGCGGUCAAAAUUUUGCCCAGACUAUAUAAAAUUCCUGGCUCCGCCGCAAGUUGCAUAUAUAGCUUAUAUUUAUUUUUUCUCUUUCAAUUUCUUUCCUAAAAAAAAGUAUGCGUGAUUGAAAACAAAAAACUUGAAAUUUCCCAUCUAUAUAUAAUUUAAUUCUAUUGAUUUUUUAAAACAAAUUAGGAUUUUUUCCAAAAUUUUUUGUUGUUGUUUUAUGACAAGUAUUCUGGAUUUUACACUUUGGUCAAAAACAUUAGAAAAUAAACAAAUAUUUUUUAUUUGAAAUAUUAUUUUAAUAUUGUAUUAUAAUAUCUACUCAUUUGAAGUAUGAGUUUUAAAUGUAUAUAUAUUUUGUUUGACAUAAGUUAUUUAUAAAUAUUAAUAAGUAUUAUUAUAUUUAACACUAGUAUCAUUGUUUAUUAAUUUAUAGCAUAUAAUAUUAUUUACUUUUUUGAAUAAUAUAAUGUAUAAUAUAUUGAUUACUCAUUUUUUUUUCAAAUAAAUAUAAGACUUAAUUACAAAUUUAAUUCCUCUUUUUUAACCCUGGUGCAAUUGGUCCCUUCAUCUAAAAACCCACCAAAUUUAGUCCUUCAAUCAAAGUUUUGGACUAAAAAGUUGUGAUGUGAUAUGGAAUGACCAACACCCAUUAAAUUAUAAGAAAAUAGUUUAAAAAACUUAAGUUUCAACUUUUAUGUCGAUGCUUCCCCUUGAUGUCUGUCAUUUCUCCUGAUUUAGCGGAAAAAAACUUUUACAAUGUAAAUAAUAACAUGUACAAAUUUAAUUUGUAUAAAUGGUUAUGCAUCACCGGAUUGUAUAUUACGUCAUGGGAAACUUAUUAUAUCGUAAUAUUUUAACCUAAAAAUUUGAGUAAGGGAUCAAAACUGAUAGAUUUUAAAAUAGGGGAUCAAUCCUAUGAGAAAAUUAAAAUAAAAGGGAUAAAAAAUGUAACAAAGUUUAAAUAUAAAACUUUAAAUCAAAUAUUGAUAUACUAAUGAUAAUCAUUAUAAGUGGUUAGUAUUAUUUUUAAGAUAUAUCCAUUGUUUUAAUAAUGUGAAAAUGAAAUAAUUUAAUCAACUGUAAAUUUAGUAAACAUUAUAAUUUCAUACCAUAAAGGUCAUAUUCUUUAGAAUAUUGGGAUUGAAAAAAUGUAACGCAGUCAAGCACGCACAUAGAGAGAAAAAUAGAGCACACUUUAUUUCACACCUCUCAUACACAUCACUCACGCUCCUCUCGUUUUUCUUACAUAAAAAUAAUUUGACUUUACAUUUUAUUAUUUUAACAAUGAUGGUCAAAACAAUACUUUUCUUCUAGAACUAAAAAUUUAAGCUUAAAAGCUCUUAAACUUUUCUCAUUAACCAUAACCAAAACAAUCAAAUCUUUAUCUCUUUCUCAAUGGAGGAAGACAUGGCACCUUGGUUGAAACCUCAAAUCGAAGAAGAGUGGUACAUGAACAGUAUACCGCCUCAUACUGAAGAACUUAUCCCAAAUCUUCAAAACCACACUCAACAACAAAACAAUGUCGGUCCUUCAGAUCCAAACACUUCUGUUUUUAAGCACCAUUUAGGUUCCUCGUUUUCUUUGCCAUCACCUAAAUCCAAUUUCUCAAAUCUACUAAAUAUUAAUGACAACAUCAAUAUAAAUGGCUCCACCACCAACAACAAAAAUGACAACAACAACCCAUUCGGUAGUGUCUUCAAUUUAGAAUCCCAAGGUUUUUCUCAAACUCCAUUGUCAAUUCCGCGAUUAACCUUGACAUGGUUGAACGGAUUUGAGAAGAAGAUGAGAAAAGAUGAAAAUGGAGAGGUUGAGAAAGGAUUGAAUUACAACUCUAAUGAGAGCGUUGAUGCUGGGAAGAUGAGGAACCACGAGAAAAAUGCGGACAAUAAUUAUAACUCAAACACCAUCAUAGAUAAUUUUGAUGAUGAAAAUUGUGUUAGUGAGGGUGACCGAAAAGGGAAGAAGAAGGAAAAUCCAUCAAAGAGUCUCAUCGCUGAGAGGAAGCGAAGGAAGAAACUCAAGAAUAAUAUGCACAAGCUUCGUUCUGUUGUGCCAAAGAUUAGCAAGGUAUCGUAUUCAUAACUCAUGUAUCCAUUCUUUUUUUUUUUUUUUUGUCGUGCUAACGCCUCCAUUCAUCACGAUCAACAUCAUAUGAUAAUUCAUGCAUAUUUAUUCAUAUGUAAAAACAAAAUGAAAUUAUUUAUCAUGCCUAUAAUUUAAGCACAUAAAACAUUUUCCAUUCAAAUCCAAAUAUAAUUUAUGUAUAUUUAUUCAUAUGUGUAUGUAAUUUUUUUUUAUCUGGAGAAAUAAUAACUAAUACAUCUUUUGCUUCUUUACUCCCCAUUUUUCAAACUAAUAUUUGAAGCAAUCUCUUAAAGACUGGUGCUAGUCACAACCCCAAAAAAAAUAAGUUACACCCGAAUUUAUUUAAAUUUUACAAUAAUACUAAAAUUGCCCUCUUCAUGUAAAUUUUUAAAAACCCAUCUUUUAUGAUCAUUCUGAACCCUUACCCCCUUUUAUCCACAAAUCACCAUAGAUGUGCAACCAAUAUCUGAAUCAACAUCUUUGUUAUUGAUCUGUACUAUAUUCAUAAAGGUUAGUGAAUUUCAUGAAUUUUAUUUUCGAUGAGUUUCUAUUUGUUUAUUGUUUGUUUUGGUAUGAGAUAUGUUCAAUUUAGGUUAGUGUAAAUUAAGUUUACUUAUGUUCAAUUUAGGUUAAUGUAAAUUUAGUUUACUUAUGUCAAUGUAAAUUAAGUUUACUUAUGUUCAAUUUAGGUUAAUGUAAAUUUAGUUUACUUAUGUUCAAUCUAGGUUAAUGUAAAUUAAAUUUACUUAUGUUCAAUCUAGGUUAAUGUAAAUUCAGUUUAGUUACGUUCAGUUCAAUCUAGGUUAAUGUAAAUUUAGUUUACUUAUGUUCAAUCUAGGUUAAUGUAAAUUCAGUUUACUUACUUUCAAUCUAGGUUAAUGUAAAUUAAGUUUACUUAUGUUCAAUCUAUGUUAAUGUAAAUUCAGUUUACUUAUGUUCAAUUUAGGGGUAUAUUAGUCAUUCUGGAGUGUAACUUGUUUUUUUUGGGGUGUGACUAGCACCAGUCUCUCUUAAAUUAUGUUAGGUAUUUCUAUAAUGUGAAAUGAAAAAACAUUUAUGAUUUAAGAACAUGAUUUUUGUUUUUACUUAUUUCUAUAUGAGAAUUUUAUCACUCUAAAAUUUAACGCGUGUUUUUAGUUGGUCUUACUACAUAGGUUAUUAACAAUAUUUUGUCCCUUAAUUUGUGUAUGAGAUAAUAAGUUUAUGUUUUUAUAAUAAGAAAUGUUAGUAUUUAGUUGUAAGACUAAUAUUUACUAUUUUUCCCUUGUUUAAACCCACAACCUCUUAAUCCUUUUUUCUUAACUCAAACAAUUUGUGUUAUCCAACACUCCUUAAUACAAAUUUAUGUAUUUCAUUUCUUUUACAGAUGGAUAAAGUUUCAAUACUUGGGGAUGCUGUUGACUACUUGAAGGAGUUAAAACAACAAAUUAAUGAUCUUCAAAGUGAGAUAAAAUCAAGCUCUCAUAAAUCAUUUAUGCCAUUGCCUAUGACAUCUACCAUGUCAACCCUUCCGGUUCAACUUAAAGAACAAUUAUUUCAAAACAAUGUAUCAAGCCUUAAAAACCAACCAGCAAAGGUAUUUAUUUACUUUAAAACAAAAUUCUUAUUCCUAAAAAGGAUAAAACAGUUUAAACGAAGGGUAAAAAUGAAAGAAAAAACCACCCAAAAAUAUUUAUUCACUUUAUAUAUAGGUAUAAAAUAGAUAUGUAAGUGUAGAUAAUAAUAUGAUUGAUUUGCAGGUAGAGGUUAGGGUAAAGGAAGGGGGGAUUGUCAACAUACAUAUAACUUGUGCUUCCAAACCAGGUGUUUUGGUCUCGACUAUGAUGGCAUUAGAUAGCCUUGGAUUGGAUGUUCAUCAGGCUAACAUAAGUUGUUUUAAUGAUUUUUCUCUAGAUGUGUUCAAAGUUGAGGUAUACAUUUAUAUAUUUUUCACUGCCAUACUUUAUAGAAAAUUAUCUUAUUUAAUUACCCUGUCAUUUAUUUUAUAAUUUCUAUUAAUUAUUAUUUUAAAAUUAAUUUUAGAUGCCAAUAUGUGAUCAUGGUAAAAAUGUAAUGAAUGUUGUAUGAUAUAUACUAACUUGAUUUUUUAAAGCAUACCGACGAUUAUUUAGUUCAGAGUUGCACUUACAUUUAUGUUUUUUUGCAAUAAUUUGUCAAGUUAAGUGAUCCUAUGGUGAGUGUAAGUUCAAGAUUUAUUCUUGUCUUUCAUUUUCAUUAUCUUUUAUGAAUGGAUGUUAAAGCCUUUUACUUUUACAAUAAAAUUUAUCUUUUAAAUGAGAAAAAAUAUCAAUUUUAAUGAGAUGAUAUUUUCAUAAUACUUUUUUAUAUUGAUUUUGGCUUUUCUUGUUUCUUUUCAGCAACACAAUAAAGACCAGGAGUUGGCCCCCGGGAAAAUAAAAGCGGUAUUGUUGAAGGCAUUAGAUUCCCAUUAAAUGGUGUGAUUUAAGUUAUAGACAAAUUAUAUCUUUCCAAAUACAUUAGUUGCCUCUGUUGUAGCAUGAGGUUUCUAAAUGCUUUUACUUCUCAUUAUUUUGUAUUGAAAGUUAUUAUGCCCAAACCAAUAUCAAACUAGUAUUAAGUUUAUGGUUUUGUAUUUUCUGUUUUAAUUUGAACACAUCAUACUUUUAUUACUUUGAAGUCAUGAAAUAAAUUGUCAUUUGUCUUGAUAAGUUGUGCUAAUUUUUGUUUCUUAAUUGGUCUCAUCAUUGGAAAAAAUAAAUAAAUCAAAGUUCAUAAACUUGAGGUGGUAUGGUAAAAUAGCUUGAAUUGAUUAUUCACGUUGAAGUUACUUCUAUUGUUUUUUAUGAGAGAAAUAACUUAUUGGCCUCUUUAAAUCUAUUUGUGUUUUAAGAAAUGUCUUUCUCCCAACAACACAUGAAAACAUUCAAAUUUUUGUUAUUUGAUAUUUUUUUUUUUGCCAAUUUUAUGCAAUCUUGUAUGAAUUCUUUACUAGUUCACAGAAAAAUGCUCUAUGGAAACGUGAUUAAAUUUCACACUUUUGUUUUCAAUUUUUUUUUACAUUCUAUCCAAUCUUAUAGAAAAUCUUUGCUGGUAAGAGAUAAGAAUCAUUUAGGUAGAGGAGGAUAAUGAAUUGAUCUAAAUUAAAUUAAAGUACUUGAAAUUAAAGAUAGUUGAUCCCCGAUAUAAUCAAAAUAAUAGUAAUAUGUUUUUUAACCAAAAAAGAGAGGAGCAGCAAAGUGCUGCAACCACAAAAUAUAUUCAAGAUAAAGAGAAUAACAAAGGAGAGGGACAUAAAACCAAGCCUUGUAAAAAUUGAUAAACCUAAAGUUAGGCAUACCUAGUCUAUUCUUAACAUAAUAUUCUCUAAGAAACUGAGGCAAACCCUGGUAGAAGUCAAACCCUAGGAAGCCAAGAUAUCAGCACACUGGUUCCCCUCUCCGUAGAUGUUUGUAACUAUGAAAUUCAAGCUAUCUAUUAAAACUUUGCAAUUUUUCCACUUGUUUUCUUAAGAUGCAAGGAAUAAGAGACACAGAUUUGAAGGCAAUGACCACCAGAGCUGAAUCAGUUUCAAUUCAUAGAUUCCUCCAAUUCCUCUCAUGUGUCAACUCAAUAGCUCUAAGUACUCAUGGUAGUUUAACAUGGAAUGCAGUCCCCCACCAAUAUUCUCAGCAAAUUUCAUUUUGAAGAUUGCAUCACUAUCUCUGAAAAUGCUCCCACAAGAAGAAUUUGUGGGAUUAGAAGCUCCAUCAAUAUUACAUUUCCUCCAAUUAUGAUAGGGAGGUUUCCAUAUAAUCUCUUUGAUGAUUGGUGCCUUUGGAGCAUGAAUGUUGACACUGGAUUUUUUAAGGAUGAUCAGGUCCCUGACAAAAGAAUUGAAAGUUUCAGUGUGCACAUAACAAAGGGAGUACAUAGAUGGAAUGUUGCAACCCAUUUCCAUGAGUUUUUCAUCGAUGAGUACUUUAUCAUGCAUUAAUCUCCAAGCUAGAAGAGAUUUUUAUGGGGGUAUAUCCUUACACCAAAUUGUUGAUGCCCAGUGUUUUUUUAUAGCAAGGCGUUUCUUGAAAUAUUGGGUAUCUUUGAGGUUUAGCUGACCAUUUGAAACAUGCUUCCAAACUAGCUGAUCUUCUGUGUCUUCAACAUGUAUGAUAACUUGAAUCACAAGUAACCUCAGCUGUGGGUAUUGCGAUAAUAAAUCAUGGGGAAUAUUCAAAUGGUUUAUUUAAGAUAUAGUCACUAACAAGCUGUGGUAGGUGGUGUAUGUCAUUCACAUUGAGAUUUAGACCUACCUCCAAAGGGUGCCCACACCAAUAGUCUUGCCAUAAUAUGAUAUAUUUCCCAUUUCCAAUGAGCCAUGUUGAAUUCUCCACAAUCACCAUAUAUUAUAGUUUCAGAUUGAAGGCUUCAUUCAAACAAAUCAAAGAUUGUAUCCCCAGGCCCCCCUUCUUCAUAGAAGUUGCGAAUCUUCUUCCAUGCCAGAAUUACCAACUUCCUUUUUGAUGUGUCUCCACUCCGAAUAAAGUAGAUGAUGCAUUUUCCAUGCCCUUCAAGAGAGAAAUAAGCCAUGAAUAAAUAGAUAAUGUAUGAGCUAGCAUUCUAGUAACCACAGACUUUGGCACUUGUACUCUUCCUGCAAUUGAAAGCAAUGAUGCCUUCCAAGCCGAUAGUUACUCUGCUAUUGGUUGAACAUGGCAAGCUUUUGGUAUUCCUUUAAAAAUUGGCUCCCCCAAAUAGUUAAGUGGUAAAGAGUCAAUAUAGAAUCCUAGUAAGUUGAUGAUAUUUUGGAGUCUUGUUGGUGAGAUUCCUCCUGCAUAAAUAGUUGACUUCAUGCUAUUUAUCACUUAACCAACACUAUUAGCAUACUUUGUAAAUAAAUCUCACAAAGCUUCUAGGCUCUCAAAGUUCCCCUUGAAAUAAUGGGAUGGAAAUUGGCUGUUUUUAGAUCCUGUAAUUUGCUUCACCUUUCCAUCAUCCACCAACUUUGUUAUCCCUAUGCUAAGAGCUUCUUCUGCCAAACAAAGAAAAAGGGAUCCAAGGGGUCUCUCUGCCUGAUACCCCUUGAACAAGAAAAAUAUCCUUGUUGUACUCCAUUUAGGGUUAUUGAUAAAGUAGAUGAAGAUAAGAUUGAUGUCAUCCAAUUGCAGAAAGUACUAUUAAAACCAAACCAAUCUAGAACUUUUAACAAAAAUUUCCAAUCUAUAACUUUUAACAAAAGUUUCCAAUCUAGAACUAUUCAAAAGCUUUGGUAAUGACAAUUUUCAGAACUAUGUUCCCUGCAUAAGUCUUCUUAUGAAGAUGGUUUAUGGCUUCUGAAGCUAAACAAAAUCAGUCUUUUAUAUCUCUUCCCUGAAUAAAGCCUUUUUGAUUCUUAGGGACAGGAGAUGUUAAGGUAUGUGCUAACCUGUCAUCAUGUAUUUUUUAUAUCACUUUGAAUUUGAAGUUGGUCAUUGAAAUAGGCAUGUAUUUCUCUACAGUAUCUGCAUUAUUUGAUUUUGGAAUGAGGAUCAAUGUAUUGGCAUUAUAGUUUGUAAAGAUCCAUUCAGAAAUAAAGAAUUGUAAGAUACCAUCAACGACUUCUUUGUGUACUAUAAGUUUGAUAGAAGAAUGCUCGAAAUCCAUCUAGACUAGGGGCACUUUCUUUAUUCAAACUAAACACAUCAUUUUUUAUUUUAGAAAUAUCUUGAAGAUCACUGAUAAUUUUGGUUAUUUUGUGGAAAAAUGCAGUGAUGACAAACUUGAUUUUUCAUGCCAAAAACACUCCUGUCCUUCUAAAGCUUUGUCUAAUCCACACUUAGCCAUUUUCUCAUGGUUUAGUAAAGAGUCCUAGGGGUUGGUCGUUUGGAUUUGGUUUUGGAUAUGAUGAAGGGUUUGUUCAUCUUCUCUGAGAUAUUGAUGCACAUUCCCAAACACAUUCUUGUUCCAAAUUUUCAAUCUAUCUUUUAACAGUUUCCGCUUCUUUGUGAGGAUAUAAAUUGGGCAACAUACUACUCUAGUUUGCCAACAAGAAAAAAUGAAUUCUUAGCGGCAGAUCAUAAUCAUUUGUCCAGAUUUGAAAGUCAUUCAUAUGAGUUCUAGAGGGAGAAUGGGUGCCCUGAUGUUCACAGCUCCUAAGUAUAGUGCUUAAGUCACCAAAAAAGUUCCAUGGAAGGUUAAAUUGAGUCAACAUAUUACCUAGUGUUUCCCACAGACGCCUUCUCUUCAAGUAACAAGUUGAUGCAUAGACUGCAACCAUUGCAAACUCCUUACCAUUAUCAAUCAAAGAAAAAGAAACAUGUUGGUCAUCAAUAAGUAUUAUCUUAGGGUUAAGGUGAGUUAAACAAAAUCUUCUUAAAAACAAUUUGAAGUUCAAUCUAGCAAACAUGUUUCUUGUUAAAUCUUCUAUUUUCAUCUAAGGUUCAGCAAUGAGGACAAUACCAGGUUUAUCAUUUAGAAUAAGAUUCUUGAGUGCCAAUCUUUUAGGGUGAUUAGCUAAGCCUAUCAAGUUCUAGUACAUGCACUUCAUCUGAAAGGAUUGGGGUUUACAACCUUUGAUAUGGUAGCAUAAAGAUUUUUUGGUGUAUUUUUUUGUGUAUUUUUUGGUUUUUGAGACUUGUUCUUUAAUUUGUGAGACACCUGCUUGAAUGAUGGCUUAUCGAAACUUUGUGGUUGAUCUUUAACUGGUUGAUCUUUAAUCGGUUCCUUCUCGAAAUUCUCUAGCAACCUGGCUUCAGCUUCUUCAUUCUCAACAUUGUUACCCCCAAGACUUCUUCAAAAAUUCUGAAUUCCUCCUGACUUUAUCUUCCGAGGUCUCCUGUUGAACUUCCUCUUCCUCACCAGCAAUAUUAUUCAAAUCUCCAAUUUGUGUUGCAUCCACAAAUUUAGUGUUUUGAGAGGAAGUGUCUUCUACAUUGUGUUGUUGCCCUAAAUCAUUUCCACUAUCCUCCACGUCUUGUACCUCGAACGCACUAAACCUGUUAAGGUUCUCCACUAACUCUAUUUCUUGCAAAAUAGGAUAUUGACCUUUCCUCUAAGAAGAAUUUGCUUCUCUUCAGUGCCUCAUCUAUCUCCCUUUGCAACAACUUAUCUGGAGUUUCUAUUGUGUUUUCAACAUAGUCCCUGAUGCAAACACAAUGAAUAAUAUGGUUUUGGCAAUAGGUAAAGUAGAUAAACCUCACAAAAGAAAUUACAAUAAAUGUCCGUUAAGCAUUAACUACACUUCCUGAUAUGAUCUUUUGCCAUGACAUGACAUGCACAGGGAAUUGAAACCAACAAAUGCAAAUAUUAAGGAGUGGUCUUUUUACAUCAUCCUAAAUUUCAAUGUUUAUUAAAAGCUCACACACAUUUCUUGACUCUCUUACAUUGGCAAGUUAGACAUCACCUUAUUAGUGUGGAUAGUGUUUUGGGAUCUCCAUGUAGUUUCGAGUGGGACCAAUAUCUUUUGAUAUGAAAAGUUGGGUUUUAUGGCCUAUUUUACAGGACCAUAGUAAAAGGCCUUCAUAGUUCAUAUCUAUAAUGAUUUUAUCAUCUAAUUUUAAGGAGGUGUUUUUUGCAUCUUUAGUUUUUUUUUUUUAUCAUACGUCCCCUCCACAAAUAAUAUUUUUUCUACGAUGAGAAAUGAUAUUUGUACAAUUAUAUUUUGACAACUUUCUCUUUCAUAUUCACAUUAUGUUUUGAGAAAUGAUAUUUGAACAAUCAUUUUGUGACAAUUUUAUCUCUCAUACUCACAUUGUGUUUUUAUUUUCUCUAUCUAUUGUUUUGGUUUUUGUGUCAACACUCAUAUAUCUUUGUAUAUUUAGGUUGUCCCACAAGUUGUCAACAAAAAUGAUUGUUCAAAUAACACUCCUCUUAUUGUUUUUACUUUAUCUCUCUAUUACUUUGGUUUUUGUGUCAAUACCACAUUUUCUUUUUGUAAAUCUAUGAUUGUAUCAAAAGUUGUUAUACAAAUGAAUGUUCAAACAACACAACUCUUCUACAAUACUUUGAUCAUUUCCAUAUAUUAAAGUUUGGUUGGAUAUCAGUAUAUCAUAUAACCAUUUACUAUUAUUUCAUUUUUCAUAUUUAAUUAUUAUAAUAAAUUUAAAUUUUAAAUUAGUUUUAUCUACAAGGCAUCAUUAUUCAACUAAUUUAAAUUUUAAAUUAGUUUUAUCUACAAGGCAUCAUUAUUCAACUAAACUCCAGAGUAUUAAAGAAUUCUCCGUAAUAUUUUUUUAAAAUAUUUUUUUAAAAUAUUUUUUUAAUAAUUUGACUACAUCUCUUCGGAAAAAAAAAAAUUAUUUACAUUUUUAAAAGAAAUUGAUUUUGGAAUUAUGUAUAGUACUAUAUAUUUUAAACAAAUUCAUACAUGUUUUUAGAAUUUAUAAUUAUAGAAAUACAAUUUUAGAUGUUAUUUGUAUUUCAUUUACUACACAAAAAUACACUUCUCAUAAUGUUUUAUUAUGCUUCCAAAUGUAUAUUUAUGCAUGUUCUAGUCUAACAAAUUUAAUUUCAAAAUGAGGCAAGAAGUACCUCUUGGAAUCCAAUUUUCAAAAGGUGUUAGGACUUCAAGAAUAUAUCAUGUAGACAAAAUAUAUGUUAUGUCAUGUCAUUUAUAAUCAAAAUCAUAAUACAAUUGACAUUUUCACCAAUAUUUUAAAAGCUUCCAAAGUGAAUUGUAAUCAUAGAAGAGCUCUUUUAAUCAUUGAAGUUUUGUAGCACCCUCCAAUCCUAAAUUGAGUGAAAUGCAACACAGCUUGUGCAGGAAUAUUUAGAAACAUAAGAGGUGAAAACAUUGGUUGCUUUACUUUCAACAUUGGAAUUGCUAAUGCAGUGUAUGCUGAGAUUUUUGGAAUCAUUCUAGCUGUGAAGUUUGCAUCUGAGAGAAACUGGAAUAAUUUGUGGAUUGAGACUGACUCUAGAUUAGCUACCUUGGCUAUCAAGUCAUCUCAUAUAGUUCCCUGGCAGCUAAAAUAGGGGUCAAUUUGUAAAAAAAAAUUAAAUUAUUGGGGUCAUUUUGGAGAUUUGGAAACAUGUGAGGACCAAAAUGCAAAAAUUGAAACAAUUAUAAGAAUGAAGAAAUUUGAAAUUCUAAGCUUUUAUGUGUCAUUUUAAAUUCUUUAUAGGUUUAAAUUCUCCAAGACUAUUAGUAUAACACCAUUGUACAAAAAUAUCACAAGGACAAUGAACACUAAUUGGGCUAAUUUAGUACACAAGUAGGAAAUUUAAAACCAUGAUGGGAGUAAGCAAACCGGUACUAUUAGCAUUUUCACCAUGACAACUUAUGGAUACAGUAAAUAAACUGAAGGUGUAAUAUAACAAAUAUCACAGGACUAAUAGGACCAUUCUAUAGAAAUUAGAUACAAACAGAAUCAUUGUAUGGAUCACCAAGCAUAAUUAAGUAUUUCAUUUCGGAAUUAGGAAGCAACCCAUCGGCCAUUUUUUUGCGCUGUAUUUUUCCGGUAUUUUAUUGUAAAACUGACUUGUAUUGACGGAAAAAAUGUUUCCAAAAAGCAUAAUAUUUUGUUCAAAAGUUUCUCCCUUUUGGCCUAUUAAGCAACAACUACGUCUACUUUCUUUUAAAAACUUUGCAACUACGUCUGACUCCACUCUUCCCUCAAAACCAGAACAUCUAACCCAAAACCAAUUUGCGGAAAUCUCCAUACAAACUCAAUAUAGCUUUCCGAUUUCCCUCUUCUUAUUACAAGUAUGGACAUUGUUGUCUUAGUGGCAGGAUGCACUACUAAUUUUGACAUAAGCUUUAUGCCAAAAAACAGGUUAAAACAGACGAGAAAUGCUACUAACACUUGCUCACACACUCUCCCUUAGACACGUUGCUUGGCUUAUGAGUGAGAAUUUGACUGUUCAUGGCUUCCAUACAAUGAUUUUUUCAAUACAUGAAAUCGUAGUCUUUUAAGGCCUAAUUAGAUAGAUUAUUCAGAGAGGUGAGGAUUACAAAGUUACGGCGUUGAUGUGCAAGCAUUUACAGAGACGACCUUUCAGUCGCCAAUAACAAAAAGAAAGUAUUAAAAGAUUUCCCAACUUUAAAAAUCAUUAAACAAGUAAAACAUUGAUAAAAGUGAAAAUGUGGCACCAUACAUUGAGAGAGUAUUUGUGCAAAAGUCUAUGAGCGACUGACCCUAGCAUUUCUCUAAGGCAGAUGGCGGAGUCUUCCACUACUCUGGGAUAUUUUUCUAUUGUUGAAGGGUCGGCAUAACGAGACAACCCAUAAUUACACACUUCAGGUUUAUAACAUUCGCUAAUAGCUAGUAAACCUCUACUAAAUUCUAAUGUAUGAACAACAUGGAAGACCUAUAGUCCUUAUAUUAAAUCUCAUGUUGCAUGUGUCAAUCCCUUACAUAUAAGUAGUAGGCCCUAGUUAGCUACUAAAGCGAGUUAAGUAUUCAGUUCCUCGGUUAGGAAAAAACGAAGCAAGUUGUAUAUGAAAAAGUUAAGUGAAGGAACUUAAUAAAAAAUAGAAGUCCAGAUAUCAAUUCAAACUUAUACAAGAAGGUAUUGGUUAGAAAAACUCAUUCAAAAUGUAAGAUGAUUUAAUAUUCCUAUUUAUAUAACUACUUAUUGAAAAGUUUACACACGGUAACAAAGGAAAUGGAAGCACGAUAAUGCAAUAUCAAUCAUUAUCACAUUAGAGACUUCAAAUGCAAGCAAGAUAACAUACUCUACUAUAAAAGCAGCGUUCUGAUCCACUCCGGAGGUGGCAAGAACAACUUGAAGUAGUCAGGAUAAUCAGACAAAAGUGAAACCCGACCUUGGUCCAAGCGAAAAACACCGAUUUCAAACUAUCUAACAUUGCCUUUACAAUAGAUCACCAAAUUCCCAUUUUCCAAACCCAAAUCCGAUGCAGAUGCAGAGAAUGAACAGCCUUCCCCGAAAAACAAAACCCUAUCCCCCAAAUUCACCAACUUGACCCACCUUUUCUCUUUCUCAUCAAGCCUAUACACAUCAAUCUUUACAUCAUCAUCGUCACCAUUACUUAAAUAUCUAUCCACUAGCAACAACUCACAUUCACUCUCCACCAAGAAUUUAACGUCGCCACCAAUGAACGGCUCAGCCACCAAAUGUUAGCUAAAGUCCGGUCCGAUCAUCACAGUAGGACCAGUUUUGUAUAUCAUACAAGGCCACCCUUUAAAAUUGCAAAGAAGUAAUCUUUCAUUUACGUACAACUCAUGGACCAAGCUUAGAGGAAAAUGGAUGUAUUUGGUUCAAAUUUUAAAUCAAAUACAUAAAUUUUUUUAGAUCUAUUUUUAUUUAUAAUUAAUGUCAGAGAGUAGCAUAUUAUAUGAGUGUUCUAUAUCACCAACUAUUAAUAUAAUAGGUGGAUUUUAUUGUUGGCAUGAAAUCAGACAGUAAAUUCAAUGGAUAGAGUUCCAACAGUAAACCAUUCACUGUGUUUGAUUUUAAAUUUCUGACUACUAAUUAUUUUGCUGCCUAUGCUGAUAAUUCUAGACACACACCCUUGUGCCAUCAUAUCAGCUAUGCAUAACUAGACAGAAGAAAAAUCAAACAUAUUGGUAUUUAUCAUUGAUUAAAGAUGAUAAAAAUUAUCAUGACCCAUGAAAAGUAUCAAAAGAACAAACAAAAAAUAGUAGACAAAAACAAGCAUAGCAGAUGGACCAACAAAGUAAAUUAGGCACAAACUUAAAGAAUUAAUUCUUAUUUAUUCCAUAGUCUCUGGCAAUAUAUUCUACAGAACAUUAUUAUUACACCAUAUUAUUGAAGCCAUGGUGAGGCAUCAUUGAUCCAUCAAACAAAUGAGGCUGCAAUUGCAACAUAGGAUUUUGAAAAAAAUGUGAUGGAAACAUUUCAGAUUGUUGAGUAUUUGGCUGAUGAUGGAGAUAAAUGUUCGAGGAAGAAGCAUUGCCAACAAAAAAUGGAAGAGUUCGAGUUGUAGCAUGUUGAAUUAGAAGUUUCUUAAGCUCCUCCAAUGCCUUUUUGAAUAAUUCAAGUUGAUCCUUAUUCAUUCCAUCAACCGGACAAGCCCACCAAAAAUUUGCCUCCGUUUCCUUGAGCAAAUGGCUCAGCUCAUCGUCAAUCUUCUUCUCAGCAUCCAGUGUGUUGUUGAUUUGAGUCAUCCGAGCAUUGAGUUCACGAACGUUGGCAUUGCGGUGAGCCUCAAUGAGUUGCAUCGUGCCGUUGUUUUGUGGUGGUACAAGAGAAAGAUAGCGGUCUAUGACCGUAUCAAGAUUGGGGUGACCAAAGGAAAAUACCUUUCCACUAGGUGAGAAUACAACGAGAGCAGCAUCUGCACCGCAAAGGGUGCAAAGCUCGCUAGCUUUCUUGAAGAGUCCGCUACGACGCUUUGAGAAAGUCACUUGCAGGUUGCUCUCGUUGCUCAUCUUUUUCAUCUCGAUCUUUUGGCGACCUCGGCCUUUCUUUCCACUCGACAUGGCUGACACACAAAGAGAGAACAAAGAAAAGAAAAGGGUGGGUGAGUGUGUUUGUUAUCUUAGAGUAAGAAAUGAGACAUUGAAGUUGGGUGUGAAGGGGUCAUUUUAUAUAGUCAAUUUUGUAUGUAUGUGUUUUAAGUAUUGUAUUAUGAUUUUUCUUUGAAUACCAACCGUGGCUAUCUUUUUCAAAUGUUGCAUCUAUUCAUAUUGAUAAUUUACAAGAUUAGGAGAUUCUUAUCAAAUCUCUUUUGCAUGCCUUUUAUGGCAAGAAAUUCAAUGAAAAAAAUGGCGCCAUUUUACAAAUUUGUAUAUCUUACCUUAUUCAGCAAACUAUUGGAUAUGAUUUGUACCUGGAUAUUUCUAGAAAUUUGCAAUAUGUUCUUGAAUUCUUUGCACAUUGGUUAGUCUUUAUCAACUUCGAUUAACUUUGUAUUCAUGUGUUGAAUUAUUUGCUCAUAUGCUCAUUGAUUAUCCCUUUACCAAGUCUUGCAUAGGUCAAAAAAUUAAUGUCCAAAACCUGCAUCAAAUUAUUGUACCCUAAUUUUAUCUGAUGAAAUGUAUUUUAUACUCCUGUUUGGUAACUGCCUUGCAUUUUGUUUUAUAAGAACUGCUUUGCAUUCUUAUUUUUUUCAACCAACUAAUUGAAAUCAAAUUAGUACACUACAUUCGUUAAUAAUAUUCUCUCUUUCCCUAAAUAUAAGCAUCACUUUGAAUAAAAAUUUGUCCCUAACUUAAAUAUAAAUACUUUUUCAAAUUUUUAAAUGCAUUAUUUAUUGCUUCUUUUCCAAAUAAACUAAUAAGGGUAGUUUACUACAUACCAUUGUUUUAAAACCAAGACCGAUCCGGCCGAUCGAACCGGGAAUCGAAGGAUGCAGCGGUUCAGGCAUGCUGCUGGACCGGAUAUGAAAUUAGUCCGCUGAAACCCAUGUGACCCGGCCGAAUCAGUGGGUGGACCGCUGAACCAGAUUAACUCACCCGACCCGUUUCCUUUUUUUUUUGAAAAAAAAAAUGAAAAUGCAAGGCAUAUAUAAAGACUAUGGCAAUUUGACUCCACGGGCAUAAAUAGUUUAUUGAUUAUUGAAUUGUUAUAACUUAUAUGUGUUUUUGUUUUUUGUUUACUAUGUUUAGAACUUACUUAUGUUUGUAAGUCUAUUAUUUUUUGUUGACUAUGUUCAGAACUUACUUGAGUUUAUAAGUCUGUUAUAUUUUGAUUUCCAACAACGUUUAGAACAUACUUUGUUUUAAGUUUUAAAGAUGGAAUCUGAAUUAGAACUUAUUUGUGAGGUUUUUUUAUGUAGUACUAUUGUUUAAUGUAUGAGUUCAUUUGAAUUUGGAUUGGAAUUAGCUUGAAAUUGAAUUGUGCAUAUAUAAAGACUAUUGUUUAAUGUAUGAGUUCAUUUGAAUUAGGUUUCAUUCAUAAUGUAAUUUUUGAUCAUAAAUAUUUUUAUAUAGACCGGAUCAAUAGUCAUGUGAUCCGACCAAUGACCAUACCUUGACCGGGUCGGACACCGGUCCAUAUUUUAAAACAUUGCUACAUACAUAUACAAAUGGUAGUUUAGAUAUUCACACAUAAAAUGAAACAUCAACUACAUCAUCAACUUUUUAGGAUGAAAAAAAGCAAAACAAAUGAUUAUUUAUACAUGCGGAAUGAGGAAGUAAGUAUUUUACAAAUUCCUUUAUGCACAUUGAUAGAUUUAUAGCGUCAAUUAAAAUUUAAUGUGAUAAUUUUUUGUAAUCCAGUAUAACUAGGGUCUUGACCUUAAUAGAUGUCCAAAAUUAUCACUUGAAAUUGGAUCAGUUGCUAGCCACAUGAAUGCAGUCCAUGCAAUUUUUUUGAGUGAGGAGAGACAAAUGAAAAAAUGAAGAGAUGAGGAUGAGAGAGAGAAAUGACGAGAGAGAUAGAAACCAAAAUGGUAGGAGAGAGAGAAAUGACGAGAGAGAUAGAAACCAAAAUGGUAGGAGAGAGAGAAACCAAAAUUAUUACUAAUUUCAUAAGAAGAAAAAAACCAGCAAUAUAUAACUAGACAAAAGAAAAACCAGACAUGUUAUGGUAUUCAAUAUUUAGAUUCUUGUGAUUUUUUAUUGAACUCUAAAUUGCAAUUUUAACAAAAUCACAAUGGCGUACUAGGAUUCUUUCAAACAUGAUGUCAAUUCAAACAUACAUAUAGUUAUUUUUGUUUAAUAAAAAAGGAGAUGAAAUCUCAUUAAGCACACGAAGUAUCAAAUUAGCAUAAAAAUUACUGGUUUACUAGACAAAACAAGUAUAGAAGAGGAUUCAACAAAGAAAAGUGAUUUAUUAUAUAGAUCAACGGUGCAUAUACUUUAGGCAACAAACUUAUUGUUGGAAUAUUUAGUUAUAAUUUAUUUAAUUAUAAUAUUCCAAUAAUUAUUAUAUGGGUAUAUAUAUCUAUUUUAAUUAUAUUAGCUAUUUAUCUUUAAGGGUCUUAAUUGAUUACUGAUCAUAUAAUGAAAAAAAAAAAAAGGCUUAUUAGAUUUCUAUUAAAAUAAUAAUUAAUUAUUUAAGUGAUAUGGACUUGGAUCGGGUGGAUGUCUGGAUGGUCCAUUAAAGGAAUAAUAGGAAACCCUAAUGGUCAUCCAAUAUAAAGAGGAUAUGGUCCCCAAUAUACCGUACAUAGUAAAACCGCUCUUCUCCCCAUCUGAAGUGCAUUACACUACAAGAAAUCUGGUAAUUUGCCAGGGGCAGAAGCCCUGGCAAAAUGCAGAAAGCCUUGGCAAAUGGACGUUUGAGAAAGAACCAAACCAGCCGCCGCUGACUUUACCUUGAGCUUUAAAUUUCAGUAAAUCAAACAUGUUUUAUCUGAUCAUAAACUUGUUCAAUAAUUGCUUCCGCUGUUGAUUGAUAAAUUAAAUUAUAUAUAUUGAACUGCUUAUGAAAUUUGCUAACAAUAACUACCCUUUCCUCUGCCAUCUAAUAUAGUUCAAAUUGAUAACGGAGAUAUGAUUAGAUUCGUAAACAAAAGUUUGAGUUUCAAGAGAGGGCAUAUAUGAUAAAUUGAAUUGGUUAUGGAUUUUCAUACAACACAAGUAAAGUGGCGAAGCUGAACUUAAUGACUCCAAAACUUCAAUAGAAUUCGGGAUUUCCAUAUUGUUGAAGCCAAUUAAAUGAGAUUGCAACAUAGGGUUAUAAAAAAUUUGUGGCGAAAGCAUCUUAGUUUGUUGAGGAUUGGCUGAUAAUGGAGAGGAAUGUUAGAGGAUAAAUCAUUACCAACAGAAAAUGGAAAAGUUUGAGCAAAAGUACCCUGAAUUGCAUUCCUAUGAACAUGAUGAGCAACAAGUUUCUUAAGCUCCAUCACAAUCUUCUUGAAUAAUUCAAGUCGAGCCCUAUUCAUCCCAUUAAUCGGACAAGCCCACCAAAAUUAAGCAUUGAACGCCUUGCACAAAAGACUCAACUCAUCACCAAGCUUUUUCUUCUCGUUCAGUGUGUUGUUGAUUUGAAUCAACUCAGCAUUGAGCGCACACACUUUGGCGCUACGAUGAGGCUCAAUGAACUCUAUGGUGCUAUUGUUUUGCGGUGGGACCCGAAAGAGAUAGCGAUCUAUGAUUGUAUCAACAUUUGGAUGACCGAAAGAAAAUACCUUUUGACUAGGUGAGAAUACAACUAGAGCAACAUCUACACCACAAAGGGUGCAAAACUCACUGACUUUCUUGAAGAGCCCGCUACGACACUUUGAGAAAGUCACUUGGAGGUUUCUCUCGUUAUUCAUUUUUUUCAUCUCAAUCUUUUGGCGACCACGAACUUUCCUUCCGCUUGACAUGGUUGAAGUACAAAACGAUAAAAGAAAAAUCUGAAAAGGUUAAGUGGGUGUGUUUGUUACUUUAGACUGAGAAAUGAUAUAUUAAAAUCGGAUGUGAAGGAGUCAUUUUAUAGCCCCUUUUGUUGUGUAUAUUUCAACUCCCGCGUUAUGAUUUGACUUUAAAAAAUCAAUAUGUAUUUAUCUUUUUCAAACGCUACGGUUUUUCAUUAAAAUAUUUACCGGAUUGAGAGAUUCUCAUCAAAUCUCUUUUUGCAUGGCUAAUAUGAUAUCAUAUUCAAUGCAAAAAAAAAUGGCGCUCUUUUAUCAAUUUAAUUUGUAUAAAACUUAGGUUGUAUGUGCUUAAAUAUUUUCAGGAAUUCGCAAUAAUUGCAUUCAUAUUCUUGUCUUUAUUAAAGAAUACAAGUGAAUAUGGUACAUUCUUCAAAAUCUAUCAUAUUUUCGCAUACUUAUUUUCUAAAGACAAGUUUCUCUUUGGCUUUUCAUAUCUCCUUUCGGUCUCAAUGAAUGUAUUUCAAUAGAACCCACACUUAUUCUCAUGGUUGAUUGCUAUUGAAACCCUUUAAGAACGAAACCUUAAUGUCAUCAAGGUUUACUAGACUAUUCUCAUGUUUCACAAUCCUUAUCUAAUUUCAUUUGUUCCAAUAUCAAAUUUCAUCUUUCGAUCAUUCGCUUGAUAUUUGUGAGGAUGAAAUAAAACUAUUAAACUUCACAUUUCGGUUCUUCGAUUAAUACUUGUUAUUUCAUUAGAAAAACGGUGAAAUAACUUUGAAAUAGAUUUACUUAGGUUGUAUGUGCCUAAAUAUUUUCUGGAUUUGCAUUAUACUACAUUCAUAUUCUUGACUUUAUUAAAGAAAUACAAGUGAAUAUGGUAGAUUCUUCGAAAUCUAUCAUAUUUUUGUGUACUUAUUGUUAAAAAAGAUAUUUGUUUGUGGUCAUGCUAACUUAUGUCCUUAGGGCACAUGUUAAUUAAGCAGUGUAAAAAUAGAAUACUUUUUUUUAAAAUUAUGUGCAUUCAAUUAAUCAAAAGUAAAAAAAAAAUUAAAUUCAAAUGCAUUAAUUACAAUAAAAUAUUUCUACUUUUGACUCAUUAAUUUGUGCCUUAUCGACACAAGUUAGCAUUUCCCAAAAAGAAAUACAAAUCAUUUAAUUUUAAAUUCAAAGCACCAGUGGUAACAUAGGAUUCACUUUUUAUUUUCUUCUUUUUUGCCUCAAUGGACUUUUGAUUCUCGUAUUUGAAAAAGAAAAAGAAAUUUUGGUCCCUCAUUUUGAUUCUCAUAUUAAAAAAAAAAAAAAAAAUACUUGGUCCCUCAUUUUAUAAACUAAAAUUUUGAUUAUCUACUUUAACUUUGUUUAGAAUUUCCACCCUAUCAUAUGUUAGAGUUAUUUUUGUUGAUCUGACAUAGAUUAGACUACAACACUUCAAUAUUAUUAGCAAAUAAGUCACAUCAACGAAGAUGACCCCAAUAUAAAAUAUGAGUGGAAAUUUUAGAGAAUGUGAAUUGAAGGUAUACACUAUGCUUUGUAGUCUCACAAUAGUUUUGAUUCUCUAUGAUCUCAUAGUAGUGUGUGAGUGUGGCAAUAUUUCUUAAUCUUCAUACUCCUUAUCGACAGUUAUCGUUCUUCACAUAAUAACCUCUCAGAUUUUAAGAAGCCAAGUUUGGCACCACUUACUUUAAUUAACAAGUCAUUUUGUAUGAAAAUCAUAUGCCUAGAAGCUUUUGUAGACGUUCAAUUUAUAAAUCAUAUGCCUUAGCUUAGCACAAAGAAAAGUGAUUUAUUAUAGAUCAGCAGUGCAGGUAAUGUAGGAAACAAACUUAGAGAUUAAUUCUUAUUUAUUCCUUAACACAUGACAAAAUAUAUUCUACAGAACAUAUAAAACCAUAGCCAUAACAUUAUUAAAAAAGGAAAUAAACUAGCUAGCUAAUUCUUCUUGUUAUCCUUUUGAGCAGCAUGCAAAUCAGCAAAAUAGCCCUUAGGAUUUUUCUCAAAUUCCUCCCUUGAAAUGUUGGAUCCAUCUCCUCCAGGUGCUUUCAUUGGAUCAACCUUAGUGGUACUGCCAACGUUGUCCUUUGGAUUGUUUGCAGCAGCACCAACAUUGCCAUUUCCUUUGCCGUCCAUAGUUCAAAAUGAUCAAAGAAAUAUAAUUAGAUUUAGAUUAGAUCAAUAAUAAACAAGGUUUGUGUUUCAAGGGGGGUAUGAAUAAGAAAUUGAGCAGCUAGUUGUGUCUUUAUAUAGAACAUUGUUGAUCUCAUCUCCUACCUCUUAAUGACUUUAGCUUCAAUUUUCAAUGUCUCAGCAAAAGUGCAGUCAAUUGUUCUCAUUUCUAAUGUUAAUUUACCAAUGAAGUGUGUGGCCGGUGUGUGUUAAUUAGUGCAUUAUGGAUAUGAAUGAAUCACGUGUGAAAAUAUUGAGAAAAUAGAUUAUUAUUUUUUUUAAUUAUAAUUUUUAGAUGGUUAAAAUUGUAUUGAUGCUUCCAUUUGGAUCCCUAUUCUUUAAAUUUUAGCCUAAUUAAGAGACUAACCCCACAAGUUGGAAGCGGAACCUUUGCUUAGUUUUUACAUUAGGGUUUAGGCUUCCUUCGAAAUGGACAAUUCAGAUAAUCAAUCAAAAUUCUUUUUUAAGGAGAUUUAUGUUUUCAAUCUUCUAUUGCAAUGUUAUAAGUAAUUUAGGAAAACUAGACCAUCGAAGGUAAUAUUUGACGGUAAUAGGUAACAAAAUAUUUAGGUUAAAUAUAAUGAACAUAAUCUCUUAUUUAGGUUAAGUAUAGCGAGGCGGGUUAACAUUUAUAAGCAAAAGAUAUAGCGAGACGAGUUAACGGUUAUUCCUUUUCAACAAAAAAAAAUAGCAUCUAAUUAGGAACAUAAUUUUAUUUUACUUUAGAUAAACAUUAAAUGCAAAAGUGUGGAGGGAAAAAUUAGGUUAAAAUUAGAUAUAGCGAGACAGGUUAACGAUUAUUCCUUUUCAAAAAAAUUACAUCUAAUUAGGAACAUAAUUUUAUUUUACUUUAGAUAAACAUUAAUGCAAAAGUGUGGAGAGAAAAAUUAGGUUAAAUAUAGCGAGACGGGUUAACAUUUAUAAGAGAAAUAUUUAGUCAUUAUAAUUUUUAUUUUUUUUUACAUGCAUAAACUCAAGGUCAUUAAACUAACUUAUUAGUACAGGUGAAAUUAGUUACACUGGUGCUAUCAAUGUAUAAGCUAACAAUUGUUCUUUUGAAUUGUACGUAUCAACUAUUACUUUUGAUUAUAGUUUUACAUUUUUUUAAUUUUUCUUCAACAAUUGUUUAUUUCUACAAUUCUAUUUACUGCAUAUGCUUUUUUAAUGCCUUUCAUACAUUCUGUUUCUAUUUUAGAGGAUAUGAUUAUUAAAAAUAAACUUCUCCCGUUAGAAAGAUUGUAUUAGAAAAUAGUGAUGAUAAAGGAACAUAGAGAUAAACGGUACAAAAAAUUAAAUGAUGUAUUCGUAGAAAAUAAACAGUUAAAUAAUUUCACUUUUUCAUUUUCUAGAAUUGUGUUAUGGUUUAUUGGUUUGAACUUUGGAUUUCUUCAUGCAGACAAAUGAUAUAUGGAGUAUUGUCUUUCUAUUCGAUGCGACAGUGCUCGAAUCCAUUUCACACUUAUAAUUUGCUAUUUUUUUUUUAAUAAAAAGGGGUUUCUAUUUGCUAUUGAUGCUGAGUUUUUUUUCUAUAGUAGUGAAGGAUUCAUGGUAAAGUGAUGCUUAAGUCAACAUUUACACCAGUUUGCAACCACAAAUGCCUUGCAGAUUGGAGGUUUCUUGAUAAUCAUAAAGGAAAUUUAUGUUGUGAUAAUGAUUGGGUGAGAAAAAUGUAAAACUAAUAGUACUCCUUAUAUCCUUCUAUGAAAUGAUUUUUUUUUUUUUAAGGAAAUAUACUUUCAUAAAAUUUUGUUUCCUAAUUAAUUUUUGAUAUUUUGUACCAUCAUGAAUUGUUAAUCCAAAUUGCACACUUUUAUGAUUUAUGACAGUUUCUCAAAGUAACCUCUAAUAACUCUAAGUAACUGAUUUAUGACAGGUUCUCUAUCUAUAUUUGCCAAUUGCUAUUGAGAAUUGAGGAUUGAACAAUUCUAAUGUUUUUCUUUGCAAGACAAAGAAUCAACAAACUGGGAGCAGGGACGUCCAAAUUACAAUUGCAAGAGACAUUUCAUCCAAAGAUAGAGAGGAAACAUGACAGGUUUCACCGAAGAUCUAUAUUUCUUAUCUCUUCUAUGAUCCAAUGAUUUCAGAACAAAGAGAGAUACAUUUCAUCCAUUUGACACUUCUUAUUUUUUAAUUUCAAUUUUAGUAUGAAUGGAUAAUUUAGUUUGUGAUUUUAUUGGUCAAUUCUUACAAACUACAAUAUUGUAGAGGACUAAAAUUAUCAUUAAAAUUUUCUAGAAAAUAAACUUAAAAGUUUCUAAUUUUAUAGAUACUAAAAACAUAUUUAACCCAUUCCAAUAUUUAUUUUUCUAAAAGUUCACAGUGUAGUAGUAUAUAGCUUUGUUCUCAAUUUGGAAAUCCAAAAACACAAAUAAGUUGAAGGUAUUAUUAGAAAGAAUUCCACGACUUUGAUAACCACAAGUUUCGAUUCCCUCUUUUCACGCUUGAUUUUGAUAUUUGUCGUUGAUUUAUAUUUUGAUAAAUAGUGAUGUUUAAUUUGAAAAAAAUGCAGUUAUUCUAAAAUAAUGUUGUGUAAUUGUUACCUAUUAGAUUAAAAUGAUUUCCUUUAAUCAGGUUGUUGUGUAAUUUUAAGGGUGAUUCUACUAUCUAUCUAUGUGGUUCUACUUAUAGUUUUUUUUUUUUUUUGGUGAUUAUACUCUUAAUAGAAAGUAUCCCAAUCAAAUACCCAAUUUACUAUUCAAAAAUGAUGGCACAAAACUCAAAUCUCUUAUAUCAAAUAGUAUGAUUUACAUUCAAGAGUGGUUGCGUUGAUGAAGUGGACUCCACCAUUUCAAGAG